AGAUAUGCAUUUAGGUUCAUCUUGAAUUCAGCAGAAUGUACUAUUCCUUGAGAAACAACAAGAGCAUCUCGGACCAAGUCGAUGUUAGGUAUUUCGAGGUUGUCAACUAAUACUGCUCCUUUUUUCCUUCAAAUAUUUCCAAGAAAAAAAGAUGCAUCUCUUAUAGUAUUAACAUAAUAAAAUCAAAAUCAAACAUGAUAGGUACCAUUUGAGCCAUUAUGCAGAUUGAUCAAAGACUAGGUCUUCCUCUCUAUUACCUUUUGUUUAAUAUUGCCCUGUCAAUGAGAUUGCAACCACACACCAAAGGUUAUGAAUAACUCUGACAAUGUGUCUGUAUAAGGCAUAAUACAUGUGUGGCAUGCACUCAAACUUGGCCUCAACUGACAAAUAAACACUCAAAACUUCUCAAGUGUGCAUCUAGACAUCUGAACUUGGUCUCAACUGGCAACUAAACAUUCCAACUUGUCCGCACUGUGUUUUGUGGACACUAGACACUGACAUGACACAUAAAUUUUGGAGGUGUCUAUCAUUUUGUAAGUUAAGAGUGUUCAACUGACACAAUGGAGAGACGAGUUGAGGUCAAGUUAAAGUGUCAAUAUAUAUAUUAUGCCUUCAUAUAAGGUCUAGAGAGAGGACCUAGCUGCAACUAGUGAAAUCAUGAUGGCCCUCCCAUUACGCCUAUCAAGUUGAGCCUACAUGCACCGCUAUACUGGACCACCAAGCACAUAAAGUGCACGACCUAAUAAUGACUAAAAUUAAACUAUAGAAAUGUAAGUACACAUGAAAAGGAUUACCUUAAGGUGUUAACAUGCUGUCGAGAAGUCUUGAUUUCGUUGGAACCAAAAAGGUCCUUUGAAAUACCUAGUCUUUUAUCUUUAAGCCCAUCAGCCUUAAGAAAUUGCCGGUAUCCACCAUGAGGAAUGUAAGUGGAAGCCUUUUUAGUUGCUAGAAAAUCAUCUUGAUCGAAGCCAACGAUGGCAUCAAGAACCUCAACAGCAUCAGAUACUGUCCUGCAAAUUGGCCUGUUCUAUGACAAAAAAGCAUCGUAUGAAAACAUUUUCAAUGUCUUCUAUUUUCAUGUUUGGUACCAAGUACUUUACAUUUUUGCUUCUCUAAUGCAGCCUACAACGUCUAAAUUCUGGAUCUAAUACUAAACACAAGUAGUCCUAUUUUGCACCAUCAAAUUUUCGCAGCUGUCCAAAACUCUGGCAUUAAAUAGUUCAACAAAGAGAAAAAAGAAUACUCCAUCCAUCCAAAAAGAAUGAUACAUUUCAUUACACUUCCGAUAUGCUAGUUUCAACGACUCACUUUCGUUACACUUAUUCCUUGUGGCUUGGGAUAUAGUAGGUAUCUGGUUUACUGCUUUAGGUAUCAACACUAUGGCUUUCAAUCUAAAUAGUUUCAAUUUCAACCAAUCUACAGUUGAUAGUCAAGGGCUUUCCUUUCUUUCUUAAAGUACGUGCCGAGUCAAACUAUGUCACAUAAAUUGAGACGAUUAAUUUUUACUUACCCAACAGUGUCUUGCCUAUGUGAAAUUGGGAUAACACCUGCCCUGCUAGUGAGGCCAACAGUUGGUUUGAUUCCAACAACUGAAUUAGCAUAUGCUGGAUAUAGAAUGGAGCCUGCUGUUUCUGUCCCCAAUGCUACCGCUGCAAGGUUUGCUGCUACUGAUGUUGCAGAACCAGUGCUUGAUCCUGAUGGAUUAGCACUUGCUACAUAAGGAUUCUGUAAUAACAUGAGUAAAAACACUAAAUUAUUACUCUUUUUAGUCAAAUUGUCCUAAAAAAAAGGCAAUCUGGUGAACGAAGCAUAUUUUGCAUUCAGGUAGAAUCCGUCAAUGCCAGCAACAACCUAAGAGGGUACGAUGUAGGUAGUCUACCCUGACACAAGCAUCAGUGACUCAUUCGCCGUCUCGAAAAUGUGAGGUCACACGAAGAAAGCUUUACCAUUGCUCCAACUUAAAGUAUUAUAUACUACUUACUUCGUUUCAAUUUGUGGCACAGUGUCUAAGAAAGUAAAAAAGAUUCUCGAAUCUUGUGAUCUCAAAUAAUGUACCAAAAUGUCCUUUAAUCUUAUGGCCAUAAACAUGUCAUGGGAAAAGUUGAAAUUAAAGAGUUAGCAGAAAAAGGAGACAUCUUAUUGUAACGGACGAAAAACAAAAGUAAGACAAAUAAACUAAAAGAGAGGGAGUAGUUUUUUUCCAGAUCAUAUACUACUUUAAAUCUUUGUUUCUCUUUCAUUCCUAUCUUUUGCAUCUUAACUAAUCACAAAUUUUGCAAAAUAAAUCUAUUUUUACUAACCUGCUCAACUAUCCGAGUUAAACGACUUGAGUUAUGACCCCUUUUUUUGACUUGACCAAAGGGGUUAUGUUAGAGUUUGUGACCCGAAUUUUGUUGAUCCGGCCCUGAAAAGUUCACGGUGCAACCCAUGUUUGUGAUUUUUUGUGGGGUCUGUGGUGAUAGCGGAGGGAUAUUUUGUGAUUUGUUCUUCACUACCAGUGGCGCCACAAUAUUCUAUUGCUAAAGACAGGCCUAGGAGAGAUAUUAGACCUCCUUAGAAGUAUGGUGAAGCUGAAUUGGUUGCUUAUGCAUUGAAUGUAGCAGAAGGUAUUGAUUCCGGUGAAGAACCUUCUUUUUACUCAAAGGCAGUUAGUUGUGAUGAUUCUGGCCGAUGGAUGAUUGCUAUGCAGGAGGAGAUGGAAUCACUUCAUAAGAAUGACACAAGGGAUCUGGUUAGAUUGCCUAAAGAUAAGAAAGUUGUCCAUUGCAAGUGGGUAUUUAAAAAGAAAGAAGGAACAUCGGGAGUUGAAAAUGCUAGGUACAAAGCAAGACUAGUUGCUAAAGGUUACAGUCAGGUUCCAAGUGUUGACUUCACAGAUGUGUUUUCUCCAGUUGUAAAUCAUAGUUCGAUUUGAGCCUUAGUUGGUAUUGUGGCCAUGCACAAUCUUGAGCUUGAGCAGUUGGAUGUUAAAACUGCAUUCUUACAUGGAGAACUUGAGGAGGACAUCUAUAUGCAACAACCAGAGGGUUUUGUAGUCUCAGUCUAGGAAGACUAUGUAUGCUUGCUGAAAAAGUCUCUUUAUGGCUUAAAACAGUCGCCCAGAUAGUGGUAUAAGAGAUUUGACUCUUUUAUGACAGUAGUUAUGAUAGUUGUGUCUAUUUCAAGGAGGUAAAUGAUGGUUCAUUCGUGUAUCUUCUCUUGUAUGUUGAUGAUAUAUUGAUAGCAACAAAGGAUAUGAGAGAGAUAAUAGAAGUCAAAGUCCAGCUCAGCAAGGAGUUUGAGAAGAAGGAUCUAGGAGUAGCAAAGAAGAUCCUUGGCAUGGAAAUUCUGAGGGAUGGAGAGAAGUGUAAGUUAUACCUGAAUAAGACAAGGUAUAUUGAGAAAGUGCUUCACAGGUUCAAUAUGCAAAAUGCCAAACCUGUCAGUACUCUAUUGACAGCUCAUUUCAAACUCUCGGCUACAUUAUCCUCAAAGACAGAUGAUGAGUGUGACUAUAUGUCUUGAGUUCCAUACUCUAGUGCCGUUGGAUCUCUUAUGUACGCGAUGGUGUGUUCCCGAUCAGGUGUAUCAUCUACCGUUAGUACAGUUAGCAGAUACAUGGCAAAUUCUGGUAAAGAACAUUGGAAAGAAGUUCAGUGGAUUUUCAAAUACUUGCAUGAAUCUGCCGAUAUUUGUUUGUAGUAUGGGCGAUAUAGAGAUGGAGUGAUCGGGUAUGUUGAUUCUGAUUUUGCAAGAGACCUUGAUAAAAGGAGAUCCCUUAUAGGCUAUGUUUUCACCAUUUGUGGUUGUACUAUUAGUUGGAAAGCUACUUUACAGACUACAGUUGCCUUGUCAACUACUGAUGCAGAGUACAUAUUACAAAGGCUUGCAAAGAAGCUAUUUGGUUGAAAGGUCUGUUUAGUGAACUUAGCAAAGACUAACAAAUUAUUACGAUCUUUUGCGACAACCAGAGUGCUAUCUUCCUUAUAAAAGAUCAGAUGUUUCAUAAGAGGACAAAGCACAUCGAUGUUCGGUACCAUUUUGCGUGUGAGAUUAUUGCUCGUGGUGAUAUUGUGGUAAGCAAGAUUAGUAUCUAUGAUAACCCCGUUGAUAUGAUGACCAAGACACUACCAAGUGCCAAGUUUGAGCAUUGCUUGGACUUGGUUGGUGUCAGCAGUUAAGAUGUGCCCUGUUAGAUCAAUGAUGUUCUGAUGAUUGAUAUAUAAAUAAAUCAUGUUACUUUAGUUGGUCCAAUCACACGAAGACAGUCACUAAGGGAAGUAGAUGAGGUUCGUCAAAGCUUGAAUGGAUAAGUUCUAUUGAGUAAUCACGUGUGAUAAAGAAGAAGUUGUAGUUGAAUACAACAAUUUAUUGAUAAGCUGAAGAGAAAAAAGAGAAAGAGUUUUAAUCAAACAAGGAGAUCAAGUUGAAGAAGGAGUUUUACCAAUACAAGGAGUUGUACUAGAAGACGGACUUUGAGUUGACAACAAACUCUGUUAAAUUAAAGAGUCCAAAGCAAGGUAGAAAACCAAUGACUUUGAAGGACUCUUUGAAGAGUUGUUAUAUAUCAAGGGAGUAACUAAUUUCGUCACUCACGCACUUACAAAGAUAGCAGCACAUCAACGAAUUAGCAGUGAAGUUCCAAAUCUUGAAGCAGCCUGAGUUGAACCUGUUCCUAGUAUUUAGAGUUCGUGAGUCUUAGACAUUAUGUAUUAGAAUGGCUCUUAAGUUGUAUUGUUUUCUAGUCUCAGAGAAGUAUAAACUGAGUUAGGAGCAUUGUCUUCAAGUUGGGAACUCGAAGACUUGGGAACACUCACCUUGAGGAAGGGUUGUGUUUUUGUAGAAAUAUGAGUUAGAGUUUAAUUCCUAGAUUACAAGAGUCUUGUAAUUUAUUGAUUGUUGAGGCUCAACUGUUUUAGUGGAGUUGGGAUUAAAUCCUGUAGAGAGGUACAGGUCGUGGUUUUUUAUACCUCUUUGAGCCGGGCGUUUUCCACGUAAAUAUCAUUGGUUUUAACCUGUUCCAUUAAUAGGCAACUGCUAGGCUAGAAUAAGUAAUCAGUAGGGCACGAACUCUAAUAUGACCUUAGGGGCUUUUGUGGAAGAGGUAAAGAGUUUUCUCGAAACGGAUUUGAGUUCUGAAUUAGAAUUCGUGUCAAGGUGGAGAUUGUUAGAGUUUGUGACCGGAAUUUUGUUUAUCUGAAAAGUUCGCAGUGCGACCCAUAUUUGUGAUUUUUAGUGGGGUUGUUUUUGGUGGUUUUUUACGUCAUUGAGACUUUCGUCUCCUCCUUAUACUCCCCUCCAUUAUAGUGAAUUUGGUUAGACCAUGUGAGGCGGCUUAGCUUAUGAUCCAUUAUGUGGCUCAUCAUGACCUGUUUGAGUGGAUCAAAUUCGACCCAACCCGCACAUUUACCACCCAUGAUGAAUCAAAACUAUAUAUAUUAGUAUUAACAUAUGACUCACCAGAGCUUGUCCAAGUCUUCCAUUCCAACCAUCAGGCAUCUUUGAAGAUCUAGAACCAGCCCACUCAGUCAUAGUUGCCUUGCCAAGUAUGAUAGCACCAGCAUUUCUCAACUUCUUGACCACACCAGCAUCUUGUGGCACAAUGGAUCCAACAAGUGCUAAUGAUCCUGCUGUUGUGUUAAGCUUAUCUUUUGUUGCAAUGUUGUCCUUGACAAGAAUUGGUAUACCAUGUAGCCUGCUGGACAGUAGCGCCCCCGAUUUUCGUUCUUGAUCAGCUUUAUCUGCAAGAAAGAGUGCAUCUGGAUUCACUUCUAUGAUCCCUUUUAUAAUUGGAUUAGCUUUCUGGAUUUCACUUAGAUAGAGCUCAACAAGUCGUCUUGAGGUAAGUUUGUUUUGCUUGAAAGCUAUUUGAAUAUCAUCUAUUGUUGUUUCCUUAAAUGAGAAUGUUUUUGCCUCAGUAAUGUUACUGUAGUUGGAUAAUAUCAUGCACUGAGAAAUGAAGGGAGUGGAAAGAACAGACAUUUUUGGUUGUCAAAGUGAUUGAAGAUACUUACGUCAACAUUAGCCACAAAAAAGUGGAUAAGGAAUAAAGAGUCAUGAUAGAGUUGUUUUUGUAUGACUUAUACGUCAUGAGCUGCGGAAACAAUUGUACGAGGGUAGACUACCUACAUACACACUUUUGGGUGUUGCCCUUCUCUAAAUUCUGUUGAUUAUAUAGGUCACGUGUUGAAGCAGGGAAUCAGUCACUAAUGCUUGUGUGAGGGUAGACUACCUACCUUACAUCUCUAAAUUCUGUUGAUACCGAGAUGUUUCAUGCAUCGAGCUGCAUAUUUUUGUAAUAGUGGAGAUGCAUAAUUAGAGCUGACCAUAAAGGUCUACUCCUUCCGAUCCCAAAUAUUAGUUGUUUUGACAAAGUAAAUUUGUUCCAAGAAAAUAAGAAAUUUACUUUCGAUUUUCAUCUUCCAAGUUUACCAUCAACACUUCAAUUCAAUUAUUGGAGUAUUAAUCAAGUGAGACGUUUAAGAGAGACAAAGGUUAGCCUAACAAAUACUUUUAUGAGUAAGGUUAUUAAAUAUAUACUUCUUCAGUCUCAUUUUAUGUGUUUUUUUUUUUAGUUCGUCUUAAAAAGAAUAUCACUUUUUCUUAUUUGGUAAUUAUUUAAUGACAUCAUUGUCAUUUUAUCCUUAGUGGAUCCUACUUAUUAAGAAAAAACAACUAAAAAUUAAACAAUAAAAGAGACAAUUUUGUAAACUUUACAAAAUUAUUACUCCAUCUGUUUCAUAAUAAAUGAAUUGUUGAAUUUUGACACACAGAUUAAGGAAAAAACAUUAAAGACAUAAAUUUAACAUAACUUUUCAUUUUUAUCCCAAAAAAAAGAAAAAGUUGACCUUGUAAUACCUUUUCAAAAAUUAAUUGAUUGUUCAAUGAUUCACUUAUUUUGAAACACUAAUAAAUAGCUCAACAAUUCACGUAAGUAAUUAUUUUUUUAAAUUCCAUGCUCGAUCAAAUAACAACAGAUAAAAUGAGACGAAGAUAGUAUUUUUUAAAUAGCGUGCCAAAAUUGUUAAAUACAGAUAAUAUGAAUCAAUAUUAUAAUAUAUGGAGAGGAUGGCCUGUUGAAAGAUAAGAUGCUUUUAAUGUGAUUUGACAGAUUUAUUUCCAAAAGAUCCAAAAUCCAAAUGCCUUUGUGGGUCCACUAAUCACUAUCAGACUAUUUUUUCUAUAAUACUCUUUCAGGGAAAGCAUAUGUUGCAAAUGACAAAUAAUUCAGAAAUUAUAAUUGUCAUGAUUGGUAAGUCUAUUCUCCUAGUUAAUUGAUCAUUACUACAUGCUAAUCAAUAUAUAUAUAAGUUGAAUGUAGAUCCGGUGAUGUGGCAUUCUUUAGAUUUUCCUUAUCUUCAGCUAUCUCAUUUAAGGAAUCAAUUAGUGCAGAGGCAAGAGAUCUUAGCUUGUUGAGGGAGUAAUCCUUCAUAUUCUCUUUAAUAUCUAAGAGAGAUGAAGGUCUACUUUCAUUUUUGUCUAUGUCUGCCAUCAACACAGGAAGUCCAUCAGAGGCUCGCACCAUUUUUUAUUGCCGUACAGGAAAUGUCUUUCUUUUGUUCAAACUCAUUUGAAUCACUUGAUGAAUCAUUCCACCAAGCUGCAAGCAUCUGACUGGCAAUUUUGUCAGCCUCAGUUUCCAGCUGCACUUCUCGGUGACCUUCUGCUUCCCCUUUUUGGACACCUCUUCAGAUCUAUACAAGUCUUCGAGAAACUUUUUUGCAAUCCGAGCUGUUUCACUAAUUUUUGAGGUGUAAGUAGCUUGUGAAGCCUUCAUUUCUCUGGAUCCUUUUAACGUGUUAGCCUGAUCACGGAAAAUCUGCUCUGAUAUCAAAUGAAAGGAUUGGGGGUGGGUUGGUUCUCGAUUCAGGGAAUUGUUCCCAGAAUCACACACGCAAUAAGAACCAAGAGGAAAAUGCAGUAAGUAAUGCAGGAGUACAAAAGGUAAAGACACUAGGAUUUUUAUAUGCAAACUCCUUGCCUGCCUCCAGGAUUUUUAUAUGCAAACUCAUUGGUUGAGUCAAAAAGAUUGCAACAACUUUUCACCUAACUUUUGUACUAUGUGUCAGCUGAAAAGUUGAUUGUCACAGUGAUAAGUGUGCCCAAUUUGUUCUAUAAUGCGUAGAGGCCUUUGUCGUCACAACAAAAACUUCAAGGAACAUAUUACAAACUAUGAAUUUGUCAAUCAUCAAAACUAAUAACACUUAACCUAUUUAAUUAUUUUUUUAAAAAAUAGAAUUUACAUAUGUGAAAUUUCCAUUUAAAAAUAAAAUUCUGAAAAGUAAAAAAUAUCUCUUUAAUAACCGUUUUAUAAUUCCCUUAAAAUUAUUAUCUCUUCCUCCCCUUUCUCAUCUUUCUUCUUCUUUUCACUUUAUUUCCAUAAUUUUUUUCAUAAAUCACACAUUAUAAUUUAGGACUUGACAAUCAAAAUUGUAUGAAAUGGAAUUACUAUUGUAUUUUAUAUUCACAUUUUAUUUUUGUUUUGUCUUUAAAAAAGAAAAAAAAGGAAAAGCAAUAAAGAGGAACAAAAGAAAGAAAAAAUAAAAUAAACUAAAAUAUCCUGAUAUAACAAGAAACAGUAGGUAGAAACAAACAACAUAUGACUUAUACUAAGGUGUUCUGAUAUAUGUCUUAUUUGUGAUUAUUAUUAAUGAGAAGAGUUAAUGAUCAAAAACACAUCUGAACUAUUGAUAUUUCGCGAGUUUCACAUUGCAAUAACCAGUUGUUCCCUUUUCCGAUCCGAGCUAUCACCAUCGUCCAGGCAGGAAAAGGGAACAACUUACAGUUCAUGAGGUGUAUUUUAAUAUAUAUAGAUGGUGAUAAUUCGGGGUGGAAAAAGAGAACAACCGAUAGUUGGGUGUGAAACUCGCGAAAAUGAUAGUUCAGGUGUAUUUUUGACCAUCAAUAAGCAGAAUGCAUCUGUAAUUGACGACUAGCUAUGAUGCGAAGAUAGAGGCUAAACAUGAAAUUCCUCGGGCAUAACAUUUUCAGUAAAACAAGAAAUUAGGAGAAGUUACUAACUACAUGAGCAUCAGGAAGAUGUGUAAUGUGUUGCAGUUGAGGACAGUGAACAUGAAACAAGAAUCACAUUUCCAUAACAUAACAAUUCUCAAUAGUAUGAAUCUUGCUAGAUAUUAACUAGAGUGGCCAGAAGAUAUAAAAGUUCAUCGAUAUUACUAUAUGAUUAUUUGUCUGUCAACAUUUUGCUCUGGAAUGCUGUACUUGAUAACGAACACAUCAUUUCGGAUGUGCAUACAUUCUAGAUCGAGUCGAAUAUGUAAUUCUUAUCGAGGAUGUGAAGGAGGGGGCUUCCUGAUAUGAGUUGCUUGUUCAAAACCAUAUGCAAUCUCGAUGAGUGUUGGCUCUGAACCCUUCAGUCCUCCAAAGGAAAUUCCAACGGGAACUCCACUUUUAUCAUAACCAGCAGGUACAUUGAUCCCUGGAUAACCUUCGAUCGCGAGAAGACUAGCAAUGUCUGCACCAGGUGACAUCAACGCGUCUAGCUUAUUAACUUUUAUCAUCUUCUCAAACCCGUAUUUGCAUACUUUUGUUAUGUUCCUCAGUGCCUCCCUUUCCAAUUUCCCUAUUCCAUUCGUCUUCUCAGCUGCCAUCAUUAUGCCUUGACCAUAUUCUUUGAACUUUUCCUACAAUAAUAUAUAAGAAGAACCAAUCGCUUAAACUAAGAAGGGGAGCCUUGGAGUAACCGAUAAAGUUGCUACCAUGUGACCAGGAGGUCAUGGGUUCAAGCCUUGGAAACAACCUCUGGCAGAAAUGCAAGGUAAGGUUGCGUACGAUACGCCCUUGUAGUGGGGCCCUUCCCUGGACACCGCGCAUAGCGGUAGCUUUGGUGCACCGGGCUGCCCUUUUUUUUUUCAGUCGCUUAAACUAGAAAUAGCCCGUGGAUGUAUAAUAUAUGUAUGUAUAAUAUGUGAAUAACAGUGUGUAAUUUAUGUUUACCGGAAAAGAACAGUAAACAGUGCAUCCGUCCAGCUACUUUAAACAUCCCUAAAAAGAAUGAAAACAGAUAUAUCUCGAUUCUACUUCUAGUGACAUACAUAAGUUCAGCUAAUUUCAAUUUACAAGUGAAAGCUUUUAGUUCCUGCAAUAAUGUACUACAAACGAAUAUGAACAUACUGUUAACAAAUUAUUUAUGAACAAAGUAGUAAUGGAGUGGCUUUGGCGUGAAUACGACAGAAUGAUUACAUCGAUUCCUAUAACUAAUAUCAACUUUGUCUGAUAUCAAGGUGCAGUUAAUUGAGAUCGACUAGUACUUACCGAAGCUGAAAUCUUGUUAAAGGCUAUGACAUCUGCCAAGGAUCGGACUUGAGUAUGAACUAGCUUCUUAAGAUAUGCAUUUAGGUCCAUCUUGAAUUCAGCAAAAAGUGCUAUGUCUUGAGCAUUAACAAUAGCACUGUAGACCAAGUCGAUGUUAGGUACUUCGACGUUGUCAACUAAUACUACUCCUUUUUGCCUUUCCAGAAAAAAAGCUCAUCUCUAUUAGGAAAUUAAGUAAAACUAAACCAGAGAAAGGCAUAAAACAUAGAUAGACACCUUAACUUUCUGGCAACUGAACACUUUAACUUAGAGCAUGCACAUCAAUUAAUCUCCAUUGUGUUAGUUGAACACUUCAACUAACAAAAUGAUCAUCUAGAAGCCUCCAAAAUUUAUGUGACACAUCAGCAUCGGGAGUCCAUGAAACACAACGAGAACGAGUAGAGGUGUUUAGAUGUGCACUCCCUAAUAUGGAGUGUUUACUUUUCAGUUGAGACUAGUCUUUUAUCUUUGAGAAAUGCAGACGAAAACGGAAAGAUUACCUCAAGGUGUUGAAAUGGUGUUGGCAAGCUUUGAUAUCAUUGGAACCCAAAAGGUCCUUUAAAAUACCUAGUCUUUUAUCUUUGAGCCCAUCAGCCUUAAGAAAUUGCCGGUAUCCACCAUGUGGAAUGUAAGUAGAAGCCUUUUUAGUAGCUGGAAAAUCAUCUCAAUCGAUGCCAACAAUGACAUCAAGAACCUCAACAGCAUGAGAUACUGUCCUGCAGAUUGGUCUGUUCUAUGCAAAAAAACACAUUGUGUGAAGAGAUUUCGAAUGUCUUCUAUGUUCAUGUUUGUUACCAAGUUCGUUGCAUCUCUAACAAACCUACAAUGUCUAAAUUCAGGAUCUAAUAAGUAAUCCUAUUUUGCACCAUCAAUUUUCACUAUUGUUCAAAAAUCUAGCAUUAAACAGUUCUGCAAAGAGAAAAAAGAUCGAAAACUCCAUCCAUUCUAGUUCUAGUUUAUGUGAGCUAUUUUCUAUCAGCUAGUCUGUUCCAAAAUGAAUGACACAUUUCUAUAUCCGGAGUUUUACUCUAAAUUUCUCGUUUUACCCUUAAUAAGAGUUUCAAAAGCCAACACAAAAAAUGACUCUAAUGAAGGUUAAACAUUCUGUGUAGAGGAAGAAAGUCAUAAUAUUGUAGCUGCGCACGGUUAUUUUUGCCGAUUGAUCUUCCAAUAUGCUAAUUUAACGACUCUCGUUCAUUACACUUCUUCCUUGCUGCUUGACAUCUAGCUGAUAGUAGGUUUACCGCUUUAGGUGUCAACACUACAACUUUCAGUCUAAGUAGUUUCAGUUACAACCAAUCUAUAGUUGAUAUUCAAAGAUCGAGUAAUUAAUACAUGAACUUCCCCUUCUUUCUUAAAGUAUGCACCAAGUCAAACUAUGUUACAUACAUUGUGACGAGAGUACUACUAGAGGAGAAAAACAUUCAGAAGAUCUAAAGUCUGAACUUUUACGUACCCAACAGUGUCUUGCAAUUGUGAAAUUGGGAUAACACCUGCCCUGUUAGUGAGGUCAACAGUUGGUUUGACUCCAACAACUGAAUUAGCAUUGGCUGGAUAUAGAAUGGAUCCUGCUGUUUCUGUCCCCAAUGCUAGUGCUGCAAGGUUUGCUGCUACUGAUGUUGCAGAACCAGUGCUUGAACCUGAUGGAUCAGCACUUGCUACAUAAGGAUUCUGUAACAACAUGAUGAGUAAAAAACACCAGGUUAUUAAACUCUUUUUAGUCAAAUUAUCAAAAAAGGCAGCCACGAGGGGGUGUGCAUAGACAGUCUGCCCUGACGUAAGCCUAGUGGUUGAUUCCCCAGCUCAAACAUGUGACCUAUAAGUCACACAGAAACAACUUUACCAUUGCUCAAACUUAAAGUAGUAUAUAGUGUUUAAUACUAUUAUAGGCUUCUUCAAAUCUUUGUUUGUCUUUCAUUUUUAUAUUUUGCAUCUUAACUAAUAUCAUAGAGGCGGUAUCAUCAUUUUUUUUCACUAAUUUUCUCAAUCUAUAAGUUUAACGACUUGAGUUAUGACCUGUUUUGGGACUUGAAUUACUUCUUCAUUACUCUUACAUGCUUGACUUAGUUAAGCUGUAUUUAGGGGAAUCAUUUUUUCUCAAUCAAUAAAGAACGAGACUUUACCAAACAAGCACCGAUAUUGAUGAUAGUGACCUUGAUACGGAGCUGGAACUGCAGAGAGACUCUUCCUAUCUUAUUAGUCAAGCGCUAAUUUACUGACAAUCACAUGUUAUAAUUCACUAGUGGUAUAAAAUUCCUUAUACCGUCCGUCAGCAUAUAUAACUUAAAAUUUUUUUACCAAUGACUCACCAGAGCUUGACCAAGUCUGCCAUUCCAACCACUAGGGAUAUUCUCAGUUCUAAAAGCAGCCCAUUCAGUCAUAGUUGCCUUGCCAAGUAUGAUAGCACUAGCAUUCCUCAACUUCUUGAUCACACCAGCAUCUUGUGGCACAAUGGACCCAACAAGUGCUAGUGAUCCUGCUGUUGUGUUAAGUUUAUCUUUUGUUGCAAUGUUGUCCUUGACAAGAACUGGUAUACCAUGUAGCCUGCUGGACAGUGGUACCCCCGAUUUUCGUUCUUGAUCAGCUUUAUCUGCAAGAAAAAGUGCAUCUGGAUUCACUUCUAUGAUCCCUUUAAGAAUUGGAUUAGCUUUCUGGAUUUCACUUAGAUAGAACUCAACAAGUUGUGUUGAGGUAAGUCUGUUUUGCUUGAAAGCUAUGUGAAUAUCAUCUAUACUUGUUUCCUUAAAUGAGAAUGUUUUCGCCUCAGAUUUGUUCCUGAAGUUGGAUAAUAUCAUGCACAGAGAACUGAAGAGAAUGGAAAAAAGAGACAUUUUUUGUUGUCAAAGUGGUUGAAGCUAUCUACUUCAAUAUUAGUCACAUAAAAAUGGAUAGGGAAUAAAGAGUCUUGGAGAAAUGAUAAAGAGUUGUUUGUUUAUGACUUAUAGAUCACGUGUUCGAGCGGUGGAAUCAUUCAGUAAUGCUUGUGUGAGGGUAGACUACCUACAUUACACACUUUGGGGUGCGGCCCUUCUUUAACAAGAAAGCAAAAAAGAACUGAAUUCAUGUCCUCAACCAAAGAUCAACAGGCAGAAUACAUCUUUAUUUGACAACUAACUAUCACACCAUGAUAGAGGCUAAACAAGAAAUUCUUUAGGCAUAACAGUCAGUAAAAUAAGACACUGUGAGAGGUUACAAACUACAUGAGCAUCAACACAGCGAGCAGAUAGAAGUAUCACAUCUCAAUUGGACUACUAUUGUUUUUGUCGGAUUAAGAGAAAGAUGGAUAACAUAAUAAUUCUCGAAGGUAUGACUCUUGCUAGAUAUUAACUAGAAUGACUCGAAGAUAUAAAAGUUCAUCAACGUUAUUUUAUGAUUUUUUUUUUCCUUUUGUCAACAUUUUGCUCUGGAACGUUGUACUUGAUAAUUAACAAAUCAUUUCAGAUGUGCAUACAUUCUAGAUUGAAUCGGAUAUGUAAUCCCAAUGAGGAUGUGAAGGAGGGGGCUUUCUGAUACGAGUUGCUUGUUCAAAGCCAUAUGCAAUCUCAAUGAGUGUUGGCUCAGAUCCCUUUAGUCCUCCGAAGGAAGUUCCGAAUGGAACUCCACUUUUAUCAUAACCAGCAGGUACAUUGAUCCCUGGAUAACCUCCUAUCGCGAGAAGAUGAGCAAUGUCAGCACCAGGUGACAUCAAUGCGUCUAACGCCUUUUCCUUCAUCAUCUUCUCGAACCCGUAUUUACAUGCUUUUGUUAUGUUGCUCAGUGCCUCCCUUUCCAAUUUCCCUAUUCCAUUCGUCUUCUCAGCUGCCUCCAUUAUGUCUUGACCAUAUUCUUCGACUUUUUCCUACAAUGAUAUAUAAAAGGAAAGAAGAAAAAUCAACUUAGAUGGCCGCACAUCCAACCUCUUAAACUAAAUAUUGUUUGCGGAUGUAUAAUAUGUGUAUAAUCCACAUAUAACAUGUGUAUAACCGUGUAUAAUCUGUAUAUCGGCGAGGAACGAUAAGCAGUGAAUCCAGCCAACUAUUUAUGUAAAGUUCCCUAAAAAGAAUGAAAAACAGAUAUACUUCGAUUCUACUUCUACAGACAUGUAGUUCAGCUAAUUUCAAUUAACAAGUGAAAGCUUUUAAUUCCUGCAAUAAUGUACUGCAAACCAAUAUGAACAUAUUGUUAAAAAUUAUUUAUGAACAAAGUAGUACUGGAAUGACUUCAGCCCAAAUAUGACAGGAAUGGUUACAACAUUGUAUAACUGAUCUCAACUUAAUUUUCUAAUAUCGAGGUGCAGUUAAUUGAUUGACUAAUACUUACCGAAGCUGAAACCUUGUUGAAGGCAAUAACAUCUGCCAAGGAUCGGACUCGAGUGUAGACUAACUUUUUAAGAUAUGCAUUUAGGUUCAUCUUGGAUUCAGCAGAAAGUGCUAUGCGUUGAGCAACAACAAGAGCAUCUUGGACCAAGUCGAUGUUAGGUAUUUCCAGGUUGUCAACUAAUACUGCUCCUUUUUGCCUUCAAAUAUUUCCAAGAAAAAAAGAUGCAUCUCUUAUAGGAUUAACAUAAUAAAUCAAAAUCAAACAUGAUAUUUGGACACAAAAUAAUUACCAUUGACAACAAUCACGCACCAGAGGUUAUGAGAUAACUCUGACAAUGUGCUUGUAUAAGGCAUAAUACAUAAGCAUACACUCAAACUUGGUCUCAACUGGCAAGUAGGCACUCAAGCUUUGAGAGUGCACAUCUAGACACCGGAACUUGGUCUCAACUGGGAACUAAACACUCCAACUUGUCCCCACUGUGUUUCGUGGACACUAGACACUGACGUGACACAUAAAUUUUGGAGUUGUCUAUCAUUUUGUAAGUUAAAGUGUUCAGAAGUGACACAUAAAUUUUGGAGGUGUCUAUCAUUUUGAAAGUUAGAGUGUUUAAUUGACGCAAUGAAGAAACUAGUUGAGGUGUCUGGAUGUGCAUAUUAAAAGUUGGAGUGUUUAGUUGCCACUUGAGGUCAAGUUAAAGUGUCGAUCUAUGUACUAUGCCUUUAUAUAAGGUCUAGAGAGAGAACCUAGCUGAAACUAGUGAAAUCGUGAGGGCCCUCCCAUACGCCUAUCAAGUUGAGCCUACACUCACCGCCGGCUAUACAGGACCGGCCAAGCACAUAAAGUGCACGGUCUAAUAAUGAGUAAAACUAAACUAUAGAAAUAUAAGUACAAGUGAAAAGGAUUACCUAAAGGUGUUAAAAUGCUGUUGGUACGUCUUGAUAUCAUUGGAACCAAAAAGGUCCUUUGAAAUACCUAGUCUUUUAUCUUUGAGCCCAUCAGCCUUAAGAAAUUGCCGGUAUCCACCAUGUGGAAUGUAAGUGGAAGCCUUUUUAGUUGCUGGAAAAUCAUCUCGAUCGAAGCCAACAAUGGCAUCAAGAACCUCAACAGCAUCAGAUACUGUCCUGCAGAUUGGCCUGUUCUACGACAAAAAAGCAUUGUAUGAAAACAUUUUCGAUGUCUUCCAUGAUCAUGUUUGUUACCAAGUACUUGCAUUUUUGCUACUCUAAUGCAGCCUACAACGUCUAAAUUGUGGAUCUAAUACUAAAAACAAGUAGUCCUAUUUUGCAUCAUCAAAUUUUUCGCAGCUGUUCAAAACUCUGGCAUUAUAUAGUUCCACAAAGAGAAAAAAGAAUACUCCAUCCAUCCAAAAAGAAUGACACGUUUCCAUAUCUGAAAUUUUACUCUAAAUUUCUCGUUUAACCCUUAAUAAAAUGUUUCUAUAGCCACAUCAAUUCUAUAACAACCACAAUUUUCAACUUUCAAAAGCCAACACAAAAAAUGAGUCUUUUAGCGAAGUUAGCAUAUUUUGUCAAGAGGAAGAAACUUAUUACAUUGUAGCCGCUCAUGGUUAUUUUUGCUGAUUGGUCUUCCAAUGUGCUAGUUUCAAUGACUCUCUUUCGUUACAUUUCUUCCUUGCUGCUUGGCAUAUAGUGUCAAAUUUGUGCCGAAUGUCUCUCAAUGUUGAGAGUCUUGCCAUUAAAUAGAAAGUAUUCAAAGAUUACAUCCCAAAAAAUCCGCCUUUCCUGUCGCUACUAUCCCUUUGAAUCCGCUAUUGUAUCCCUUAUAAUCUGCUAUUCUAUAUCUUUGAUUACUACAUCAUAUCUCUAUAAUUACGAAUAUACUACAAUAUAUAAUUACAUUAAUAUAUACAAUAUUCACUAUUAAUUCAUGAUCUUUGAGUUGUCCAUCAUGCUAACAUAUAGUAGGUAUCUGGUUUACCGCCAGUGGCGGAGCCACAGCCAACGAAGGAUGGUCAGAUGAACACCCUUCGUCGAAAUUUUUUCUGACCAUCCUUCGUCGGAAUUUUUUUUCGAGUAUAUAGGUUAAAUAUAAUAUAGAAAUGUUGUUGCACGCCCUUGACAAGCUAGAGAAGCAUAGUCUAUGUGAAGAAAUGGACCUUGGGCCUAACUCAAUCUCAAAAGCUAGCUCAAGAGGUGAGGAUUACCCAAGUCCAUAUAAGCAAACCACUAGUCCAUUCCCCAACCAAUGUGGGACUUUUACCCACUCUAACAUUCUAGUGGUUAAGAGUGUGCAUUUCCGCAUCAACAACCCGGGUUUAAAUCUUGACAGGUGCAGCAGUGCUUUAUUUUCUUUGUUUUUUAAACAGUUCUUUGCCCAAGGAAAAAUAUAAACACCCUUAACCAAAAGUCUGGCUCCGCCACUGUUUACGGCUUUCGAUAUCAACACUAUGGUUUUCAAUCUAAAUAGUUUUAAUUUCAACCAAUCUACAGUUGAUAAUCAAGGGCUUUCCUUUCUUUCUUAAAAUACAUGCCAAAUCAAACUUUCUUAAAAUACAUGCCAAAUCAAACUAUGUCACAUAAAUUGUGACGAUUAAUUUUUACUUACCCAACAGUGUCUUGCCUAUGUGAAAUUGGGAUAACACCUGCCCUGCUAGUGAGGCCAACAGUUGGUUUGAUUCCAACAACUGAAUUAGCAUUGGCUGGAUAUAGAAUGGAUCCUGCUGUUUCUGUCCCCAAUGCUAGUGCUGCAAGGUUUGCUGCUACUGAUGUUGCAGAACCAGUGCUUGACCCUGAUGGAUCAGCACUUGCUACAUAAGGAUUCUGUAAUAACAUGAGUAAAAACACCAAAUACAUUUUUAGUCAAAUUGUUCUUAAAAAAAAAGGCAAUCUGGUGCACGAAACAUUCUGCAUUCAGGCAAAAUCCGUCAAUGCCAGCAACAUCCCAAGAGGGUACAAUGUAGGUAAUCUACCCCGACACAAGCAACGGCUCGCAAAUGUGAGGUCACACGAAGGUAGCUUUACCUUUGCUCCAACUUAAAGUAGUAUAUACACUAAAUUUGUUUGUGGCACGGUGUUUAAGAAAGUAAAGAAGAUUCUCCAAUCUUGUGAUCUCAAAUAAGGGGAAAGGACAUAAAUGUCACCUCGCCUAAAAUAUUUCCACUGAUAUAGGCAUUGAUUUGGCAAUUCCAAUAGAUAGCCAUUUAGGCUUUUCUGUCGCUGCGACUAUCCUUCUUUUUUUUUUUUUUUUCCUUAUUUAUUGUUUAAUUUUUAAUGUCAAUUAUUUUAUAGGUUACAUUCUCUUCCUUCCUAUUUUUUUUGUUUGUUUUUCACUAUUUUUUUUCUUCUCUCUUUUAAUGUUGUUAAUUUUUUUUUUUGAGAAAAGUCCACUCUGUCCACCUAUUUAUUUUUGUAGAUGCGAUCACGAAAAUAAAAAUAUGAAAUACAAGUCCACCCAUAAUGUUCUAUCUCUUUUCAUACGAGUUAACACUAUAGCGGCACUUUGAUUUUUUUUCUUUCUGCUCUCUCUCUUUUUAAUUAAAAAAAUUAUGGAAUGUUUGGAUAGUAAGGGUACAAGGUUUAAUAAAUUUUGUAUAUGCUUGCACAAAUUUUCACAAAAUUUUAGGUGAAGUUAAAAAAUUCACGAAUAACGAAUUACUAUAGAUGCUUGCACAAAUUUUCUCUGUAAAAGGUGUAUUUAUGUAGUAUAUAUACUGUAUCAACGUGGUAUAAAAGUGUAUCAAUCUAGUAUAAAAGUAUAUCAAUGCGGUAUCAAAGUGUAUCAAUAUGUAUAAAAGAGUAUCAAUUGGUAUAUGGACUGCAUGUACUUGCAUAAAUUUUUUUUUUUUAAAAGUGUCUCAACAUAAUAUAAAAGUGUAUCAAUGUGGUAUAAAAGUGUAUCAAUUGAGUAUAGAGACUGCAUGUUCCCAAUUGGGCCAAAUGGCUAAAAAGAGGAAUUAAAUUGGGCCGACUGGCUAAGGUUGUCCACCUUUUCAAUUAUGGGCCAUUUUUUUUUAAAAAAGUCAGCUCAUGUCCUUUUCCCCUCAAAUAAUAUACCAAAAUGUCCUUUAAUCUCAUGAUCAUAAACAUGUCAUGAAAAAGUUGAAAUUAAAGAUUUAUAAAAAAAGGAGAUCUUAUUGAAACAGACCAAAAAGAAAAGUAAUACAAACAAACUAAAACAGAGGGAGUAGUUUUUUUCCAGAUCAUAUACUACUUUAAAUCUUUGUUUCUCUUUCAUCCCUGUCUUUUGCAUCUUAACUAAUCACAAAGGUUGCAAAAUAAAUCUAUUUUUACUAACUAAACGACUUAAGUUAUGACUAUUUUUUGACUUGACCCAACCCGCACAUUUAUCACCCAUGGCGAAUCAAACUAUAUAUAUUAUUAAAUAUGACUCACCAGAGCUUGGCCAAGUCUUCCAUUCCAACCAUUAGGCAUCGUUGAAGAUCUAGAAGCAGCCCACUCAGUCAUAGUUACCUUGCCAAGUAUGAUAGCACCAGCAUUCCUCAACUUCUUGACCACACCAGCAUCUAGUGGCACAAUGGAUCCAACAAGUGCUAAUGAUCCUGCUGUUGUGUUAAGCUUAUCUUUUGUUGCAAUGUUGUCUUUGACAAGAACUGGUAUACCAUGUAGCCUGCUGGACAGUAGCGCCCCCGAUUUUCGUUCUUGAUCAGCUUUAUCUGCAAGAAAGAAUGCAUCUGGGUUCACUUCUAAGAUCCCUUUAAGAAUUGGAUUAGCUUUCUGGAUUUCACUUAGAUAGAACUCAACAAGUUGUCUUGAGGUAAGUUUGUUUUGCUUGAAAGCUAUUUGAAUAUCAUCUAUAGUUGUUUCCUUAAAUGAGAAUGUUUUUGCCUCACUGAUGUUACUGAAGUUGGAUAAUAUCAUGCACAGAGAAAUGAAGAGAAUGGAAAGAAGAGACAUUUUUUGUUUUGAUUGAAGAUAUUUGCUUCAAUAUUAGUCACAUAAAAGUGGAUAAGGAAUAAAGAGUCUUGGAGAAAUGAUAGAGUUGACUUUGUAUGACCAAUAGGUCACUGUGUUCGAGCCGUGGAAUCAGUCAGUAAUGCUUGUGUGAGCAUAGGCUACCGACAUUACAGAUUGAUUUGGGGCGCGACCCUUCUCUAAAUUUUGUUGAUAUGUAGGUCAUGUGUUAGAGCGGUUGGAAUCAAUCACUAAUGCUUGUGUGAGAGUAGACUAACUACAUACCCCAAAUUACACCCUUUGGGUACGACCCUUCUGUGAAAACACUUGCUAAGACUCCACUGAUGGAGCUAAGAAGAGGAGAAAGAUAAAAAAUUAUAACUGCUUCAAAACUUAUGUGUUACAAUCAGAUUGUUGUGCCUUAUAUAGGCAACAAAAUAUCUAAUAACUACCUUUCUUCUAGAACACUCUAUUUGAUAGCUCAUUGCCACUCACUAAUCAUUUUCUAACACCCUCUAACAACUUAUAUAGCUGACCCAGCAGUAUGCUACUAACUAGUUGAAUGCCUACUCCUAUCAAUAUUACACAUAAGUGGAACAGGUAGUCGUGUAUGUUCCAAAACACUCCCCCUCAAGCUGUAGGGUGCAGAACAUUUAGCACACCAAGCUUGCUAAGUAAGUGGGCAUGUUGAGCAAGACUUAGUCCCUUGGUAAGCAAAUCAGCAAGUUGAUCAGUAGACUGAACAUGUAGAGCCUUAAUCAAUCCAUCUUUGAUUUUGUCCCUAAUGAAAUGACAGUUAAUCUCAAUAUGUUUGGUUCUCUCAUGGAACACAAGGUUGUUGGCCAGUUGAAUGGCUGAAUUACUGUCACUAUAAACUGAAAUGGGGAGGUUGAUAGGGACCUUAAGUUCCUAAAACAAUCCAACCAGCCAAGUGAGUUCUGCAACUGCUGUAGCCAUGCUUCUGUACUCAGCUUCAGUAGAACUCCUGGAAAUAGUGUGCUGCUUCUUGGACUUCCAUGAUAUAAGUGAUUAACUAAAGUGAAUAGCAUAACCAGUAACUGAUCUUCUGGUGUUUAGACAAGCAGCCCAAUCAGAGUCACACCAGGAAGUCAAAGUAUUAGCAGGUUCAGCCUUUAACCAGACACAUUAGCCAACAAAAUUUCUUAGGUACUUGACUACCCUGGUAGCUGCUUCUCAGUGAGACUUCUUGGGAUGCUGGAUGAAUUAGCUGAGAGUUUGGAAAGCAAAGUUAAUGUCUGGCCUUGUAAUAGUGGCAUAAAUAAGCUUCCCAACAAGUCUUUAGUAAGAGGAAAUGUUAGACAACAGUUCAUCACCUUGUGCACCUAUUGCUUGGUCAUACUCAAUAGAGGUGGGAAUGGCAUUAGAAUCUAAGGGAGUAGUAACAGGCUUAGCACCACUAAGACCUGUUUCAGCAAUCAACUCUAGAAUAUACUUUCUUUGGUUCAGAAUAAUCCCUGAUGUUGAUCUUAAAACUUCAAUACCCAAAAAAUACUUGAGAUCCCCCAAGUCUUUCAUCUUAAACUACUGAUGCAACUUGAUUUUGGUAGAAUUGAUCAAGGAGGCACUACUUCCAGUGAUUAGUAAAUCAUCAACAUAAACAAGAACUAUAACAGUAUCAUUAGCUUGAUGCAGGGUGAAUAGGGAAUAAUCAUGUGCACUUUGAGUAAAACUAGCAUCAAGUAAGGCAUGCGUAAGCUUAACAUUCCACUGCCUGGAGGCUUUCUUAAGACCAUACAAGGAUUUGAUCAACUUACACACCUUGUGCUCUCCCUGUCUUAUAAAUUCUUCAGGCAUUUCCAUGUAAAAUUCCUCCUCAAGAUCCCCCUGGAGGAAUGCAUUAUGCACAUCCAUUUGAUGAAGAUUCCAACCUUUAGAUGCAGCUUGUGCAAUCACACAUCUGACUGUAACCAUCUUAGCCACUGGUGAGAAGGUUUCAUGAUAGUCCAACCCUUUUUGUUGGCUAUAUCCUUUGGCCACUAACCUUGCUUUGAACCUCUCCAUUUCACCAUUGGCAAGAUAUUUGAUUUUGUAUAUCCACUUGGAACCAACAGUAUUCUUCCCUUUAGGUAGAUCAAUAAUGACCCAUGUGUUGUUAGCUUCCAAGGCUUGAACCUCUGAUUUCAUAGCUUCCACCCACCUUUCAUCUUUUACAACCUAUUUAUAAUGCUGAGGCUCAGUUAAAGUGGAGAAUUUAGAUAAAUAGCACUGAUAAGUAGGACUCAGAUUUUUAUAAGACAAGCUGUUGGCUAAUGGAUAUUUGCAUCUCUAAUUUCUAGAAGUAUCAACAUAAUCAUGCAUCCACACUGGUGGUUUGCUUGUUCUUGCAGGUCUACUGGAAGAGGGUUGAGGCAGGGAACAGUUAUCUUGACAUGUUUCUUCAUGAGUGGUGCCAGGUGAAGCUGCACCAGGAACUUCAGCAUCAGAAAUGUCAUCCUCCUCAAUUGGAGCUCCUUCAGUAACACUCUCAGUAUUUGUUUCAUGAAAUGUUUCUUCAUUUGUGGGAAUCAAAAAGUCAGUAAUAUUUUCUCCAGAUGUGGAAGCUUGUAUGUUUUGUGCUGGUGAGGAAGCAAAAGGAAAUGUAUCUUUAUAAAACACAACAUCUCUACUGACUAAUAGUUUCUUUGAGGUGAUAUCCAGCAGUAAAUACCCCUUCUGAGAUUUUGAAUAUCCCACCAAGACUGCAGGUUUGGCCCGUUCUGUGAACUUAUCACCUCUUGGAAGGAUAGUGACAUAACACAAGCAUCCAAAUACCCUGAGAUGUGACAACUUGGGAUCCUUGAAAAACAUUAACUGAAAUGGGCUCUUACCACUUAGAAUAAAAGAUGGUAACCUGUUCAUUAGAUACAUUAGAUAUACUGCAACCUUUACAUAUAGUCCCCAAUACUUAAUGGGCAAGUUAGACUGAAACUUGAGGGCUCUAGCUAUUUUUAAUAUGUGUCUAUGCUUCCUCUCCACAACUUCAUUCUAUUAAGGAGUGUGAGGAUAGCUGGUCUGAUGUAGUAUGCCCAGGGACUGGAACAAUGUCUUACAUUGAGAGUAGAUAAAUUUAGUGCCAUUAUCAGAUCUAAUGGUUUUUACCAUUAUGUCAAACUGAGUUUUAAUCAUGGAAACAAAUGUCUUAAUAGCCAUUAUGGCAUCAGACUUUAACUGCAACAGGUGCACCUAAGUGUAUCUAUUAUGGUCAUCUACAAUAGUCAAGAAGUAAUACUUAUUGUCAAAAGUAGAAGUUUUAUAUGGACCCCACAAAUUCAUGUGUACAAGCUCAAAACAUGUAGAGCAUCUAGUAGUACUUAAAGGAAAUAACAAUCUUGUCUGUUUAGCUAAUGGACACACAGAACAUUUAUUCAACAUGUUUGCAUCACUAGGAUUCUUCAUAAUGUCUAAACACUUUAGAACCUGAGCAACAGGGUGUCCAAGUCUUUGAUGCCAUAAGAUGCAACUGGAAGUGGAGACUUCUGCAAUAAAUCUGCUGGCUUCUGAUCUUAACUGACUAGCACCUUUAAGAACAUAUAGUCCACCAUCUUGUCUACCAAUCCCGUUUACCUUACCAUUGAAGAGGUCAUGAAAGAUACAAAAAUCAGGAUAAAAGAAUACAAAACAUAAAAGUUCCUUCGUUAUCUUGGCAACAGACAAUAAAUUGAGUUUGAAGUCUGGAACAUGUAGAACAUCUUUGAUCACAUCAUCUGCAAAGAUGUGAGCUUCUCCUGUGUGUGAGAUUGUAACUUCAUCACCUGUUGAAAGGUGCAACUUAUCCACAUGCUUGGAGUCUAAUCUGGUACCUCCUUUGAACAAGUGUCUAUGUGCAAACACAUGAUGUGUAGCACCUGAGUCUACAAUCUAACUGUCAGAACAUGCUUUAGACAAGAAAUGAGUAGUAAUACCUAUCGUAUUGACUUGUUUCAUAUCUGUUGUGUCUUUGUUCAACAUAGUUAUAAUCUGAGUGUACUCUUCCUCAGUGAAUGUGUAAGGCUUGGCCUUUGGUGUGGGAGUUACUUCAUGACUAGAACUAUCAGCAUCAACUUAACCAACUACCAUAGUUGAAGCCUGAGAAAUAGACCUUUGAUCAGUGUUUACAAAGUUGUUACUGCCAGUAUACUGUGAUCUGAAAUUAGAGUUCUAGCUUUGUUUCUUCCUGUUCUUCCAGUCAUUUCGAUACCCUACCAACUUAUAGCAAGUUUCCUUGGUAUGACCCAAUAGAUGGCAAUAAUCACACUUUCUGCCUCUAUAGUUAGAGUUGCUUUGUCCAAAAACAUAAUUUCGAUUCACUUGCAUAGCACGUGGUUUUGAUCUAUCAUUCACAGUCAUUAUACAUGCUGAAUGUUAGAUUUCAUCCUCUAUGAGCAUAGCAUAAACUUGAUUGAGAGUAGGAGUCAUUCCUUGGAGCAAUAUCUGUCUUCUAGCUUGGUCAUAGGACUCAUUCAGGCUGCUUAAAAACUAUAAAAGUCUAAGUUGACACAUAUGAUCUGAGUACUCUCUAGAUGUAGGACAAGCACAACUAGGAUUUGGCACUAGUACAUCAUACUCACUCCAUAAACUCUUCAAUUUGGUAAAAUAGGCUGAGAUUGAAUCUGUACCUUGAGAGUGCAUAUUAAUUUCGCGAUGCAACUGGUAUGUACGCAUACGAUUCACCUUGUCAUACCUCUCCUUCAAAUCCUCCCAAACUGCACAAGCAUUCGUGGCAUAAACAAUGCCAAAUAACAGACUCUCACUCACAGUGUUCAUAAUCCAGGAAAGCACAAUUGUAUUACAUGUUUCCCACUGCUCAUGAAGCUCCUCUCUAUAUGAUUCCUUGUUGCAGGCACCAGUGACAAAUCCAAACUUCCUCUUUCCUAAGAGAGCAAUACGCAUCGAUCGACUCCAUAAACUAUAAUUUUUUGAACCAGUUAACUUGAUUGAAACAAGUACAACACUGGAGCUCUCAGAUGUACCAAUGAAAAGUGGAUCACUUUGAUCGAUUUUAGGUGCCAUGAUUGAUAAAAUGCAACUGUAAUAUAGGUCGAAAUUGCGAAAAAGAGCUGAAGACAGAGAUCCAAAAUGCGCAGAAAACUAGUGAAAUGUGAUCGAAAACACACACUUAGUGUAGAACUCGUGGCUUUGAUACCAUGUGAAAACACUUGCUAAGACUCCAUUGAUGGAUCUAAGAAGAGGAGAAACAUAAAAAAUUAUAAUUGCUUCAAAACUUAUGUGUUACAAUCAGAUUGUUGUGCCUUAUAUAGGCAACAAAAUAUCUAAUAGCUAUUUUUCUUCUAGAACACUCUAUUUGACAGCUCAUUGUCACUCACUAAUCAUUGUCUAACAGUCUUUAACAACUUAUAUAGCUGACUCAGCAGUAUGCUACUAACUAGUUGAAUGUAUACUCCUAUUAGUAUUACACAUCAGUGGAACAGAUAGUCGUGUAUGUUCCAAAACACCUUCUCUAAAUCUUGUUGAUAUAGAGUUGCUUCAUCCACCAAGCUGUAUUUAUUUUAAUAGUGGAUGCAUGAUUAUAGCUGACCAUAAACUCCUUUCGGUCCCAAAUAUUAGUUGUUUUGACAAAGUAAAUUUGCUCCAAGAAAAUAAGAAGUCAUUUACUUUCGAUUAUCUUCCAAGUUUAUGAUCAACAUUUCAAUUUAAUUAUUGGAGUAUUAAUCAAGUGAGACGUUUAAGAGAGAUAAAGGUUAGUCUAACAACUAGUUUUAUGAGUAAGGUUAUUAUAGUAUUUAUUUUUAAAGAGACUGCCAAAAUUGUCAAAGGCAGAUAAUAUAAAUCAAAUAUAAAUGAAGAGCAUGGCCUGUUGUAAGAUAAGAUUCUUUUUAUGUGAUUUGACAUAUUCUCUUCCAAAAGAUCCAAAGUAUUUAAUUUUUAAAGAGCCUGCCAAAAUUGUCAAAGGCAGAUAAUAUGAAUCAAAUAUAAAUGAAGAGCAUGGCCUGUUGUAAGAUAAGAUUCUUUUUAUGUGAUUUGACAUAUUCUCUUCCAAAAGAUCCAAAUGCCUGUGUGGCCCACUAAUCACUAUCAAACUUUUUUCUAUAAUCCUCUUUUAGAAAGCAUUUGUUGCACAUGACAAAUAAUUCAAAAAUUAUAGUUGUCAUAUAUAAUUGGUAAAUUCAUUCUCCUAGUUAUUUGAUCAUAUUACAUGCUAAUUGCUUAUAUAAGAAAUUGAAUAUUCAACAAUCAAAUUUCCACUUUAAUGCAACAGAUGUUGGUUCUUACUUUUACCACCACAAAUCGUGGAUUCAGUCAAAAAUAAUAGUAGAAAAUUUUCAUAAAUACUUAUACUUUGGACCAUAAUUACCAUCACUAUAAAGAGUAUAUUAAAUGCCUGAAGUUUACUUUUCAACUAAUUAUUGCAUUUAAUUUCAUGUGACGUGCGAUGAGAUUCCUUCACUUUUAAUUAUCAUCAAACCUCUUCCACACAACCACAUAAUUCAUCUUACAAUUACCAUCAUCGAUCAUCACUUUGUUAACUACUGUUGCUAGUUGUUGUUGAGGAUUAUGUUUCAUUAUGCUAUUUUACUGCUCCAUUCAUUCAUUUUUUGUUUUAUUAAUUCACUGCAGCACUACUGAACUGACUAGCCAGAUAAGUUUGUCGCUUAGUUAGUUAGAUGAGUUGGCUGAUUGAUAAUUAGUAGGUUAUUAGUGAAGUUUGAGUGUGUAGUGAGCUGGCACACAAGAAUGUUCUAGAACAAGUUAGCUAUUCCUACAACUCAAUCUAUAAAAGGCUGAAUAUGCUCCUCAUUGUAAAGACUAGAAGCAGUUAUAAAAUUCUCUAUUGUUCUUCCUCUUCUUUCUUCUAAGCUCCAUUGAUAGAGUCCUAGCUGAUUGAGAUAGUUUUCACAUGGUAUCAGAGCUAUCGAUACUGGUUGCUUCUAGGCUGCAUUUUAAGUUGCAUAGAAGGUCUCUAGCUAGUUACUCGUAGCAAAAUUGCAGUAGCUAAUGGCACUCAAAAUUGAUCAAAAUGAUCCUCUAUUCAUUGGAUCCUUAGAUGUUACUAGUGCUGUAUUGAUCCUAAUAAAAUUGACUGGACGUGAGAAUUAUGGCGUAUGUAGAGAAGAUCUGCAUGAGCAAUGGGAGACAUCCAAUGCCAUUGUUCUAUCAUAGUUAAUGAACACAAUUAGUGAAGAACUUCUUAAUGGGAUAGUAUAUGCUAUGAAUGCCUCUGAAAUUUGGGCUGAUUUGAAAGAGCGAUUUAACAAGGUCAAUUGACUGAGAGUGUAUCAAUUGCAUAGGGAAAUUACCAUGCUUUCACAAGGUAUUGAUUUUGUAUAUCACUACUACACAAAAUUGAAAACCUUGUAGAAUGAAUAUGAUGCUGUCACACCCUCACCUAGCUGUGAUUGUCCUCGAUCGAGAGACUACGUGGAUCACUUGUCAUAAAUGAGACUGAUACAGUUCUUAAGUGGCUUGAAUGAUCUCUAUGAUCAAGCACGACGACAAAUUCUCCUAAAAGAAACUACUCCUGCACUCAACCAAGCAUAUGCAAUGCUAAUUGAGGAUGAGAUCCAACACUCCACAUGUAUAGCUACGAUGGUUGGGAAAUCAGAUCAACUUACUAUGAGUGUCAAUAGGAAUUAAGGAAAAGAGUAUUACAAAGGGAAAAAAUAUGAAUUUUUCAAUUUUACUGGCCAUACCAAAGAAAACUGCUAUUUGUUGAUAGGUUAUUCAGUGGAUUGGAAAUUGAGAAAGAAAUCUGGUGGUAAUGGUGCUUUUAGGAACUCUAAUUUUAGAAGCAAUACCUGGCAUAUGUAUGGUAAUCAUGGAAAUACUGGUCAAGAAGGAAACUCUGCAGCAAACAAUAUCUCUAGUGGAUCCUGUGAUCAAAUUCAAGUUGUAUCAACUAGCCAAUCAUCCACAAGCCAUGAAGGAAACAUUGCUGCUAUGGCAAAGGGAUAAGCCAUCUCUGAAGAAGAAUACAAACAAAUUCUUAAUAUGCUUUACAAGGAUAUUUCAGAGACUAAGAAGAUUAACAUGACAGGUAUUACCACUUGUUUAAUGUCACAUACGACAUUUCCAAAAGACUAGAUAAUAGAUUCUUGUGCUUCUCACCACAUAACAUCCAGUAAGUGCGGACAUUCAUUACCUGACUAAACCACAGAAGGAUCAAGUUCAUUUACCUACAGAAGAUAAAGUAAAAGUAACUCAUACUGUUACAAUAGAUAUUUUCUUAGAUUCAAUAGUGGAAAAUGUUCUAUUAGUCCCAAAUUUCAAAUUCAAUUUGUUAUAUGUUUCCAAAGUCACAAGAGAACUCACUUGUUUUAUUUCCUUUUACCCUGACUUUUGUGUCUUUUAAGACGUAUUGAGUGGCAAGGUGAAAGGGAUUGGUAAGAAACAUGGUGGAUUAUACAUCUUCAAAAUUGAGACUAUGCAAAGGCAUCUAGGCAAAGACAACAAUAACUCAAAAAGAUUAAUUACUCUAACCGUGAUAAUACCCGAUGUCAUGUUAUGGAAUUCCAUGCUGGGACAUCCUUCUUCUCAAGAUUUAAAACAUCUGAAGUUGAUGGAAUGCAACAAUGAUAGUGAGAUUCUAAAUAACUAUCUUGUUUGUCCAUUAGCUAAACAAACUAGACUCUCUUUCCUAUCUAGUAAUUCUAGAGCAUCUGCAUUGUUUGAGAUAGUUCACAUAGAUCUUCGGGGACCAUAUAAGACCCCUACUAUUGAUAAGAAAUAUUAUUUUAUUAUAAUUAUAGAUGAUCAUAGUAGGUUUGUAUGGGUUUAUUUAUUGUAGUUAAAGUCUGAAACUAUUGUUACCAAGAGUAGAAUGAUAUAGUAGAAAGGAAACAUAGUCACAUAUUAGAGAUUGCUAGAGCCAUUAGAUUUCAAUCAAAGCUGCCUAGUAACUUCUAGGGAUUUUGUGUUCAAGCUUCAAUAUACUUGAUGAAUUGACUACCAUCAUAUGCUUUAGCCAAUAAGACUCCAUAUGAACUAUUAUAUUGCAAGGGGCCCAUGCUGGCACAUUUAAGGGUCAUAGGAUGCCUUUGUCAUGCCUCAUGCUUACCAAAAGGUGAUAAAUUUUCAGCCAAAGCUGUUCCUGCUACGUUGUUAGGAUUCUUAGAGCUACAAAAAGGUUAUAUAGUGUGGGACAUUUCCAUAAGCAAGAUCUUUGUGUCCUGGGAUGUGUCCUUUAGAGAAGAUAUUUUUCCUUUUGCUGAUGCUCAUAUUGGAAGUUCUUUCUAACCAUUAGUUUCACCCAGUUCUCCUUUGGAAAUAGUGCAUGAUUCAUGUCUAGCUGAUGCCUUAAAUAAUAAAGGUGCAAUUGACUGCACACUUAAACCUUGCAUAUCUUUACCACCGGAUGAGACACCAUCAGAUUAAGCAUCUCAUACUAUUCUUCCAUCACAUGCUGCAGAGAUUUUUCCUCUUAGAAAAACUAGUAGAGUAACCAAACAACCAUCCUGGUUGAAAGGCUUCUCUACUAUCAUAAGGCCUCAGACUAGUACUAGAUAUCCUAUGUCAAACUACCUCUCAUAUGAUCAUGUCAACCCUUAUCAGUACUAUGUGGCUAAGUUUACUCAUCAUCUAGAGACUAGGACUUUUAAGACAGCUACAAAGGAUGAUAGAAGGAUUGCUGCUAUGAAGCAAGAGAUCCAUGCUCUUGAGGAUAAUCAAACCUAAAAGGUGAUUGAUUGGCCACUUGGAAAACAUAAAGCUGGAUCUAAAUGGGUGUAUAAGGUCAAAUACCAAGAAAAUAGUAUGGUAUAAAGAUACAAGACAAGGUUGGUAGCAAAAGGUUAUAGUUAGUUGAAAGGCUUGGAUUAUCAUGAUCCAUUUUCCCCGGUUGCCAAAAUGGUUAUAGUACGAUGUGUCAUUGCUUUAGCUGCCUCCUAAGGAUGGAACAUGUUUCAAAUGGCUAUAUACAAUGCUUUUCUUUAAUGUGAUAUAGAUGAAGAAGUAUAUAUGGAUUUACCUGAUGGUUUUAAGAAACUAGGGAAAACUGAGAAGACUAAAGUCUGCAAUUACACAAAUCCUUAUAUGAUCUUAAGCAAGCUUCCAUGCAAUGGAACAUUAAGCUGACUUCUGCCUUGUUAGAUACUGGUUUCUCUCAAAGUGCACAUGAUUAUUCUCUCUUUACUUUUAAGAAAGCUGAAGACAUAGUGGUUGUACUAGUGUAUGUUGAUGAUUUUCUCAUCACAGGGAGCAAUGGCCAGUUAAUUGACGAAUCUAAGAAAUCUCUACAUUAGAGGUUCAAACUGAAAGAUCUAAGCCAUCUCAAGUACUUCUUGGGAAUUGAGGUGUUGAUAUCAAGUUUAGGUGCUAUACUAAAUUAGAGAAAGUAUAUUCUAGAGUUGAUUCAUGGUACAGGCCUUAGUGGUACCAAGCCUAAUCCUACUCCUUUGGAAUCUAACUUGAGGUUGACCUCAGUAGAGUAUAACAAGGUAAAUGAUGUUAUUGGAGAUCGGUGACACACUAAACUUACUCCAUAAGUUAUGGAAAAGGCGAUCAUUGUCAAAUAUAAUAAUUCAAUAUGAGUUGGGGUCAAAUCCUCGAGGAGUGAAUCUAGUAUUCAAAUUCUAUGGGUGUUAAAAGCAUCUAAGUUUAUACCCAUCAUAUAAACUAAAUGAAAUACAUGAAUUAAAAUUUGGGGGGGGGGGGGGGGGGGGAUGUAUGGUUUGGAAAAAUUAUUUUAACAAAAACUACUCAAAUUACCAAUUGGGAGCAACAAAUGUAGAUAAGAUUUCAAUAGGAGAAUGGUCUUGGGAUUAUGUUUUCUUAGGGGAAAAUAGUGCGUGGGUUCAUGAUAAUCAAAUACAACUUCUAGUUAAUAACUAGAUGGGUAGGCUAGAUUAGGGGUUUUGAUGCUAGCUUUUCAACCAAACACAAAAGAUAUCACUUAUGGACCCUUUCGGAUACCUCAUGAAUGUGGUAAAAAAAUCUACCCAAUACCUCAAUUGGGAAUCCCUAUUUCGAGGAAGAUGCCCGAGACAUAACAAAUUCAUAAUCCACACUUAUUUCUAAGACAAUAAAAAUGAACAAGCUAAUAUCUAAUUUAUUGUUCACAAAUACUAUUCACUCACAUCCCUCUUACAAGGAUGAUGUGCAAUUUGGAGAAAUUGGGGCUUUCACCCAUAAAUCCCAAUUUAGCAAUCAAAUAUUUGUGAACUCCACCAUCAUCAACUAUGAAUUUACACUAAUAAUCAAAACCCACACACAUUUGUACCCUAUUCAAACAUAAUCCCAAGAUAGAAUAUUAGCUACUCAUGGAAAUAGGAAAAAGAGCAUUACCCAAAUUGACAUUCAUUUCCUCAAUUGAAAAUAAAGCAAAAGUAAUCCCAAAAUUCCAAGCUCCAAUUACAACUAAAAAUAUUUUUUUUGGAAGAUUAAAUCUAAUUGUUCUUCUCAUACUAAUUGGAAGUUUUCUCUCUAUUUUUCUUUCAAAGGUUGUUGGAAGAUAUUGCCAAAGUGAAAGGGUUUGCUCUUUUGAGAGAUUGGAACCAGCUGUGGAAAAUUAUCAAUCUGCCCCUGGGCUGAUUUACACCUCAUUACGAUCGUUGGUGCAUUGAUCACGAUCGCGGCUCCUGCAGCCGCGGAGAACCUAUUGCGAUCGCCAACUUUGACUGAUUUGGAUUGGCCGCGUUGCGAGCCUCAGACCGCGAUCGCAGUAACUGAGGGUCAAUUUCUGCUUCUGCUUUUCUAGAUUUUGCACUACUUCUUCCUUUUUUGAUAUGUUUUUAGGAUAUUUCACUUCUUUGCUUCUCAUCACCUGUAUGCCUACAAAACAUGGGAAUUAGCGCAUUCAAAUGACAAAUUUGUAUCAUUAACACCAGUAACUCAUAGCAGUAUGCAUGGAUUUGGGCAUCAAUGAGUGGUAAAUAAGCGAUCACGGUAACUGAGGGUCAGUUCCUACUCCUGUUUUUCCAUCUUUUGCACUACUUCUUCCCUUUUUGAUAUGUUUUUAGCUCAUUUUACUUCUUUGCUUCUCAUCACCUGUAUGCCUGAAAAACAUGGGAAUUAGCACUUCAAAUGAUAAAUUUGUAUCAUUAAUACCAUUAACUCAUAGUAAUGUGCACAAAUUUGGGCAUCAAUGAGUGGUAAAUUAACCACUCAUCAACACCCCCAGCUUAAAACUUUGCUUGUCCUCAAGUAACACUACUUCUUAUUCAAUGAGACUAUGCAAUUGUAAGCCCAUUUAUACAAUCAAAUGAUCACAGUGACUUUGAACUUGAUCAACACCAACAACUAGCUCUCAAACAUGGGUAAAGCUAUUCUCACAAUUCCCCUCAACAUGAAACACAACCUCAAAGAUGCAAAAGACUUUAAAUAACAAUAAUUCAACAAUUUCUAGCUCUAUAGAAGUGACUCUCUAUCGAUAGCAACUUCACUAUGCUCAUUUUGCCUUAUUUUUUGGAAGAUGAUAAUUUCACCCACCUCAAUUGGUCUACAUGCCUCCCAAUGAGAAGAAAAUCGUACACGCCAAAUUAUCUAUUAUACAACAAGAGAUUUUAGUGCAAAGCACUCUCUCACAAAAAUCUCUCAAUGCUAACAAGUGCCAUAUCAUAGGCUUUCUCUUAUUUUCAAUCGCCACUACUAUGAAUACACUUGGUUGGAGAUCUUAUAGGGCUUUUAAAGCUUGUAAUGUAGGUUCAGGAAGGGGUAUGAUAUCAUUUAGGAACAAAGUGACUAUACCCUCCUUGAACAUCUACAUCAAACUAUUCAACCCAACUUUUGACCAUGGAUAACUUCAUUUGUUUCCAAAAUUCACACAUGACUACUUUUGCUACCUUGAUUUACCUAUCUCAUUGAAAGCAUUCUCUUUUUAGCUAUUUCUUUUUGAUAUCUAUGCUAUUCCUUCUUUUGAUGAUUCCUUUAUUUUUAACUUUUUCCAUUUCUUUCUGUGCUUAGCAUCAUAUGCAUCCACUUAUAUUAUCAUGGACCAAGGUCAUCUCCUUUAAACUUACCACCCAACUUAGGUAUUUGGACUCAAGUUUCAUUUUUCAAGUUCAAGGAGGGUAAGGAUCAAAAGAGGGAUCAAUUUCAAAAUGAUCAAGACUUGUAAUGUGAUUUCCAAAGAAAGGAUUGAAGGUUCAAAAUGGGUAACUAAGGAUACUAUUCUAUGUACGGGUAGACUAUUUAGGCUAAAGUGGGUUCCUAUGUUCACAAAGAAGGCCCAAGAUCAUUUCACCAACCAAGCAUAAUAAAAAAUAGCCUUGAGAGACUAACGGGGCAAGUUCUAGAUGAUACAAGUAUGCAUGAGAGUCAUACAAUUACACUCACCGUACAUGGCAUGUAAACUUUUCAAGAAGGCUCAAUUGCAUUUCCUUCUAGAUAUAAAAAAGGGACUAUUUACCAAAUACACAAGAUAAAGACUUCGCAGUCACAAAAAGAGGUAAAGUAUUGUUACAAAAUUAUUCAUGUCCAUGCCCUUGGUUUUCAAAAUUUUUUUUUGGACGGAGGGGGGUGUUUGCUUCGCAUUUACACCACACCAAAUUUGCUAUUGGUGGCACCAAACUAAGCCACCGUCUUAUAUUUUUGAUCUCCUGAGGGCAAACCAUAUGACUACUCAGACUUCACCAUAUGUAUAAGGGCGAUCCAAAAACUCCAAUGCCAUCGGUACUUAGACUUCCCCUACAUAUAUGGAUCAAAACCCAAUCACGAUGAUUUUCCCUUAAGAAUGUCGCACUCAAUCCAUCAUCGGGAAGGGCUCAUCCAAAAUCAAUCAAAAGAGACACAAAAAUCCUUAUGCUUGUUGUGAGACUUUUAGAUUACGAUGCCCAGACAUCGACAUAACUCCAACACCCCCAACUUAAGGAGUUAAAGUUCCCUCACUACAACAUAUAAAAGAAUUACAAGGAUUAAAAAGGGAUCCCUUAAGCAACAACACACAUUUCUUUGGACUAUCGUGAUCGCGAUAGGAUGUACCACGAUCUCAAACCUCAGACCGUGAUCACAGUAACUGAUUGUCAUGACCUAAUUCAUGAGUCGUGAUGACACCUACUAAACCCACCAAUAGGUAAUCCAAUACCAUAAACCAGAGCUAAGGCAAUGGGUUACUCUAGUAGAAACUCCCAAUAAGGGCCAUACUAGAUUCACACAAUAAUAAAAAACAAUGUUUCACAAUAGACAAUCGACUAUGGAUACCAAUCCCAUGACUUUAUUGUCAUGACCUGAGAUGAGGCCCUGGCAGCGAAGAGUAUCCCAAACCCAAAGGCUCAAGAGACUCCUUAGCAUUCUACCAUAAGCAUAAUCUAUAGAUAAAUCAAAGUACGAAAGAUAUAAUGAAAAUUCAAUGAAAAUUUAUAAUACAAGAUGUGUCAACAAAAUAUGAUAAUACAAUACUUAACUUCCAUCUACAAGCCUCUAUUGAAUUACUAGUCACUCUAGACUGGGACAAGGCCCCCAAAAGGACCAUAAGACAACUAAACUAACAUAAUAAUAGAAUGCCUUUAGAAGCAAGGGAGGCUCACCAAUGCUGGAGUUUAGGAAGUAAUCUACUACUGAGUUAGACCCUGUAAAUCUGCCUCAGAACCUACAUUAUGAGACAAUGUAGCCGCCACAAAGGACGGUCAAUACCUGAAAUGUAUUGGUACACAGAACUAACCAAAAGCAACAUGUAUUCUAUAUAAAAUAGUUGAGAGCAUUUAGAAAACAAUUUAACAUAGUAUAUACAUAAAACACAUGGGCAUAAUUUGAUAAAUUUCAAAACAUUUUAUUGUAAUCAUGACUCAACUCUUUGCUUUACUUCUGAGCUAGAUGGUACACCCUAUAUUUCUACGAUCCCACAAAUUAUAUGGAAUUCACCCUUGACUCAGCAGCCAAGCCUCCAAUCCAAGUUUGCCACAAUAAUUGGAGUCCUAAAUACUAUUCUAGUACACCAGUGAUCAGAGGCAAGUAUACACUGGCCAUUCACAUAUUCGAAAUACCAAUCAUAUCUCCCAAGUCGGCAAAACUAGGUUUCCAGCAAUGAGCCCUUACACUUAAAUGCCUUCUUCGGGAAACCAUCUAAAUCUCUUUAAUCCCAAUUUUAGUCCUUUAAAAAUCAUUCUUCAUGCUAAAAAAACAUUCAGUGCUUAUUCUAUUAAGGGCAUAGCUGCACAGGGCAUCAUCAUACCCAGACUUGUAAGUCAUUCAUAUCAUAUCAAAUCUACAACCCUUCUAAUUCAAAAUAUAUAAAUGACCACCAAAAUAUUUAUCAAAUCACACGAGAGUUCUUAUUAUCAAAAACAUAUGAAACUUAUGCAAACACACUCUCUUUACAAGAGUUUAAUACUUGGUGGUCAAUUCUUUCUUUAAUCACAUGUAGUUUCUUCAUUAAAAACCAUAGUAUUUAGAAUAGAAAUCACCUCUUUGAAAAACAGUUAAAACAACCAUCCAUAACAAGUAAAGAAACAUUCAAACUCAAGAAUCAUCUUUAUUCAUAACACAACCUCAAUAUUUGUUAUACGUAAAUCUCAUGAUAAAAAACGGUCUUAUAAUUUCAUGCUUUUAAAGCCAAUUCACAAUUCAUAACAUGCUAAUGCCACGACCUGAACCAGGGUCUGACCGUGACGAGCAUUUCGAACCAUGGAGGCCCCAAACAUCCCUAUCUGUCUAGUAAUGAUGCACCUAAUUUAUAUGAUCAAAGUAAUGCAGAAGAAACACAAUAUAACAAAAACAUGGUCAAGAAUCAUAUAAAAAUGAAAAUGGGGAUUAGUGUCCCACAAUCUAAAUCAACAUUUCUAAAACCGUCUGCGAAAUCUCUACUACAUGACUGAAAUAAUGUCUAUCUGAAAACUAGGACAAGGCCCCAAACAGACCCCAAAACUAAAUAUAAGAUAAAAGGACUGCAGGACAUUAGACCUUCCGAAACAUAGAAGGCUCACAUUUGUCUCUGCAACUCUGUCUGAAUGAUCUACUGAUUCUCUUGACCCCUAGACUGGGCCUCUGAACCUGGGACAUUGGAGAGGGGAGGGGGUCAGAACAAAAGUACUGGCACGCAGAGAUAUCAAAACAAAAUAUAAUAUCUUUACAAAAUAUAGUUGAGAGCCAUUAUAAAGCAAUUUCAUGUCAAAUCAUUUGAAAACACAUGGGUAUAAUGCAAUAGUUUCUCAACAACAAUGAAAUGCAAUUGAGCUAGGUGGAAUACCCUACAUAAUUUACACUAACUGUCUAACCUCGGUUGCCACCGAGAUUAGAGUAUAAGUGAGGGAGAGACACACAAGAUCAUAUAACAUGGUGUCUCAACCCAAUGGUAGUGCCCAAGAUCACUUAGCCUAGGCUCCUACCUAUAGUCCCAAUUUGGGAAUGACAUAAAAUCAAGUACACAAGAUCACUUAGCCUGGUACCAAAUCUCCGUGUCGGCAAACACGUUUUCCAGUGAUGAGCCCUUACACUCAUACGCCUUCCUCAAACGCCUUCUUCGGGCAUCCACCUUUCUCAUGUAAAUCAAUGCAUUUAAAUUUCAUCUUAUUCAAUCAAAUAUCGUAUUCUGUAGGGUAUCAUCAUACCUGACUUUCAAGUCAUCAAUAUCACAUCCACAUAUGCAUAAUCAUGUAAAAACCAAGGUGCUUCAUCAUUUACAAGUGGUGAACAAUAUUUAUUUCAAAUUCAUGCUCUCUUUUGUUGGUCACAAUAUGAUAUGGGGUAUCGAGACAUUAUCAUGGGAAUUUGAAAGCAAUUUAUCAUUCAUAUUUAUCAAACUUCCAUGGAAAAUCUCAAAUCACAUAUGCAUGGUUUCAACCAUUGAAGUAUAUAGGCAAACAAUUCGCAUGACAUAAAGAAAGAUGACUUAGAAAUCAUAUUGAAAGCAAGUUAUUAGCAUUUGAUUGAAAACCCCCAUUUAAAAGCAUGCAUGUUCAUAAAAACUACACCCAUGAGAUUUUAGGAUAACCCCACGUACCUCUAUUUCCAAGGAUAAUAGAUGUUUCUUGAAGCUUGCGGAUUGGUGAUUCCAAAUAUGUAAUUAUCUUUGAAAACCUACGAUCGAAUCUUGAACUAUUUGGGUUUUUAUUUUAAAAUCCUAGAUAGAGCUCUUGAACAAUUUGGAUGAAUGAAGGUGUAUUUUGGGGUCUUUGGGAACUGAAUUUCGUGUUUAUGGCUAAAUAAGGGUGAAAAGGACCAUUUUAUCCCAAAAACGGAGUGUUUAAGUCACCUGAAAACUUUACAUAGACGGUGCCUAUGCUAUCACCUAUGUUUACAUAGGCGCCGCCUACUACUUUGAAAGGCCAUAACUUCUUGCUCGGGUGUUGGAUUUUAGCAAAAUUGAUAUUGUUGGAAAGCUAACUCAUAGACCUAUUAUUUGACACAUAGUAGGCCCUCUAAUUCGACAUAUACAGAGAGUUAUGGUUGAUGGAAGCUGACACAAAUUACAACGUCCACUAAAACUUAAUCGAUCGAAAUAGUUUCAACUCGUCCUUGAGUUGAAGGACCUCUAUGGUCUAAAUUCAAGCUUGAAUGGAUUCACAUGAUACGCAAAUAAUUAACAUGCCAUAUUGGCAUAGGAUUUAUGUCUUCAGAAUUAUCAACGCAUCAAAAUCAUGGUUUUUAUUCUAGCCCAAAAUAUGGGGUGUUACAUUAUCUCCCCCUUGGGAUCAUUCGUCCUCGAAUGAUGGGUAGGAACAUAUUAAAUCUUAGAGGUAUGGAAUAACGCGGACACGAAAUGUCCUCUAAUAAAGAAUACACUAAUCUGAAAAAUGACCAUAUGGCUGGAACUACUGAUGUUCUGAAUUCUUAUUCCGGACAUGCAUAUCUGAUGCAUGGAAUACACGACUGAAGCUACUCAUAAGCUAAAUUCUCAUAAUGAACAUGCAUACGUGAUGCAUGGAUUUGUUACUGAGUUGUUCUCAUGAACGCGGAACUGAAUACACUGAUAGGCUGAAGUUUUUCUAUUGAACAUGCAUUUCUAAUACAUGUAUAUCUGACUGAACUGACGUAUGAAUGUAUGACUGAAUACGCAAUGAUAACUGGUGCGAGGCUUGUAAUAAGAAUCUAUGCACGCAACUGAAUGGGGUAUCUCCCCUUUGGGAUCCUAUGUCCCUCUAUGAAUUGUCAAUUCACUAAGAUACUCGGAAAACUGAGGCGAUGCACAGGGCACCUACGAAUUGAAUCAUAACUGAACAUCUGGAAUCUGAAUUUAACACAUGAUGCAUGAACUGGGCUAUAUUCGUAACUACUGGUAUACUCUAUCUUGGAAUAGUAGCAUGUCUGAGAUUUUGAAUAGCAUGAAUAAGUUCAAAAACGAGAAAACAAGUCAUGCAAAUCUGACCGCUAAACUGACUUAUUGGCCAUACAAACUGAAUUAUACUACACCCUCAUACUUAUCUGGAGUAUCUCUUCAGUACAAUUCUCUAAGAAAUUCUAGCGGUAAUAGGGAGCCAUGAAUCUUGGGUAUGGAUUACACAAGACAUCCAACUGAGAAAAUCACAACAUUGACACUACUCUGCAGUCUGGAAUAUAGACAUAUAACUCCUAAAUUAGGAUAGAAUUUUCAGACCCUUUGGCAUUACAACUUCUUACUUUCAAGCUUAGCACACUUCUCGAAUAUCACUUAACUAUACUAUUCCCUAUAAAUAUCAUAUUCAUUCAACUCAGCUUAAAAUUCUCAUAUGAGCAUUGACAAAUCUUUCUAAUAAUGUCAGAAAUAACUUAAUCCCUUCGCCGUGAUCAAGCCUAACUCAUAGUCACCGGAAAAAAAAAUACAACAUGCCAGACCACGCUAUUAUUCUAAACCAUAUGAUGCAAUAUUCUAUAUCUCCUUUAAUGAUCACAUCCUAAGUAUAAUAUGCCUUACCACUUCAAUGACUACUCUGAACUCUUAAUAUGAAGUCGCUAUUCCAUAUUGCGACCUUCCACUAUAAUCCUAAAACGUCAUUCAAGCCUAUUUUAUAACCGCAUGUUGACUUCAAGGCAACCACCCAUAAAUACAUACUUCACAUAGUUUUUAAACUAUUGUCAAUAUAACUCCCACGUGCUACCUUAAGACAUACACACACAAACUUUUCCACUAACCAUCACAUGUAUCAAAGACUUGGCCCCAAAUCUUACUUCAUACUUAUGGCCAUAUCUAAACAAGAAUACUAUGAUCUUCCAUCAAUAAGAACAUUUACAUCAUCACCACUAUCAUUGCAUAGGGCAGGUCACAAAAAGGUUAAAACAUAAGACCCUGAAACAUGAAAUUUUUUUUAUACGGGACUGAGCACACUAUAAAGAGUGAGUACAUGCGUCAUGAGUUGCAUGACCUCAACUAGAGUUCAUAACAUAAGGAAUGUGAUUCCGACUACAUGAAUGAACUAGAACUCAUUAUCUUGGAACUGGAAGAGUACGUGACUCUCUAUCAUAUACNNNNNNNNNNNNNNNNNNNNNNNNNNNNNNNNNNNNNNNNNNNNNNNNNNNNNNNNNNNNNNNNNNNNNNNNNNNNNNNNNNNNUCAUCACCACUAUCAUUGCAUAGGAAGGGUCACUAAAAGGUUAAAACAUAAGACCCUCAAGCGUGAAAAGAUUUUUAUACGGGACUGAGCACACUAUAAAGAGUGAGUACAUGCGUCAUGAGUUGCAUGACCUCAACUAGAGUUCAUAACAUAAGGAAUGUGAUUCCGACUACAUGAAUGAACUAGAACUCAUUAUCUUGGAACUGGAAGAGUACGUGACUCUCUAUCAUAUACAGGAAUCAUGAACUACUAUUACAGAACUGGAUCGUAAAGCAUGAGUAAGCAUCUGAAUAACUGAAAAAAAAUACUGAGGUAGGAAUGGGUUGAGAUUCACCCUCACUUUCUGAUGUUGUCAAUCAUACUGCAUCACUACUAGAAUCUGAGAGCCUUACUUGGUCAUUCGUUCUAUUAUCUCCCCCUUAGCUUCAAGUCAUCAUCUAGAGUUUGGGAGAUCCCUUUCCAGAUUCUAACUGAACUACACUUACUGCACUCUAGGGUCUGAAAAGAAAAAAAAUGACAAUACAUGCAUAUCGUAGACUUAACCCGAAUGACUACCUUCUGGGAUACACUCUAUCUUUCCAUAGCCAUCAAUAGUCAUAGUAUAAUGCUUGCGCGCACUUAUUUCUAUCGAUUCAACCUUCAAAUCUCUAACUUAGAUUCUAACACUUAACAUGGCAAUUUAGAUCACCAUAUACCAUCUAACUAGUCUUUCUCCACUUAACAAUUCAAUGGUACCACUAGCCACACAAAUUAUGUAAUAGUCUUAGAAAAAUAUGCCGCAACCUCAUAUCACCUUGNNNNNNNNNNNNNNNNNNNNNNNNNNNNNNNNNNNNNNNNNNNNNNNNNNNNNNNNNNNNNNNNNNNNNNNNNNNNNNNNNNNNNNNNNNNNNNNNNNNNNNNNNNNNNNNNNNNNNNNNNNNNNNNNNNNNNNNNNNNNNNNNNNNNNNNNNNNNNNNNNNNNNNNNNNNNNNNNNNNNNNNAUGAUUUUACAACCAAACCUUACGCAUGAUUCUCACUUGGAAACCAUGAAAUAAACAUCAAGAAACACUAGUACACUAGAACUUCAUAACAACAAUAAUCGACCUUGACCUUACGGUCUUCCUUAUCAUAACUCAUUAGCACGUACUAUUUCAACACAUCAAGCCUACUAAUAUUUAUUCCCACAAACAUACAUCAUUAAUCUCAUGCCACUAUUCUUACAUCCAUAUACUACAUUAGAUUCAAUCCAAUGGUCUAGCAUCAAUCUUCUACAACCAAUGACAAGGGAAACAUAAUAUACUAAUCCAUCAAAUUGGAACAUUCUAUCCCAAAUACUUCAAAAUCUGCUACAUACCUUCUCAUAAGUAGUACUAGUUUACAACUACCAACAAAAGAAGGUCAAGGGGUAAGGUCACAUAAUAGACAUGAUAAACCUUAAUCUUAUAUUAUAAUCCCAUACAAUCUUUUCUACAUAUACAGAUUUCUCGCCUCAUACUUACUCACUCAAUCAUACAUUUAGACUGCCUUCAAAUUCCUCAAACAACCAUGAGUCUAUAAUCAUAACUUACUCGCUGAUAUAGCCAUUUUCACAUUCAAGCAACCAAUAAAUCACCCUAACUGACAACUCCUUCUCUACCUUAUACUAAACUAACUCACAAGGACGAAUUACCUCUUUACCAACUCAAUCUCAUGCAAACAGAUUCAGCCAUACAUAUAUUAAACCAACAAAAGAACAACAAGUUGGACAACAAGUUGCUAGUGAAUCGAAACAGGCCUCACACGGCUUCACUAGACUUUGGUUUUGUAUUUUGAACAAGAAAAUGAGAUGGAUGACAAGGCAACUAUGCUAGUGAAUCGAAAGAGCCCCACACGGCUUUGCUAGACUUUUUAGUUUCAUCAAUACAAUGAUAAAUAUUUUCAAGAGAUAGAAACUUGUCACACAAUAUUCCAUUAUCUGAGAGUACACAUCUUACUUUGUAUAGAUAAAAAUCUGAGUCAAAUACUUCCUCCAUAGACUACCAUACCAUCCACACAUGCUGCUAGCUACCAAAUUAGUUUAUCACUAUAAAGGGGUAAAUCAUCCUCACUCUGACUUCUAACUUUGUGACUUCAUAUCACCAACUUUUUGGUCUAAUUUCAUUACCAGUAGUUCAUGACAACAACACUUUAACAUAUAUUACUAUUCUGGUGGAAAUACAGUUCCAAUAUUCUGUUACACCUUAUUACCUCUGAAGCGUGACACUAGCAACAUAAGUUCUGAAAAGAAUUGAAUACACUUAAUACUGCAGGCUGAAAAGCACGAUUUCAUCAAAAUCAAGGUUCACACUAGAACCAAAACACUCUGAAGUACUAACAGACUCUUCUCAAGUCCUUGGAAAAAUAUUAUAUGAUUCGAUCAGAAUGAACCAUACCAUUUAGACUCUAAACUCCUGUACUUGAAUUGGCCCAAUAAUGAGACAUGUCUGAGAAUGUCCGAGUAAGGAAAGAAUUGGGAUGACUGUUACUUUCGUAUGGGUGACGCCAUAGCACAAAUUUGAGUAUGUAGGAGAAACAUUCUGACUCUGUUGCACGAAUUAGAACAUGAAGAAAGAGAGACAUUCCUAAAUACCUAGUAGCCUCCUGCUUAUAAGUGUGGCGCGCUACACACCCAAAAAUAAGACUCUACUCGAUGCAAUUUCGUAGAUACCUUGAGACCAUGAACCAUGCUUUGAUACCAAGUUUGUCAUGACCCGAACCAGGGCCUGGCCGUGAUGAGCAUUUUGAACCAUGGAGGCUCGAAGCACCCCUAUCUGUCUGGUAAUCAUGCACCUAAUUCAUAUGAUCAAAGUAACGCGGAAGAAACACAAUAUAAUGAAAACAUGGUCAAGAAUUAUAUGAAAACGAAAAUAGAGAAUAGUGUCCCACAAUCUAAAUCAACAUCUCUAAAACCGUCUAUGAAAUCUCUACUACAUGACUGAAAUAAUGUAUAUUUGAAAACUGGGACAAGGCCCCCAGUAGACCCCAAAACUAAAUAUAAGAUAAAAGGACUACAGGACAGAAGACUUUCCGAAACAUAGAAGGCUUACCACUUGUCUCUGCAACUCUGUCUGAAUGAUCUACUGAUUCUCUUGACCCCUAGACUGGGCCUCUGAACUUGGGAGGUUGGAGAGGAGGGGGGUCAGCACAAAAGUACUGGCACGCAGAGACAUCAAAACAAAACAUAAAAUCUUUAAAAAAUAUAGUUGAGAGCUAUUAUAAAGUAAUUUUAUGUCAAAUCAUUUGAAAAUACAUAGGUAUAAUGCAAUAGUUUCUCAACAACAAUGAAAUGCAACUGAGCUAGGUGGAAUAUCCUACAUAAUUUAAACCAACUGUCUAACAUCGGUUGCUGCCGAGAUUAGAAUAUAAGUGAAGGAGAGACACACAAGAUCACAUAGCAUGGUGUCUCGACCCAAUGGUAGUGCCCAAGAUCGCUUAGCUCGGGCUCCUACCUAUAGUCCCAAUUUGGGAAUGACAUGAAGUGAAGUACACAAGAUCACUUAGCCUGGUACCAAAUCUCCAUGUUGGCAAAUACGUUUUCCAGCGAUGAGCCCUUACACUCAUACGCUUUCUUCGGGCAUCCACCUAUCUCUUGUAAAAUCAAUGCAUUUAAAUUUUAUCUGAUUCAAUCACAUAUCAUAUUCUGUAGGGUAUCAUCAUACCCGACUUACAAGUCCUCAAUAUCACUUUCACAUAUGCAUAAUCAUGUAAAAACCAAGGUGCUUCAUCAUUUACAAGUAGUGAACAAUAUUUAAUUCAAAUUCAUGAUCUUUUUUGUUGAUCACAAUAUGAUAUGGGGUAUCAAGACAUUAUCACGAGAAUUUGAAAGCAAUUUAUCAUUCAUAUUUAUCAAACUUCCAUGGAAAAUCUCAAAUCACAUAUGCAUGGUUUCAACCAUUGAAGUAUAUAGGCAAACAAUUCCAACGACAUAAAGAAAAAUGACUUAGAAAUUAUAUUGAAAGUAAGUUAUUAGCAUUUGAUUGAAAACCCCCAUUUAAAAGCAUGCAUAUUCAUAGAAACUACACCCAUGAGAUUUUAGGAUAACCCCACGUACCUCUAUUUCCAAGGAUAAUAGAUGUUUCUUGAAGUUUGCGGAUUGGUGAUUCCAAAUGUGUAAUUAUCUUUGAAAACCUACGGUCGAAUCUUGAACUAUUUGGGUUUUUAUUUUGAAACCCUAGAUAGAGUUCUUGAACAAUUUGGAUGAAUGAAGGUGUAUUUUGGUGUCUUUGGGAACUGAAUUUCGUGUUUAUGGCUAAAUAAGGGUGAAAAAGGACCAUUUUAUCCCAAAAACGGAGUGUUUAAGUCACCUGGAACCAUUACAUAGGCGGUGCCUAUGCUAUCGCCUAUGUUUACAUAGGCGCCGCCUAUGCUAUUGCCUACUACUUUGAAAGGCCAUAACUUCUUGCUCGGGUGUCAAAUUUUAGAAAAAUUGGUAUCGUUGGAAAGCUAACUCAAAGACCUAUCAUUUGACACAUAGGCCCUCUAAUUCGACAUAUAUAGAGAGUUAUGAUCGAUGGAAGCUAAGACAAAUUACAACAUCCACUAAAACUUAAUCGAUCGAAAUAGUUUCAACUCGUUCUUAAGUUGAAGGACCUCUAGGGUCUAAAUUCAAGCUUGCAUGGAUUCACAUACUAUGAAAAUAAUUAACAUGCCAUAUUGUCCUAGGAUUUAUGGCUUCGGGAUUAUCAAUGCAUCGAAAUCAUGGUUUUUUAUUCUAGCCCAAAUUGUGGGGUGUUACAGCUAAGAUAAUGAAUUUCAACAUGGGGAAGGGAAUUUCACAAUCAUAUUCAUAAAUCACUUUUCAAACUCAAAUCAUGUAUGCACAAGUUUAUAAAUCAAGUUUAUAGAAAAAUCCUAUGACAAAUACAUACUUUCAUCAAAUUGGGUUCAUGAGGUAUGCUCUCGCCCCAAAUCUGGUACUCAGAAUGUUACACGGUGCUCAUAACCCCAAAGGACCACACCCAUGAACGAUAUCUGUAAUUGACCACUUAAUAAUAUACUGUUAAUAUACAGAAUAUAAGCUGUAAGGCGAUAAGAUUCAAAACUGAACUAAUACUGAAUAUAAAACAAUGUUUGUAAUUGGGUAUAACAAUACCCAAAACUGAAAUAGACUGCCUGAAAUAUGCUGUAGUCUGAAAGCCUCUAAACUAUUUGAAAACUGUAGAGUUGAUGGGACGUCCCCAACUAACUCUGAACUACUAAAAUAAUAAAGUAAUAUAAUAAUUAUGCUAUCCUCGAAUAAUGAGGACUCACUAUUAGUUUGGUUGCUGAAUGUCUAAUCUACUAAGGAUGCUCGAAAACUUAUGCUUUUAAACCUAUGGUAUAAUACAUCAUAGCGCAAAUGCGUCAGUAUGUUGAAUGUACUAGUAUGCAAGUGAGGUAGGCUAAAUGCAAUGGUUUAUAUGAAUGAACAAUACUAACUGACUAAAUAACAUGAAUGUGAGAAUUCAUGUAUGAAUAUGUAACUUUAACUAAGAUCAUGAUAACACUGACUCAUGAAUUCUGAUAACGUGGAUUUAUUGAUAUCUGAGUACUAAUACUGGGAUACUGAAUAACUGAGUCUAUUGAGUACUAAGGAAUUGAUGUCAUAUUAUUGAUAAAGGAAUGCAUGUUUCUGACAAUUCUAAUUAUGAAGAACUGGUCUGAUUGACUGUAUCUAACAGUCCUGAAACUAAAUACUAAUAACAUGAAUUUUGUAUAAUUAAUAUACUAAUAACUGGGUGACUGUGUCUAACAGUCCUAAUUCUGAUGGAACUAGCUGAGUUUCGUACUGUGCUGAGCGACUGUAUCUAACAGUCCUGAUUUCUAUAGAACUGGACUGAGUUCUAUUCUGAAGACUGAAUCUAAAACUGAAAUUGUGGGAAGUAGUCAUCUAACCGAGAUUCCCCUAGUAAUCUAUUAUAGAUAGUUGGGGUCCAAUCUGUAACCCCAAUUGGAAGGGUGUCAAUACUGCGCCAUUGGUAUGGACAAGCUACGGGUGAUCCCUCAUAUAGCAGGUACUCAAAGGAGAAUGGUAGGACCCUCAUCUAACAGUGUUUAUCCACCUCAUCAACCCCCAUCUAUCAGUGUUGAUUUCUUAAACUAUGCUGGCUAUAUAGUUCUGGAAUGCAAGGAUUGCUUCUAAGGAUUACACCCUAACUGUCAGUGUGUGUCCCUGUCCUUGGGUUCACUUGGUGCUAAAUCCUACUCCCAUCUGAAUAGACACUGAACAUGAUUAACUGAACUGAGUUCAUUAAGUUCCGUUGACUGACAGAAUACUAUUGAAAUCUAAUAACUGACUGAGAUUAUUGAGAUUACUUGAGAUUACUGAGUAAGACUGGACUGAUACUGAGUUUACUGAGUUUUUCUGAGUUAUGUGACUGACUGAAUUCUACUGAUCAUGGCUUGACUGAGAGUAUCUUAAAAACAAGACACUGGCUUUAGGCACACAACUAAAUUAUCGGGUAGAAGUACCCCCAAUACUCGAUAGCAUGAAACUGACAGGACAUGAAGCUUCUUGAACACAUGACCAAUAUCAACAAUUCAUAAUACAUCAAUUUGGGGAUUUCAUGAAACACAAGGUUAUCAUAGUCUUGUACAUGAAUGUAAUUACAUAUAAACCUGUCAUACUUUCAUCAACCUAUUCUCAUGGACAUUCACUCAACCAGUCAUAAUGCACACAAUAUCAUGGAAGUCAUUCUUGGUCAUAGUGUAAAGCAUAUAUUUAUCAAUUGGGUCACAAUUAAGCUAUAAUUCAUAAUUUUUAUUCUCUUAGGAAUUUUAUCAAACACCUAGGAUGCAUGACUCAGGGCAUAAGCAUGACCAUCAAAUUAAUACAACAAAACUCCAUAUUUCAACUCAAUUUCACAUGUUUCAAACCACAUACUAUCAUAGGUUCAUGAACAACACAUAAAGAUUCCUACUUGGGAAUCAUACAACCAUAAUCACAUGAACAUAAUCAACCCACAAUAAAAUAUUCAUAAUACAAGAUUUAAAACUUGAUUCUUGGGCUUCAUGGAUGAAAGAAAUCCAUGAAUGAACACUGUUCAUACCUUAGUUCUUGAUUCUACAAAGAUUGACGGAGAGAUUCUUGAAUUUGAGCUUGAUUUCUUGAGCUAGGGUUUCUUGGCUUGAGAGAGAAUAAUUUUGUUCUUGAGAUAAAGUGAGGAAAAGUGAUAUAAUAAGGUUUUUAGGGCAUAAUUUCGUGGUUAAAGGUUGGUAUGGGUCAUGGAAAAAGACCCAAUUGCCCUUAGAAGGUUUUUAUUUUUCAUCACUGAAAACCUAAUUUAGACACCUGGUGCAACGCAGUGCUAUCGCGUUGCCACUUUGUUUGCGACCUGGAAGUUUAGCGCGAUGCGGUGUAGUCGCGGAGUCUUACUGGAGAAAGGACAAUUCUGAAUUUGAGCCUUGGCGUGAUGUUCCAUAAUCAUGGAGGCCCACUGAAUGUUAACGAUUGCCAUUGUGGACUGCUCUGCGACAUGUUGAUGGCUUAAGUGGCACACUGUCUUACUAAAAUGGCUCUAACUCUUCACCCGGGUGUUGAAUUUGGGCGAAUUUUAUAUCGAUGAAAAGCUUAUUCAAUUUUCCACAUGAAAAUAUUGAAAAUACCACAUGUAUAAAAGUGGAUUUAUUUUUAAAACAAGUCUUUGACAUCUUUGAAAUGAAUUUAAGCUAGGUAGAAGUACCGGGUACUACAGCUCUUAAAACAAUUUCUGAAAACUCAUUGCAUAUACAUACAUAUAUAUAUAUAUAUAUACAUACAUAUAUAUAUAUAUAUAUAUAGCUUUAAAGCUUGUUAAAAUUGUAUAACCUAUGCCCAUGAUAUUUAGGGUAGUCCCACGUACCUUUUUGAUAAAAAUGAAUUUGAAUUAGUUUGAAAUCUAGCCUUAAAAGUAUGAGCCUUGGAGGAAACCCUAAUCUUUCUUUCUCUUGAGAGUGGAGAGCAUUAUGAGAUAUUUAAAACUAAUUAAAUAUCGGUAAUAAUGCUUAUUGUAUGAUUUAAGUUGUGGGAGGUUAGGGUUUGAGGUGAGGAAAAUGCCAAAAUACCCUUAAGGAACUGAAUAAAAUUGCUGGCAUUUCUUUAGUUGACGACAUGGUUGAUGGAUUGUCAACUAGUUGAUAGCUUGUCAACUUAGUUGUCAACUUCUCUUCAUGUUCUGGCUAUGGUUGACGACUUGGUUGAUGGAUUGUCAACUAGUUGAUAGAUUGUCAACCUAGUCUUCAACUUCUUCAGUGAUACUGGUUAAGGUUAAUUACUUGGUUGAUGGCUUGUCAACUAGUUGACACCUUGUCAACCUAAUCGUCACCUUGAUGAUUGAUGGACAUGUAGAGGUAAAAUGGGCAUAACUUUCUACUUUGAUAUCGGAUUAAGGUGAAACCAAUUGUAUUGGAAAUAAGACUCAAAGAUCUUUCAUUUGGUAUAUAAUGAGACAUAUAACUCAUUAUAUACUAGGAGUAAGGGUCGUUUGAAGUUGACCCAAUAUAUACUAGGAGUAAUUGUCGUUUGAAGUUGACCCAAGUUGAAAUAUUGACUAAAACAUAAUUGAUAGAAACGUUCUCAACUCAUCUUUGAGUUAGGAGAUUUUUGUGACCUAGCUUCAUAUUUAAAAGUUUUCCCACACUAUAAAAUUGAUUAUCACACAUAUAUUAAUAAGGAAUCAUUGGGUUAGGGUCUAUAUACGUAGGAAUGACUGUUUGAAUUUCAACCCAAAAAUGCGGGUUGUUACACUGGUAAUGUCAGUAUAAGAGCAUCUAAGUUUGACAAUACAACUCAAGUCUAAAUAUUCUUCUACAUUCUUCUUGAAUACAAAAGACUGAAUAAAGAUGGGACGAAAAUGGGUGACUUGAUGCUCCAAGAGCUCACCCUAUCUCCAAAGGAUCAACACUGCACGAUCUCAACUCAAUGAUAGUAACUAGUACUCGGGUCUGCACCAAAAAGGUACAGAAGUGUAGUAUGAGUACCAAAAUAAUAGGUACUCAGCAGGCAUUCUCAACUGACUGAGCUAAAUUAUGAUAUGAAGUAAGACAAUAUCUCGAAGUCAAAGUACAGAAUCAAAACUGAAUUGUCUUCAUCAUCACUGUAUAUAACCAAUAAUCAAACUAGAACAAUACUAUGCCAUAUCUCUUCAUCAUGCACCAAUACCAUUAUAUAUAAGAAGUAAAUUAUCCCAAACAUAAUGCAUCACUAAUACAAUCACAAUCGCAAUAAGACCAAGAUGAUAAACAACCAUCCAUUAAAGCAUAAGUAAAAAACACACCACGUCAUCCCAUACAAUCGGAGAGUACAUUAAAGAAUCAACCAUUACGGUAAUUAAGCACAUAAUCAACUUCUCGUUAUCCAUGUUUUACCACCUUUUGUGUAAACGAUCAUUAUCCAAGUUCAUGAUUAUCAUUCAUUACCACAGUCGAAAUAGACAUAUCAAGUACUUAUAAUUAUAGUCAUAUAGACAAUUAGACAUCUAAAUCAUAAAUAUAUUAACUAACCAACACUUAUUAUUAAACUAUAGUUUGCUAGUUAUCAUAAGGCCUCCAAUCAUUAGCCUAACCAAUUCCUUAUAUACUCCUUCUUUAUGAAAUAGCAAGUAGUUAUCACUAAAUAGCCAACAUCCAUAUCUAGUCAAGAUGUACAACUAAACCAUAAUCACCGUUUAACCAAAUCUCAUUCCUAGUUAUCUUAGGUGCACUAGUCAUCAUAUAGGAAGAGGUUACAUAUCAUCAAACACACUUAUCUAUCUAUUAACCAACACCUUUUAUUAGUUAGCGCCAUAACUCUUCAAGUCCUCAUUUAAGCAAACAUCGAUAUUACAUACUACGCAUUAAUAUCAUUAAUCAUCAACCAUGCUAAGUAUAUUAUCAUCAUUAGCCAUUUUACAAUCAUAAUUACUAGUUACCAUAGUUUAACCAAGCAAGGUUCACCAACUAACAUUCAAGGAUUCUAGCCAUCAAGUAAUAUAACCACUUUAUAUAGAUGACUUGUUGUCACAUAACCCAUUUUACUAGGUGAAAUUCCAUAAUUUAAUGAUUUAUUCAAGUCAAAUAUAUCCACCAGCUGAAUGCUUAGCUCUACACAUGAUACACUUGCCAAUUAGUCUUAACUCAAUAUUUGGCAUAUUCUACUUCUAUUCACUAAUUAGUACUAACAAAAUCCACACCACUUAACAAGUGAUUAAUGGUAGAGAAUUAUAAAUAAAUUUUUAAGGAAAACAUCAUAUCCCUAAUGCACAUACGAGUGUAGUCAUAAAAGGGAAAAAUCAUAAAUAUACAUAUAUAUUUAUAUAUGCUUACCAUACAUAGCAUCACCAUAACAUCAAUAUAUCCUACGGGUUUACUGGGCAUCAUUAUAACAUUAAUAUCUAUUUUGGAUUUUUUGGGCAUCAUCAUAGCAUCAAUAUAUCCUUGGCCUUGUCGGGUGUAAUACCACAUGUUUUGAAGUCACUGUGCAACAUGCGACUCAUGCCCUUGAGUCGUAUGCCUAUCAUAUGAGUCGUAUGUUCAACUUGUAUCCAUGAUAGUGUGUGAUGGGUGACUUUCUUUUAAGGUACAACUUAAACCUUGGAAGUUGUAAGAUGAUUAUAUGAAUCAUAUGUGGUAAGUCAUAACUAAGUCAGUGUGAGGUGAGAUGAGUUAUGUCCAGGUUAUGAUAGGAUGAGUACUAGGCGUAUGAAAUAUUAUGAGUUGUAAGGUAGGACUCGUAUGUUGAUCGGUGUAUGCCAUUUGGAUUCUUCCAAACUUAUGAGCCAAGAGGCCAGUCAUAUCAUCAUCAUACAAGCCGUAUGGUCAACUCAUAUAGACUAGCAAUGAAUUCUAUAAUGAUUCUAGUAUACAUUUAUGCUUGGUCUUCUAUUCUCAGUUUUACAUGUUUAUGCAUCCAUGUUCAGUUAUCUUAUGCAUUUCGGUUAGUCCUUACCUCACGUACCAGUACAUUCAAAGUACUAAUCGUAUACUCUUCUUUUGUGCUAUGUUAUCUUAUAACAUAGGUUCCAAUACUCAAUUUCUCAACCGUACUUAGGCAAUCCAACACUAUCCAGUAGCAGUAGUGAUAAGUCCUUUUCUAUCAAGGACAUGACAUAUUUUAUCAUUAUUUUAGUAUCUAUUUAUGUUCAGUUAGUCAGAGUUAAUUGGGAGUUUGUCCCAUCAACUUCUCAUGAUUUCUAAAGGUUUUUAGAUAGUUAGACAGUCAGAUAGUCAAUUAGUUUUCAAUUUUACCAGUUGUUUCAGACAAAUAGAUAUUCCUUCAAUGUUAAUCUAUUCGGUUGUUUCGGAUAUGUUGGGUUAUAUUUCAAUAUUUAUGAUUAUAGCAUCUUAUUAGUUUUAUCAUCUGCAUAUGUGGUUUUAGUAUUAUAUAUUUUAGUGCUCAUAGAAGGUACCAUAUUAUGGGUUAGCUUGUGGCCAUUUGUGGCCGUAAGCACCAUUGUCGCGACCAGAGAGUAGUCUCAGGUCAUGACAAAACUUGGUAUCAGAGCCUAAGGUUUUAAGGGUCCUAGGGUGUCUGAAAGCCACAUUGAGUAGUGUCUUAUACAUGGAUGUAAAACGUGCCACACUUAUGGACAAGAGGCUAUGAGAUAUUUUUUUGGAAAGUUUUCCUUUUUUCAGUAUUCAUGUCGUGAGAAAGAGUACUAGCUCUAUUGAAUUCCUUUUUCUUUCUUGUAUUUUACCUUGUUUACUGACAAUGCCUUCUAGAAGGAACAACGGAAGGAGGAACAGGGAUCAACCUGCACCACCACCUAUUUAGGAAGGUCUCCUGAACGAUCAUAUUUCUCACACCAAGUUUAGGGCCAUUUUCACAGCCUUAGACCAUUUUGUAGUCGCUCAAAAUAACGAUCAGGCUAUUUCCCCAACCAAUCUAGUGGCAAAUACAACUGUAGCUAAGAUUCGAGAUUUCACUCGGAUGAAUCCCCCUUCAUUUUCUGGGUCCAAGUCUGAAGAAGAUCUACAAGAUUUUUGGAUAUGGUACAGAAAGUGACAAACAUCAUAGGUAUCACUUUGAGUGAGAGUGUAGACUUAGCAGCGUAUCAAUUGCAAGGUGCAGCUCACACCUAGUUUAAGAAGCAAAAGAAAAACAGGGGUAUGGAGGCAAAGCCUAUAGAGUGGGAGGAGAUUUUCAUGGCUUUCUUAGACAGUUUCUUCCCACUAGAAUUAAGAGAGGAUAAGGUUUAGGAGUUCAUAAACUUUAAGUAGGGUAGUAUAAAUUUGAAGGAGUACUCUCUCAAGUUUACUCAGUUGGCGAGAUAUACUCCUACUAUGGUGGCUGACAAUAGGUCCAAGAUGAGUAAGUUCAUAUUUAGUAUGUCUGAUAGCGUGUUCAAUGAAUAUAGAACCACCAUGUUGAUUAAAGAUAUGGACUUGUCUAUACUUAUGGUUCAUGCUCAGCAGAUUAAGAAGGAGAAGCUUAAAGAGAAAGAGAGAGAGAGAAUAAGAGGGCCAAAAUAGGUAGUUUUAAUUUUUCUUAGCUAAGGUUGGAAGACGGUAACCAAUCCUAGUUCUGCCAAAAAUGUUUAGCCCUAGCUCUAUCUUCAACCAAUGCGCUAGUGCCUAAGUUCAGGUAGGAUAGUCAGGAUAGAGCACCAGGCUUUAAGUCCUGGCGUAAUUUGAAUAGUGGUAGAACCAAUCCGCUCUACAGGAAGUGUGGUAAGAAUCAUCAGAGUAAGUGUAGAGCUAGAUGUGAUAUGUAUUUUAGGUAUGGAAAACCAGGACACAAGAUCAGGGAUUGCCCCAUAGGUAUAUGGAAGGGCGGGAAUGAUCGCCAACAGGGUCAGAUAGACUCUUCAACAACACUAACAGGUCACUCAAUUCAGCAGGGUGCCACUUCUAGUGCCACUAGUGGGCAACACCAAAAUAAAUUGUAUUCCCUCCUAACCAGCCGAUUCAGGAAAGCUCUUUGGAUGUGGUUACGGGUUCAUUACAAGUUUUCCAUCUACAUAUUUAUGUCUUGUUAGACCCCAAAGCGUCACUCUCUUUUAUGACUCCUUAUAUAGCUAUAGACUUUGGUGUUAGUCCCAAAACAUUAGUAUAGACUUUAUCAAUGUCUAACCUAGUGGGUAAGUCUAUUCUAGCUAGAUGGGUAUACAAAAAUUGCCCAAUUACAGUGUCUCAAAAAGUUACUUUAGUUGAUCUUGUAGAGUUAGAAAUGACUGAUUUUGAUGUUAUUCUCGAUAUGGAUUGGCUCCACUCGUUUUAUGCCUCAAUCGACUUUAGAAAUAGAAUUGUUCAAUUCUAGUUUCCUAAUAAACUAAUUAUCAAAUAGAAGGGCAGUACUUCAGUGCUUGAUGGUCAGUUCGUUUCAUACCUCAAGGCCAGAAAGAUGAUAUCCAAGAGGUGUGUUUACCAUAUUGUUCGAGUUAAGGACUCAAAUUCUGAAGCUCUAAUUCUCGAUUUAGUUUUUGUAGUAUGAUAAUUUUUAGAUAUAUUCCUAGAAGAUCUUCUGGAGUUCCCACCAAACGGAAAUCAACUUUGGAAUAGAUCUCCUUCUAGAUACCUAGCUUAUCUCUAUUCCACCUUAUAAAAUGGAUCUAGUUUAGCUUAAAGAAUUAAAAGAAUAGUUAAAAGAUCUCUUUGAUAAGGGUUUCAUUAGGCCUAGCAUUCGCUAUGGGUUGCUCCAGUCCUUUUCAUGCAUCAGAAAGACGGUUCUCUUAAAAUAUUCAUCAACUACCGUCAGUUGAACAAAGUCACAGUCAAGAAUAAGUUUUCUCUCCCCAAAAUUGAUGACUUGUUCGACCAACUUUUGGGUGCAAGUUCUUUCUCUAAGAUAGAUCUCAAAUCUGGCUAUCAUUAGAUUAGAGUCAAAGAGUUUGACAUUUUGAAGACAAUCUUUAGGACUCGAUAUGGUCACUUUGAAUUCCUGAUUAUGUCAUUCAGACAAACAAAUGCCCCUGCAGCUUUCAUGGACUUGAUAAAUGGGGUGUUCAAGCAGUAUUUGGACAUGUUCGUCAUAGUCUUCAUUGAUGAUAUCCUUGUCUAUUCUUGUAGUGAGAGUGAUCACGCAGACCAUCUGAGAGUUAUUUUGCAGACCCUUAUAGAUCAUCAGUUAUUUGCUAAGUUCAGUAACUGUGAAUUUUGGUUGAGAUUAGUAGCUUUCCUUGGUCAUAUAGUUUCUGGUGAUGGCAUUCGAGUUGACCCUCAAAAAAUUUAAACUAGUGAGAAAUUGGCCUAGACCCAUCUCUCCUUUAGAUAUCAGGUGUUUCUUGGGUUUAGCUAGCUAUUAGAGAUGGUUUUUCAAAGGUUUUUAUUCUAUUGCUUCUCCCAUCUAUCGACUAACUCAAAAGAAAGUGAAAUUUUAGUGGUCAGAUUUUUAUGAGAAGAGUUUUUAGGAGUUGAAAAAUCGACUUACUUUUGCCCCAGUCUUGACUUUGUUAGAUGGUUGAGAUGGAUUUGUAGUGUAUUGUGAUUCUUCUAUAGUUGGUCUUGGCUAUGUGUUAAUUCAGAGAGGUAAGGUCAUAGCCUAUGUCAUUAGAAAACUUAAACCCCAUGAAAAUUAUUAUCCAGCUUAUUAUCUUGAGUUGGUAGUUGUUCACUUUGCCUUAAAGAUUUAGAGGCAUUACCUAUAUGGGGUUCAUGUUGAUAUGUACAUGGAUCACAAGAGUUUACAAUAUGUGUUCAUGUAGAAAGACCUAAAUCUUUACUAGAGAAGGUGGCUUAAAUUAUUGAAAGACUAUGUAUGAGUGUGUUGUACUAUUUGAGAAAGGCCAAUAUAGUGGUGGAUGCCCUUAGUAGAUUGUCUAUGGUUAGUGUUGCUCAUGUUGAGGAUGAUAAGAAGGAGUUAGUCCAUGGGGUUUAUCAUCUUGCUAGGUUAGGCGUUUGGUUAGUUGAUUAGCUAAAGGUAGUAUAUGGGUUCAGAAUGGUUCAAAAUCUUUAUUGGUUGCCGAAGUAAAAGAAAAGUAAGAUAGGGAUCCUAAUUUGGUUACGUUAAAGAAGGCAGUUAGAGGUCAAGAGGUAGAGUCUUUCUCCCAAGGGGUAGAUGGUGUGGUUUGUUGUCAAGGAAGACUAUGUGUAACGUGUGUUGAUGGUCUAAAAUAAUGAAUAUUAGUUAAGGCGCAUGGUUCGUGAUACUUUAUCCACCCAAGAGCUACUAAGAUGCUCCAUGACUUGCAGGAAAUCUAUUGGUGGAAUGGUAUGAAUAAGGAUAUUUCAAAGUUUAUGGCUAAGUGUUCAAAUUGUCAGUAGGUUAAAGUCGAGAACCAUAGGCCAGUGUUACACUGCAGGAGUUUAGCAUACCCACUUGGAAGUGGGAGGUGGUGAACAUAGAUUUUGUGACAGCAUUGCCUCGUAUGAGUCGUCAACAUGAUUUGAUAUGGGUCAUUGUAUAUAGAAUGACCAAGUCAGCUUAUUUCUUGCCAGUUCAUACUUUAUUUUCAGCUGAGGAUUAUGCUAGACUCUAUCUUAUGGAGUUGGUGAAGUUGUAUAGGGUUCUGUUGUUUCUCAUUUCAGAUAGAGCUACUCAGUUUACCUCUCACUUUUGGAAGGAUUUUUAGAAGGGUCUUGGUAACCAAGUUCACCUCAGUAUGACUUUUUAUCUUCAGAUAGAUGGUGAGGCAGAGAGGACCAUUCAGACCUUGGAAGACAUAUUGAGAGCCUGUUUUAUUAACUUUAGGGGUUGUUGGGAUAACUACUUACCUUUGAUUAAGUUUCCCUAUAACAAUAGUUAUCACUCCAGUAUUCAAAUGGCUCCGUUUAAGGAUCUCUAUGAACAGAGAUAUAGAUAUUCUCUCAGUUGGUUUGAAGUAGGUGAGUCUACUUUGAUAGGGCCAGAUUCAGUGUUUGAGGCAAUGGAGAAAGUUUUGUUAAUUUAAGAGAGGCUGAAAACAACUCAGAGUCGUCAGAAAUCUUAUGCAGAUGUGAGAAGAAGAGAUCUUGAGUUUGUUGUUAGUGACCUUAUGUAUAUGAAAAUUUCACCCAUGAAAAGAGUGAAGAGGUUUGGCAAUAAGGGGAAGCUUAGUCCCUUCUAUGUUGGCCCAUAUAAAAUUUUGAGUCAUUUUGGGAAGUUAGCUUAUGAAUUAAAAGUUGCCUUACAGAAUUGACAGUGAUUUAUCCGUUGUUUCAUGUCUCUUUGUUAAAGAAAUAUAUUGGCGACCCAGCUUUAAUUGUGCCCUUAUAGAGUUUGGAUGUGAGAGAUAGUCUCUCCUAUGAAGAGAUUUUAGUUGAGAUCCUUGUUCGUCUGAUUCAUAGGUUGAGGAAUAAAUAAGUCCCCUUAGUUAAAGUUCUAUGAUGGAAUCAGUCGAUUAACGGAGCUACUUCGGAAGCAAAAGUAGAUAUGCGAACCAAGUACCCUUAUCUUUUCUUCAUGAAUUCGAACUUAGCUUAAGGUAACAAUUUUUCUUAGAUUGACUUUUUCCCGAUCUCUGUUUUAGCUAUGUAAAUGUAACCAUUCUCAUGUCUUUGCAUGCUUUCAUAAAAUCAGUUCUGUUCAUGUAUCGUGUCUUAAACUCAGUUGUUUAGUCAUGUUUCAGUUCAUGAACAUUCAGUAUAUGAUCUCAAGUUACCUUGGUAUUCUCAGUCUAACCAGUCUUAUUUGAGGAUGAAUAUUCCCAAGGGGGAGAUAUUGUAAUACCCAUGUUUUAAAGUCACUGUGCAACGUACAACUCAUGCCCUUGAGUACUAUGCACAUCAUACGAGUCGUAUGUUCAACUCAUAUCUAUGAUAGUGUAUGAUGGGUGACUUUUUGUUAAAGGUAUGACUUUAACCUUGGAAGUCAUAAGAUGAUCAUACGAGUCGUAUGUGAUAAUUCAUAACCAAGUCAGUUAAGUUGAUAUGAGUUCUAUCCAGGUUACAAGAGGAUGAGUACUAGUCGUAUGAAAUAUUAUGAGUCAUAAGGUAGGACUCAUAUGUUGACCAGUGUAUGCCAUUCUAAUUCUUCCAAAAUUAUAGUUCCUGAGGCCCAGUCGUAUUAUCAUCAUACGAGUUGUAUGGUCCACUCGUGUAGACUAGCGACAAAUUUUGUGAUGAUUAGUUAAAGGGGAUUUUUGUUCUUUUUCCUUCUUAUAACUUCUACCCACGACUUAUAACCCUCAAAGAAGCCUAUUUUCUCUCAAAACUCAAAUACUUAACACAUUAAUAUCCUCUCCCAUACUCAAGAACAACAAUUAGGGUUUCUUAGAGGCAAGAAUAAUUACAAGGAUUCUUCCCUAAAGCUUCUACUACAGGUAUGUGGCAAAUUUAUCAAUGUUUUCUUUCAGACAUUAAGCCCCAAACCCUAUUUUAGUUUAAAAGUGUGAAUCUUAUCCUAUUUUAUGAAAUCAUCCAUGAAACUUAUGAAUUUAAUUCAUGAACUUCUUAGUAAAUCAAAUUCAAGCCAUGUCAACAUGUGUUUCUAUAUUUAAGUCACUUCAUGUUUGAAUUACAAUUUCCGUCAUCUUAAUUCCCUUGAUUUCAUGAUAAAUCCUCAAGUAAUGAAUUAAACCAUGUAAAUAUGUUGUUUUCUCAUGAUUAAUAUAUCCUCAUGUUCAAAUUCAUGUAUCUAUAUCAUUCACUAAAUUAUCGCUUGCUUUGGGUAUUUGAGUUAUGACUUCAUGUCACUGUUUUAAGUAAUGUUAUCGUAUUUUGUAAUUAUUCAGUGCUGGAGGGUUAUGAACACCUGAUAGCUAUUUGUUUUUACAUGAUUUUGUUUUAAUUAACAAGUCAGUCGGACCAUGAUUUUAUUAUCAUAUUUAGAACAUCAUGUGCAUCCUGAGCACUUACAAGUAGAGUACUAUGUCAUGUUAAAUAACUAAUAAAAUCGGUGUCAUUCCGUUGGGAAUAACACAGAGUAAAGCAGGGAUGAUGACUCCCCCGUCAGUAUAGGCAUGAGUAGUUUGUAGCAGUCCUUAAGUUCCAUAUCUGCAGUGGCACCGUAUGAAUGGUAGGCCAAUAAUAACUGUAUUGAAGAACUUUGGCGGCGGUUUGAAUCCCCCCAUGGUGACCACCGAAAUGUGAGGAGUGACAAUCUUCAAGGAUAUCCUUAAUUUUAACUUCCAUAAUACAACCGUUAAUCUCAGCAUCCACACAUUCCCAAAAUAGGAAGGGUUUAUCCAAAAAUAAAUUUUUUGCAUCAAACAGGAACCUCUUUCUUUGAUGAUAGCUAAGCUCCUCGGAGAAUACACCACUCACCACAUAAUUAGCAUAGUCGUCAUACACAGUGUAAUUCUCCCCGAGAUCGAUAUGACCAACUCAUUGGGAAAAUCAUCAUCAAUCUCAAUCUCACCAUGCUUUUCAUAAUUACUCUCAAGGCGCGAAAAAUGGUCGACCAUUUGGUUUAUUCAACCUUUUUAAUCCUUUACCUCUAAUCAAAUUCUUGUAAAAGAAAGAUCCAUCUAAUUAGGCAUGGUUUAGAUUUGUUUUUCGCCAUGAGGUAUUUAAGGGCGGCAUGAUCCAUGUGCACUACCACUUUCAUGCCUAACAAGUAGGCUUAAAAUUUCUCAAAAGCAUAUACCACCACCAAUAAUUCUUGCUCGGUAAUGGUAUAGUUACAUUGAGCAUCAUUCAAGGUUUUUCCAGAACAAUAGAUAGGAUGAAAAAGUUUUUCUUUGCAUUGACUCAACACCGCUCCUAAUGUGAUUCUACUUGCAUCACACAUCACUCAAACAGAGAUGACCAAUCUGGAGCCACAAUAAUGGGAGCCGAUAUAAGUAAUUCCUUGAAAUAAUUAAAGAACUUCAAGCAUGCAUCAUUAAAAUUGAGUUUUUCCUCCUUUUCAAGGAGUUUGCACAUUGGAUGAGCUAUUUUGGAGAAAUCUCUAAUAAAUCACCGAUAGAACCUGGCAUGUCCAAGGAAACACCUAAUACUUUUAACAGAAGUAGGAGGGGGUAACUUGGAAAUUACCUCUACCUUAGCUUGAUCAACUUGUAUCCCAAUCCCUGAGAUCUUGUCGCCCAAGACAAUACCCUCCUUGACUAUAAAAUGACAUUUCUCCCAAUUGAGUACAAAGUUGGUUUCCCGACAUCUCUUAAGAACCUUGCUUAGAUGCUCAAGGCAUGACUCAAAUGAGUUUCCCACCGCCAAGAAAUCAUCCAUGAAGACUUCCAUCGAAUCCUCAACCAUAUCUUCAAAGAUUGAUAACAUACACCAUUGGAAUAUUGCUAGUACAUUGCCUGAACCAAAAGACAUCCACUUGAAUGUGAAUGUACCAUAGAGGCAAGUGAAUGUCGUCUUCUUUUGGUCUUCCGGGUUAAUAAAAAUUUGGUUGUACCACUAAUAACCAUCAAGAAAGCAAUACCACCCCCACCCUGCUAACCUAUAUAGUAUUUGAGAAAUACUAAUUUGGUUGUACCUCUAAUAACCAUCAAGAAAGCAAUACCAUCCCCGCCCCACUAACCUAUAUAGCAUUUGACCCAUAAAGGGCAUAGAGAAGUGGUCCUUUUUGGUCCAAGAGUUCAACUUGCGGUAGUCCAUGCAUACCCUCCAUUCCAUGAUCGGUCAGAUAGGAACAAGGUUGUUCUUUUAAUUCACAACUACCGUAAUGCCAGCUUUCUUUAGAACACAUUACACCGGGCUUACCCAUGUGCUAUUGGAGAUUGGGUAGAUGACUCCCACGUCAAGCUAUUUUAUAAUUUCUUUCUUUACCACCUCCUGUAUAGGUUUAUUUAGCCUCCGUUGAUGUUCCACACUUGGUACAUGAUCAUGUUAUAGUUUGAUCUUAUGGUAAUAAUUUUUGGGAACUAAGCUAUGAUAUCCGCAAUUGUGUAUCCAAUGGCUCGAAUGAACUUUUUCACUACCAACUUCAAAGCUUCCAUUUGGUAGGGCUCAAGAUCACUUGCAAUGAUGAUAGUCAAGGUAUGUCAAUCCCCUAGGAAUGGAUGGCUUUGCGGGUGGACUCUCAUAGUUUUUAAGAUCAAGGUCCAACAUUACCGAAUUUUUAGUAUAAGAUCCAAUUCCUGUUAAAGAUGAAACCACUUGAUCAAAUGCUUCAACUUCAUAUCUUCCACAGUUCCAUGACUCCCACCAAUGGAUUAUCUACCAAACUCAUGUCAACAUAAUUUGUCACCUCACUAUCGAUGGUAUCGAUUACCGAAAUUACUUGCUAGCCUAUUGGUUGUUUCAUGGACUUUCAUACAUUAAAAGAAACGCCCUUAUAAUUUAGGCAAAACUUCAUCUCCCCUCACUCUGCAUCUACCAAUGCUCUCUUGGUGGCUAAAAAUGGCCUUCCAAGAAUAAUAGAAAUUUCAUUAUCUAAAACACAAUCAAGGAUGACGAAUUCCUCCAGGAAGAUGAACUGAUCGACUUUAACUAGCACAUCAUGAAGUAUUCCCAUUGGUUUUUUAAUGGUCCAAUCGGCCAUUAGCAAUCUCAUCGUGGUAGGUUGUGGUUUCCCUAAUCCUAGCUUGUGAAAUAUGGCAUAUGACAUUAUAUUUACACUCGCCCUGAGGUCACACAAGGCAUUUGCAAACUUGAAUAUUUCGAUGGUGCACGGGAUUGUAAAAGCACCGGUGUCUUUCUUGUUUUUUUCCAUGGUACUCAACAUAAUUGCACUAUAAUGAUGAGUUAUUUCUAUUUGUCUCAUCCUCUACAAAAUACUUUUUGUAGAUCAAUUCCUUCAUAAAAUUAUCAUACCUCGGCAUCUCUUACAAGGAUUUCAUCAAAGGAAUGUUGAUGGAAAGGUUGCUAAAUUUAUCAAGAAACUAUUUGAACUUUGCAUUUUCCCUUCUUUUCUUGAACCGUUGAGGAAAGGUGGAGGAAUUGUGAUUGGUGGCAUGGAGAAAAUUUUUCAUCUUUGAAUUUUCAAAGAUAACCUCAUUUGUCCUUAACUCGUCAUCAUUAGACCUCUUUCUGUCCAAACUUAUUUUCUCAUUAUUUUUUCUUUUGUUGGGAUCAUCAUCAAGCUCUAUGUCCUUGCCAAGAGUUUUUUUUCUUUAAGUGACAAUAGCAUUUGUUACCAUACCGAUCGAUAUCUCUUCAUUUUUUCUUUCCAUGAGGUGCACUAAUAUUUGAUUCAAUUUUUCCUUUAAUGGUCGGAUGGCGAUUAAAUAAGACUCAACCAUUUGAUGAAGCUUAUAGAAAUCAUUCCUCAUUUUUUCACUAUCAUAUCGAUCCCCUCAACUCCAAUCAAGAUUCAAGCCAAAAUAUCUCUAUUAAUACACCCCUCUUUUUGUAUUUAGACAUGCCUCAGUUCUCAUUGGACCUCAAUGCCACUUUCGACCAAGUAUUAUUUGGUUAAUUGAGAUGAAGUCUGUGUCGGAAGCCUCGAAUCGAAACCUUGGCAAACUUUUGAACCCAAAUUCACACAGAAAUCCUCCAAAGCUGAUUGGAAUCUAAAAUCUAUGGGAAAUUUGAGCAAAACCCAAACCAAUAAUGAUCAAAUCCAACCACAACUUCGAACGUUGAUCACAAUUUUUGAGUCUAUUUUCUCAACUAAAUUGGACAAGACGACGAGUAUCUUGUGGGUGUUGUUUUCCAGUGACUUUUAUCGCUGUUUUGGCAUCUUUGGUGGAUGUUUAUUGGAACAUUAACAAAUAAAAAUUAGGGUUUUCUUCGAUUGACAAUCCCAAUGAUGAUCCAUUUUCUCGAUUCUCUUCUCUCUUUCUCAGCUAUAUUUUGUAUGUUAUAAGUGUAGUAUGUAUUCGAGUGGGGUAUGUGUGUUUGUUACUGCAAAAUCAAUGGAGAAUUAUAGAUUAGAGGAGUGUGUGUGUGUGUGAGUUUGUUGGUGUGUGAAUCUUAUUCUCCCUCCAUAGCUGUGUGUGCGUGCAUUAUUCUGUGAGUGUGUCUUCUUUUCUAGUGAGGUAUCAAUAUGUGUAUAUGAAUAUCUGUGUAUGUGGAGUGCGCCAGUUUGUAUGUAUUGUAGCCCCUGUAUCUGUGUAUGAGUGCCUGUAUAUACGUGUGCAUUUUGGUGGGUAAAUUAUGAGAGAAUGUGUGUAUUGUGCCUCAAUAUCCUUGUGUGUGAGUUGUGUGUUUUCUGUUAUAACAAUUUUAGUGGGUCUCCUUUAUGUUAUGGUGAAGAUGAGUGAAAAAAUUUGAGUUUGUGAGAGCUGAGGUACGUGGUAGGGGUAGGGUAGGGGUGAGGGGGUUGGGCUGGGUAGGGUAGUGAGGUGGGUAGGAGUGUGUUUGUUAUUUUCUUAGGGUGAGGCAUCCAUUUUUAAAUGGUGAGGUUUUUAAUUUGUUAAUUUUAUGGAGAUAUAAUCACAUGAGGGUAAGGUACAUGGUUAGGUGGGGUAAAAAUGGUAAAAGGAUGAUUUUGGGGAAGGACAAAAUUAUGUGUCUGCAUCAUGCCCCUCUUUGGGUGUAAACAUAAAGUGUUUUCAAACAAAGAAGUAGACAACGAGAUAGAAUUUUGACUCGACCAUUAUUCGAAGGAAGAAAUAGAAGGAAGAAGGACAAUUGAGUUGGAGAGUCACGUGAGGUCCCUUCGAGGUUCCGGUCUGCGGCUUUUUCAUUACAUCAAAAAUGAAAAUUACAAAUUAAAAAUAUAAAUGAAAUUACAAAAGUCCUAUCUAUGUAGCUUUGCUUGACUCUUGACUUACUAUUUCAUCAUGCUAUUCUCCAGGCGGGCUCCUGACCUUCGAUUUCAUCACCCUGUUCUUUUGGUGGUCUCCUGACUUUCUAUUUCAUCACCUUAUUGCUUAGCUUUCAAUCUCAUCACCCUGUUCUCUAGGUGGGCUUCUGACUUACUAUUUCUUUAAUCUGUGGACUUUCAAUUUCUUCACCUUAUUUCUCGACUUUUUAUUUAUUUGCCCUGUUCUUCAGGUGGGCUCCUGGAAUCACAUCAAAAUAAGAAGAAAAUUAUUCCAAACAAAGAUUAUUAUAAAGAGAGAUUCCAUUUGCCAGAAAAGUAAAGUUUCAAACAACAGGAAUUAAUUUUUUUUCCCCGAUUUAUCGUCAGAGGACUUUUGUGAAAGUCAUAUCAUAACUACUUGAAAAACCCAAACAAGUAAAAUGCAUAUUCUAUCGGUUAAUUGGAAUAAUUCGACUAGAAAGUGCAUUUUCUAGGAGUCAAAUGGAAUGACUCAACUAGAAAGUACAUCUUCCAAGAGUCAUGGGGAAUGACUCAACUAGAAGGUAUAUCUUCUAGGAGUCGAGGGGAAUGACUACACUAGAAGGUAAAUCUUCUAGGAGUCAAGGGGCGUUACUCGACCAGAAGGUACAUCUUCUAGGAGCCAAAGAGAGUGGCUUGACCAUAAGGUACAUCUUCUAGGAGUCAAGGGGAGUGACUUGAUUAGAAGGUACAUCUUCUAGGAGUCAAAGGUAAUGGCUCAACUAGAAGGUACAUAUUCUAGGAGUCAAGGGGAAUGACUCGACUAGAAAGUACAUCUUCUAGGAAUCAAGGAGAAUGACUCGACUGGAAGGUACAUCUUCUAUGAGUUAAGGGGAAUGACUCGACUGGAAGGUACAUCUUCUAAGAGUCAAGGGGAAUGACUCAAUUGGAAGGUACAUCUUCAGAAGUCAAGGGGAUAAAUCGACUGGAAGGUAAAUUUUCUAGUAGUUAAAGGACUUCUAGGAGUCAAGGGAAUAACUCGACUAGAAGGUAUAUCUUCUAGGAGUCAAAGGGAAUAGCUCGACUAGAAGGUACAUCUUUUAGGAGUCCAGGGGAAUGAGUCGACUAGAAAGUACAUCUUUUAGGAAUCAAGGGGAAUGAAUUAACUAGGAUGUACAUCUUCUAGGAGUCAAGAGGAAUAACUCGACUAGGAAGUACAUCUUCUAGGAAUCAAAGGGAAUAACUCGACAAGAAGGUACAUCUUUUAGGAGUCAAGGGGAAUGACUCAACUGGAAGGUACAUCUUCUAGGAGUCAAGGGGUAUAACUUGACUGGAAGGUACAUCUUUUAGAAUUUAAGGGGAACAACUCAACUGGAAGGUACAUCUUUUAGGAGUCAAAGGGGAUGAAUCGAAUGAAAGGUACAUCUUCUAGGAGUCAAGGGGAAUGACUCGACUAGAAGGUACAUCUUCUAGGAGUCAAGGGGAAUGACUCGGCUAGAAAGUACAUCUUCUAGGAAUCAAGGGGAAUGAAUUAACUAGGAUGUACAUCUUCUAGGAGUCAAGGGGAAUAACUCUACUAGAAAGUACAACUUCUAGGAAUCAAGGGGAAUAACUCGACUAGAGGGUACAUCUUUUAGUAUUCAAGGGGAAUUACUCAACUGGAAGGUACAUCUUCUAGGAGUUAAGAAAAAUGACUCAACUUGAAGGUAUAUAUUCUAGGAUUCAAGGGGGAUGACUCAAAUGGAAGGUACAUCUUCUAGGAUUCAAGGGAAUGACUCGACUAGAAGGUACAUCUUCUAGAAGUCAAGGGGAAUGACUCAACUAAAAAGUAUAUUUUCUAGGAGUCAAGAGGAAUGACUCCACUAGAAAGUAUAUUUUGUAGGAGUCAAAGGGGAAUGACUCGACUAGAAAGUAUUUUCUAGAAAUGUUGGUUCAAUUUAAAAAAUGUAUCAUCUUGCAACUGAAAACUGAGAUACCUGAACAAGGAAGUGUGUUUUCGAGGGAUAUAGGAUGAUGAAUUUUUACCAUAAUUUGAUUAUCAAACCUGUACGGCAAAAUUGCUUCCUACAUUUAUAGAAGUGAGGCAUUGCAGCCCUUGAUAUCUAUGCUUUGAAGUCCUUGAUUUGAUGGUAACAUGUUUCCUAUUUCAUCAAAGAAUGCUUGUGAGUUUAAAAUAUUGUAACUGGUUUGUGGAUUUAGAUUUUACGGCAAUCGCUCUUGCCCUCGUCACAUUUAACCUUGCUUUCAACCAUUAGCAUAUGUCAUUGACAUACUGCAGCAAUGAUCUAAACACAGAUCAUUAAGAGGGACUCUGGCACAAAUAUAGUAUCACUGUUGUUGCUAUGUUUCUUGGACACAUCCUUUGGAACUUGGUAUUUCCAUGAAUCCCCAGACUUGUCUGUUGUAAAAACUUUCUGCAUGCCUUAUUCGGUUCAUAAUCAUGUGUCUUUCAUGUGCUGGUCUUUUUGUCUUUCUUUGUGUAAUUGAAGAAUUUGGUAGCCAGUUUUGAAAUCUUUUCUCACUUGUUUUGACACGGACUUGACACAAAAAAAAUAACACUAAUUUUUUUAUUUGGAUAGCUGACUCUAGAAAACAAAAAUAAAAAAUACACAGAGAAGAAAGAAAAGACAAUGAAUGUCCCUCUUUGAAACAAAGAAAUGAAAAAUUUAUCUAAAAAUGAUAGUCAACUCUAAUGAUUAUGCCAUGCCUUUUGGAUUAAGCUGUUUGAUCUUUCCAUCAAAACUUUUUACUAAUUGUUCUUGAGUUGAUGACCCUAAAAAUGAGUUAUUUCCUUGGUCCAAUCACAUUCAUAGACCUCAUUCAGCUAGUGACACCUUGAAGGGUUUUCACCGAGAAGCCUCUCUCAUUUUCUUUCUCUCAGCUCACCAUUGCCCUAUGGUGUCCAUGAGGAUUUUCACUAAUGAGACUCUCUUAUUUUUAUUUUUCUUAACUCACGGCCGUCUUAGGUGCCCGUGAGGGUUUUAACCAAUAAUACUCUCUUAUUUUUAUCUCUUUCAACUUACCAUCACCUUACGAUGUCUGUGAGGGUUUUCACCAAUAAGACUCUCUCAUUUUUAUUUCUCUCCUGAUUACUUAUGCUGAGGAAGACGAGUAGUUCCCAAAAUGUUUCAUCAUAUCCAUUGCAUGCUUAGCCUUAACAUUCUCAAAAAUUGAUCUAAAGUUCUUUCUUUGGUUGUAACUUGGCUUUUGGAUAAGGUUAGAAAGAAAGGAUGACAUGAGUCCCAAACGACACUUGAAAUGGAGUAGGACUUACAACUUUUGGAAUCGACUCAAACAAUGAGGAUUAACUCAUGCCCUAAUUUGUUUCGGCGGGGUAAUUCUAAAUUAUUUAUUUGGUUAGACCGAUCCCAUAGUAGGGCAUCCUUAGUAUCUCACUACCGAGAGAGGAGAAUCAGGUCACACAUAGUUUCGAUAACUUGUUCUUUUUCUUGAUUUUGAUUUCUUCUUUUUUCUCUUUUAUUGACUCUUUUUCUCUUUGAAACUUUUUCUAACUCUAUUUUUCUUGUCACUCCCCAUUUUUUUUUUGACAUAUUUUUGUUUUUUUUUCUUUUUUUGAAACUUUUUUGACUCGAUUGUUUUUGUCAAUACCUUUUCUUUUGAAUGUUGUUGACUCUAUCUUGAUUCCAAAAGAGGGAUAAGAAAGAAAAUAGAACUAAAGCUCAAAUGGGGUAAACAAAGGAUGAUACAAUGUUUGAAUAACAGAAUGGAAUGCCUUCGUCAUAUCAAUCCUUGAAAAUACAAGUACACAUCAUGCAAUAUGAAGUGAAAUAUGAAGAUCAUUUGUGACAUUUUUUUUACAGCACUAACUUUAACUGAGCCUGUACGUUGCUACUUCUUCUGCAAACUCCACCUUUGUUGUACAUUCCUCAAAUCAAUGACUCGUGAUUUUGUGGAUCAGAUUUUCUUUCUGCUCCUCUUGAUAUAGGAUCACACAUCUACUAUUUGCCCUAAUUGAGACAUGCCUUUCAAUUGAUGACCAAUUUAUUCUUAUGAUUCUUAAAAUAAUUGCCUUAAUUUUCAAAGAAGACUUCAACUUGGUCACCAAAUGUCCCAACACUCUACCUAUUUUCUUAGAUGCACUUUUUCUGAAUUUAGCCCUCUGAUUCAAUAUUUCAUGAUUAAAAUAGAUUUUAAAAUCUGACUAAAAAUUCUGCAUGAACGUCAUAUUAUUAGACAUAAAAAUGUACUGUGUAAAGAAAACAAAAAAAUACAUAUUUAAACACAAAGGAAAAAAAGAACACUCCAUUUAGUUGAAAUGAAAGAUAGAAGAGUUUGAACAUAAACAACAAAAGGAGAAAAUAAGAUAGAUCCUGAAUGACAACCCUAAAAUAAUUUGGAUAAUAGAAAAGAAAAAAAAAUCAACUACCAGACCUCUUUCUAGUAAGGAGAGGAGUAACUUCCUAAUUGCUGAGCCUGAUAUCUUAGCCACUAGUUUGCACAUCAGCACAACUAGAGCUUUUACUACUGUCAGACACAUUUCCUUCAACAAAUAAGUUCUGGAUCCCUAUAUUUAACUCAUUGCUUCCCACAUGUUUUACAUUAUCAUGGGUUGGUGAAGGAUUCCGUGUGACACUCGUAGUGUCAAUGUUUUGCACUAUAAUCAAUUUUUCUUGAAUCAUCCUUUCUAUUUCUCUUUUCAAAGCAUGAUAAUCCUCAAUACUGUGACCCUGAACAUCAGAAUGAUAUGCACAUCUUGCAUGAGGAUCAAAAUUUCUUGAAUGCGAGUCAAGAGUAUACCCAAGUAAAGGAGUGGUCAUUCCCAAACAUCUCAAUUUUUGAAAUAAACUGGCAUAUGAUUCUCCAAUUAGUUUAAAAUUAUCCAUUGACUUCCAUAUCUUUGCAAACUAUGGCCUCAAUUAAAAUUUGGAUAUAGAUGUUUUUGGUAAAUUUGUAGGGGUCGAGGAUAAUGUUGAGAAAUCAGUGCAUGCCAUUUUGGAUAAGAAAACGGAUGGGCAUACAAUUAUGCAUUGUUCAAAGGAUACUAAGGAAGUGGAAUGAAACAUCUUGGAUUUUGAAAAGAGGAACCUUGUUGUGGAUGAAUAGGUGGAUUUGAUAUGUAACCUCGGGAUUGAGACUGAUAAUAUUGUUGAGUGAGACCUUUCGAGCUCUGCUUUGUCCCUGGAAUGACAAUAGGUGUAUUUUCAUUAUUCUUCCCUUCUGUUUUUUCAUAAUUGAUUGUAUAUCAUCCCAAAUGUUGAACGACAUCUUUAUGUCCAUCAUUGUAAUACCCUAUACUUUUCCUAUCUUGAAAAGUUUCCCAAGGAUGUUAGAAGCUUUCUUUGAAAGAUGAAUCCACUUUUGUACAUGUGGUAUUUUCAGGAUUUUCACUUUUUAUCAUGUGGGGAAUCGAAUAAGCCUUCCAUUGAUACCAAAUUCUCUCAAAUUUAACACCCGGGUGAAGAGUUAGAGCCUUUUUAGUGAGACAAUGUAUCACCUAAGCCUUCAGCGCAUCGCAGAGAUAGCUCAGAUGACAAUUAUCAAUUUUCAGUGUUGCUCCGCGAUAGUGGCACGUCACACCAAACUUUCAGGUCGUAGGCAAGGUGGAAACGCGAUAGGUCCAUAUUGCGCCACUGUGCAAUUUCCCAUUUUUCACUUUUCAGUGACUUGGCGCGAUAGUGGCGCGUCGCGCCAAGGAUGAAAAUUGGGAAAUUUUCUCAAAAAUUAAAGACUUGUCUAGGGUUUAAAGGGUCAAUUUACCACCCCUAUAUAUACCCUAUAAUACGAGAUUUAGUCAUUCCUCACCCAAAAUAUACUAGUUUCUCUCAAGAACAAGCUAGGGUUUCUAUUAGGGAUUCAAAUUCAAGAAGGUUUCGCCAUCAAUCCUCAAGAAAUCACAUCCUUGGUAUGCAUAGUGUUCAUUCAUGGGCUCCUUUCAUCCAUGAAGCCUAAGAAUCUAUUUUCUAACUUCAAGUUUAUGGAUUUCUUUAUGAAUUUCAUGUUGGGUUUGUUUUGUUUAUGCUGAGAAUGAUCAAUUAAAUUCAAAUCCAUGUUGGGUGAUCAGUGUUAGGUGGAAUUGAUUUGUAUAGAUGUAUAUACAUGUGAACCUAUGAUUAAACCCUAGGAUGAUGAAAUUAGAUGUUGAAACAUGAUGUUUAAUUGUUGUGUAAUGUUGUCUACAUAUAUUAUGCCUACCAUGUGUUUGAUUAAGUGCCUACAUGAAGAAAAAGUGCCCAGCUAGCAUGAUAUUAUGAAAGCCCCAUUUACAUACAAGUUUAUGCAUAUCAAAUGUUUGAUGAAGUUCUUUAAUAUAUGAACUAUGAAUUGUGUUGUUGGUCAUGUGUUCAAGUAAGCUAUGCUAUGUCAGUUUUUUCCAUCGAGUCCUGGGGGUACUUAUACCCGACAAUUUAGUUGCGUGCCUAGAGCUAUGUCAAGUUUUCACGAUAAUCUCAGUCAAGCCAUGAUCAGUAGAAUUUAGUCUGUCUCAUGACUCAGAAAAUCUCAGUAAAUUCAGUAUCCAUCAGAUCAGUCCUACUCAGUAAUCUUAGUAACCACAGUAUUCCUAGUAAUCUCAGUAACUUCAGUACUCUUAGUCAGUCCUCAAAACUCAGUAUAUUCCGUCAGUCAAUGGAACUCAGUAAACUCAAUUUAGCUCCGUUAAACAAUACCAUUAGUAUCAUCUUAGUUCAGAUAAUCACUUCAGUUCAGUUAAUCAGUUCAGUGUCUUUUAGAUGGGAGUAGGAUUCAGUACCGAGCGAGCCUAGGGAUGGGGACUCACCUGCUAGAUAGGACUGAGAUCCCUAGAAGAAAUCCCUAAGUUCUAGAACUACAUAACCAGCAUAGGUAUGAUAUGUCACCCAUUAGAUAGGACUAACAUACUCAAGGAUCACCCAUUAGCAUAUUUAAAUAUAUAGGACUGAUCCCAAGGGUCACCCGCUAGAUUAGGACUGACUCCACAGUAGUUGUUUCUAUCAGUGGCGCAGUAUUGACACCCUUCCAACUAGGGUUAUAGGUUGGACCCCAGUUAGCUUAGUAUGGAGCAUGUCGGUUAGAUGAUUACAUCCCAUAAUUUCAGUUACUCAGAUACAGUACGAAACUCAGCUAGUUUCAUCAGAUUCAGGACUAUCAAAUACAGUCACUCAUGUUAUUAGUUAUAUUAGUUAUCAGAACUUAUGUUAUUAUCAUUCAGUUUCAGGACUGUCAGAUACAGUCAACCAUACCAGUUCUUCAUAAUCAAAACUGUCAGACACAGUUAUCCAUGUAUUAGUAAUGUAGUAUCAAUCCCUCAGUAUUUAGUAAUAUAGUAUCAGUUUCUCACUCAUCAGUGACUCAGAUGUCAAUGUCAGUAGAAUCAGUAGUCAGAACUCAAUAUUCAGUCCUAUCAUGAUCUCAGUUACAGUUACGUAUGCAUGCAUGUAUUCUCAUGUUCAUAUUAGUCAAUCAGUUAGUAUUGUUCAUGCAUAUGAACCUAUUCCAUUCAGCCUACCUCACUUGCAUAUCAGUAUAUUCAAAGUAUUGACGCAUUUGUGCUAUGGUGCUUAUACCAUAGGUUUAGAAGCAUGAGCUCCAGAGAACCAGUAGUAUCCCAGUUCAGCGAUCAGAGUUAGCAAUGAGCUCUUAUCCUUCGAGGACAUGAUGAUCACAUUACUAUUUUAGUUUUCAAUUUAUUUCACUAGUUGGAGUUAGUUGGGGACAUGUCCCAUCAACUCCUUAUUCAAACAGUUUAGAGGCUUUCAGACUACAGUAUGUUCAGACAAUUAUCUCAGCUGUUUUGGUAUUGUUAUACCAUAUUUUUUAGUUAUGUACUAGUAUUAAACCUUAUGGCCUUUCAGUUCAUGUUUCCACAUUUACGAUAUUAUUACUAUUAUUCAGUGCUUAGUUUACAGAUAUCAGUCAUAGGUUAGCUUGUGAUCCUUUGGGGUUAUGGGCACCGUGUAGCAUUCCAGGUACCAGAUUUGGGGCGUUACAAACUUGGUAUUAGAGCCUAAGGUUCAAUAGUAUCCUAGGAAGUCUGAAAAGCCGCAUCUAGUAGAGUCUUUUACAUGCAUUUGUUGUGCACCACACUUUUGUGCAGGAGGCUAUGAGGUGUUUUAGGAACAGUUUCCCUUCUUUCAGUAUUCAUGUCAUGCCAGUGAGCAUAGGCUCAAAGUUAAACUAUCAGUCAUGAAUCAGUCCGUGGAUGCCCUAUGCAUCGCCCCAGUAUCUCAGUAGGGUGAGCAUUCUUAGAGGGACAUAGUGUCCCAAGGAGGAGAUACCCUAUUAUUUCCUCAACGUUCACAUGCCUUAAAUAAAGUUUCUCUUCGAAUAAUGAAUCUAUUUUAGAGUAGAGGGUAUUCAUAAGUUGAUCCUCAAAGUCCUAACCUCAGCUUUGGGCCAAGUAUUCAGAGGCUCAGUUCCGUUCAUAAUGUUCAGUUCGUAUGCCACGUAUCAGACUAAACUCAGUUAGGUUCUCAUAUUUUCGCUCAUGCAUGUUUAGUAAGAUGAUAUCGAAUUCAUUAGCAUUUCCAGUUAAGAUAACAGUUCUCCUUAGUCUUACUCAGUUUCAUGUUCAGUGUUUAUCACAAACUUGGUACUAUGUACCCUUUCAUAUUUAGCCAUGCAUUCAUAUAUCAGUUCAGGUAUGCAAUUAUGCAUCAUACAUGCAUUAUCACUGUGAGAAAUUCAGUUCAUCAAAAUAUUCAGUAAUGUACUCAUAAGUCAAUUUCAGUCAUGCAUCAGAUAUGCGUGAAUUCAGCUUAUUAGUCAUGCAUCAGAUAUGCAUGUUCAGUAUGAUAUAUUAAGCCAUCAGUCAUGUUAGUCAUGAAAUCAUGUUCCAGCCAGUCAUGUUCAGUAUGUACGUUAGUUUGUAUUCUUUCCCUCUCACUCAGUCUCAUUCAAGGACGAACGUUCUCAAGGGGGAGAUGUUGUAAUAACCCGUAUUUUUCUGAGCUUAAAAAGUUUUCUAAGGAUGUUAGAAGCUUUCUUUGAAAGAUGAAUCCACUUUUGUACAUGUGGUAUUUUCAAUAUUUUCACUUUUUAUCAUGUGGAAAAUCGAAUAAGCUUUCCAUCGAUACCAAAUUUACCUAAAUCCGACACCUGAGUGAAGAGUUAAAGCCUUUUUAGUGAGACAAUGUAUCACCUGAACCUUCAACGCGUCGCAGAGAUAGCUCAAAUGGAAAUUGUCAAUUUCCAGUGUUGCUUCAUGAUAUUGGUGCAUCGUGCCAAACUUCUAUGUCGCAGACAAGGUGGCAAUGUGAUAGCUCCGCAUCGCACCACCGUGCAAUUUCCUAUUUGUCACUUUCUAGUGACUUGGCGCGAUAGUGGCGCGUCGUGCCCAGGAUAAAAAUCGGAAAAUUUUCUCAUAAAUUAAAGACGCGUUCAGGGUUAAAAGGGUUAAUUUCCCACCACUAUAUAUACACAAUAACAAGUGAUUUAGUCAUUCUUCACCCAAAAUAUACUAGUUUCUCUCAAGUUUCUCUCAAGAAUAAGCUAGGGUUUCUAUUGGGGAUUCAAAUUCAAGAAGGUUACACCAUCAAUCCUCAAGAAAUCACAUCCCUGGUAUGCAUAGUGUUCAUUCAUGGACUCCUUUCAUCCAUGAAGACUAAGAAUCUAUUUUCUAAGUUCAAGUUUAUGGAUUUCUUUAUGAAUUUCAUGUUGGGUUUGUUUUGUUUAUGCUGAGAAUGAACAAUUGAAUUCAAAUACAUGUUGGGUGAUCAAUGUUAGGUGGAAUUGAUUUGUAUAGAUGUAUAUUAAUAUGAACCUAUGAUUAAACCUUAGGAUGAUGAAAUUAGAUGUUGAAUCAUGAUGUUUAAUUGCUGUAUAAUGUUGUCUACAUAUAUUAUGCCUACCAUGUGUUUGAUUAAGUGCCUAUAUGAAGGAAAAGUGCCCAACUAGGAUGAUAUUAUAAAAGCCCCAUUUAUGUACAAGUUUAUGCAUAUCAAAUGUUUGAUGAAGUGCUUUAAUAUAUGAAUUAUGAAUUGUGUUAUUGGUCAUGUGUUCAAGUAAUCAUUUUUUUCCAUCGAGUCCUGGGGGUACUUGUACCCGACAAUUUAGCUGUGUGCCUAGAGCCAUGUCAGGUUUUCACGAUAAUCUUACUCAAGCCAUGAUCAAUAGAAUUUAGUCAGUAUCAUGACUCAGGAAAUCUCAGUAAAUUCAGUAUCCAUCAGAUCAGUCCCACUCAGUAGUCUCAAUAACCGUAGUAUUCCUAGUAAUCUCAGUAACUUCAGUACUCUUAGUCAGUCCUCAGAACUCAGUACAUUCCAUCAGUCAAUGGAACUCAGUAAACUCAGUUUAUCUCCACUAAAUAAUACCAUUAGUAUCAGCUCAGUUCAGAUAAUUACUUCAGUUCAGUUAAUCAGUUCAGUGUCUUUCAGAUAGGAGUAGGAUUCAGCACCGAACGAGCCUAGGGAUGGGGACUCACCCGCUAGAUAGGACUGAGAUCCCUAGAAGAAAUACCUAAGUUCCAAAACUACAUAGCCAGUGUAUGUACAAGAUGUCACCCGUUAGAUAGGACUGACAUACUUAGGGAUCAUUUGUUAGCACAUUUAAAUGUAUAGGACUUAUCCCAGGGGUCACCCGAUAGAUUAGGACUGGCUCCACAGCAGUUGUCUUUAUCAGUGGCGCGGUACUGAUACCCUUCCAACUAGGGUUACAGGUUGGACCCUAGUUAGCUUAGUAUGGGGCAUGUUGGUUAGAUGAUUAUAUCCCAUAAUUUCAGUUACUCAGAUAUAGUACGGAACUCAGCUAAUUCCAUCAGAUUCAGGACUAUCAGAUACAGUCACUCAUGUCAUUAGUUAUAUUAGUUAUCAGAACUUAUGUUAUUAUCAUUCAGCUUCAAGACUGUCAGAUACAGUCAACCAGACCAGUUCUUCAUAAUAAAAACUGUCACACAGUUAUCCAUGUAUUAGUAACGUAGUAUCAAUCCCUCAGUAUUCAGUAAUAUAGCAUCAGUUUCUCACUCAUCAGUGACUCAGAUGUCAAUAUCAGUAGAAUCAGUAGUCAGAACUCAAUAUUCAGUCCUAUCAUGAUCUCAGUUACAGUUACGUAUGCAUGCAUGUAUUCUCAUGUUCAUAUUAGUCAAUCAGUUAGUAUUGUUCAUGCAUAUGAACCUAUUCCAUUCAGCCUACCUCACUUGCAUAUCAGUAUAUUCAAAGUAUUGACGCAUUUGUGCUAUGGUGCUUAUACCAUAGGUUUAGAAGCACGAGCUCCAGAGAACCAGUAGUAUCCCAGUUCAGCGAUCAGAGUUAGCAAUGAGCUCUUAUCCUUCGAGGACAUGAUGAUCACAUUACUAUUUUAGUUUUCAAUUUAUUUCACUAGUUGGAUUUAGUUGGGGACAUGUCCCAUCAACUCCUUAUUCAAACAGUUUAGAGGCUUUCAGACUACAGUAUGUUCAGACAAUUAUCUCAGCUGUUUUGGUAUUGUUAUACCAUAUUUUUUAGUUAUGUACUAGUAUUAAACCUUAUGGCCUUUUAAUUCAUGUUUCUGCAUUUAUGAUAUUAUUACUAUUAUUCAGUGCUCAGUUUAUAAAUAUCAGUCAUGGGUUAGCUUGUGAUCCUUCAGGGUCAUGGGCACCGUGUAGUAUUUCGGGUACCAGAUUCGAGGCGUUACAAUCAUUCUCCUCAAAUUUUGAUAUUUCAUAGCUUGGAGGAUGGUUGACACUUGAAUACAUGCCCCAGUCUUUAUAUGAAACAUAUUCAUAACCUGUAAGUCCCAGGAAACUUUUCAUAGCAUUUUCUGCAUUCUCCAUUUUUCCAACCAUUUUCUCUGGCUCUUCUAGCAUGCUAGGCUUCUUGGUAAGAAAUUUUGGUAGUCUAAUUAACUUAAAAUUUAGGUUCAAAAGUAUAACAAUGAUCAUCAAUAGUCUUGAAUGUGGAUUCACUAGUGGACUGGGGAAAUACAAUCGUUAGGCGGACAACUAAUGUGGAAACCUCAGUAGAGGGUUGAGCAACAAAAUCACAAACGAUAUAUGGUGUUGUGAAUGUAGUUGGCUUAUGUUAAGGAGCUAGAGAAAGAGUGGUGGAAGUAUUGGGAUGUAGUUGAGGAACAAAUUUUGAGACAUACUAAGGUGCAUCAACAACAGUAGGAAGCUGACAUAGUGAUUUUGGUGGAAAACUCAAGGUAUUUAUAGGAUCAAAAGUAGGGAAUAGAGAAGGAGGCAACCCACUGGCCCAAGUUCGGUGAAUUACCAUCAUUUGUUUCCUUGAUCUCAAAAUCUCUUGCUUUAAACUCUCCUUUUCCCGACUCUUUGUUUGGUCUAUGAUGUCACUCUCUAUAUCCAUGUUGGACACAAUUAACCCUUCCUUGAAUUUGGUGUAAUGUGAAGGACCAGCCAGAAUGCCACAAACCAACCACUUUAAACUAACUGAAUAAGAAAUAACAGAGAUGUUAGAAUGAAAUACUUUUCAAAACUCUUUUUCUUCUUUUUUUCUUUUGAAAAGAUCACCAAACCCAAGAAGGGCGCCUACGUAUCUCACUCCCAAGAGAAGAAUCAGGUGUACAUAGUUCUUGAAGUUUUGGCACCAUAUGGCCGAUCAAACUUUUUUUUUCUUCUUCUUUCUCUUGAAAUCUUAAGAAGCAAAGAAAACAACAAAUUGUCAAAAGAAUUGAUGAAAAUCUUUUUGAAUUUUCAUCUUUAAAAUCCCAUACAAAAUGAAACAUAUGAUUACCAAAGAAAAUCUUUUUGGAUUUCAUACGAAAGUGAAACUUGAACCUAUUAAAGUAAUUUUUUUUUUAUAGUUUUCUUUUAAAGAUGUAUACGAAAAACCUACUAUAAAUAAAGAGUGAAGAAAAUCUUUUUGAAUUUUUUAAACAAGAUCACCAAACCCACGAAGGGCUGCCUACGUAUCUCACUCCCAAAAGAGGACAAUUAAGGAUUAAAUAACCAAUUGACCCUAACUUAAGAGACACAACCAAAGACAGACAAUGAAUAACAUUAAUUUUUUGGGGCUUUUUUAAUUAGACACUUCACAUAAAAAUGACACCAACAAACUAUGAAAGAAAAAUCUUUUUUGGCAUUUUCGUUAUAUGAAUGUACAAAACUUCUACCUUUUUUUUUGAAUUUUUCUUUUAUAAAAAACUCCUAUUGAAAUUUUUUUUAAAAAUUUUUUGAAUUAUGAAUGCUUACUAAAGAAACAAAAGAAAAAUCUUUUUGAUAUUUUUGUUUAUGGACAAAUGAGUUUUGGACUCACUUUUUUUCCUUUUCUCUUUUUUUUUUUUCAAAUUUUCCUUUGCUUACACAUGCUUUCCCUUUAAUUCUAGCAUAUGGUUUCCCCCAAAUCAUUCCGUCAAAUGAUCCUGUUACCCUCAAAGAUGAAACAAUUAGCACGUAGGGAUGCUUUAGGAGUGAGUCUCCUACAAAGGACAAAGUGGGUCUUGCUAGAUCUCAAUAUGAUCCAGAUAAGCAUGACCUAAAGGCUGACCUAGGCUGGGGUCCACUAACAAGGCUGUCCAGGGAAGCGUAUGGUCUAUAGUGGUUGGGAUAGCUUUUCACCUACUCCAUACUAGCCGAUAGCUCCCCCUCCUAAAAUAAGGGUGACUCAACUAGAGAUCGUGUAUACAACAUAUACUAUGGGAAACUUUGCGAAAGACAUGACUCGGGCAAUGCAAAUGAUGACAGGUAUAACUGUAACACAUAAGGAAAAACUAUAAACGCGUAGCACAUAAGUACAUAAUAAUGAUAAUACAAUACAAACGAUAACACAAAUAACAUAUGUACACUCAUAGUAUCAAACUAAUCCGAUACAACUAAAAAAAUAAGCUCGAAUUCUAAAAAAUCCCCAGCAGAGUUGUCAGAGCUAUCACACCCCCUUUUUUUUAUCCAAAAAGAUUGAAUUUUAAAUUUGAAAGGGUUUUUAUUACUAAGUGACAAAGAACGAAAAUUUAUUUCAAAAAGAAUUCUUUUACAUUUAAACUUAGAGUCGCCACUUGGCAUAAAUUUAGAGUGCCAAGUCACCAUUGGAAAUCCUUUUUCAAAAUGGUUUGAUUCUUUAAAAACUGGUCCACGAACAGAAAUUCCGGUUAAGAAAAUUUGUUAAUCAAGGGGUAGGUGUUAGGCACCCCUCGAUCCCGUGGUUCGACCAUGGUUACUUCAUGGAGUAUAUCUGCUAGUACGACACUAUGAAUGUAUAAACCACAUACAACACCUAAAACAAUCAAUCACACAAACAAAACAAAAUAAGUCCAAAAAUAUAGCGUCCAGUCCAAUUAUUACAGUUCGAAAUAAAUAAAUUGAAAUAAAAUACUAACCUAUAGUAGUCAUAGGCUAUGCUUUACCCGAUGCCUCGGGCCUUGAUCACGAAUGUCCUCCGAGUAUAAGAUACUUCGGGGCAUUCCUCGGUGAAUAAAUACAAACAACCUCGGAGCAUUCCCCGGCUAAAUAAAUACAUUUUCAAUGUGAGAAAACCAAAAUCAUUCAAUAAUAUUUCAAAUAUUCAACAAUUCAUAAUCACUAAAUUUGCCUACCUCCUAUCAUUUACCUAUCAAUUUGACGGCCUAAUCAUGAUACUAUCGAGUCCGAGAAAAUUAAUAUCCAUUUCAAAUUAACUCAAUCAAUGAACCAAUCUGAGUCAAUAUUCAUUCUUUAUCACUUUUCAAAUCCCCCAAUUUAUUCUCGAUCACUCAAUUGAUUAAUUAUUUAAUAACCAAUCAUGAAUAACAAACAUUGAUCAAACCAACACUCAAACGUCACCAACAAUCCACAUUAACAAAUAAAAUAGUGAUAUUGAAUCACGUUCACAAUCAAAUAAGAAUUAAAAUAAAGAAAAGAAAUAAUUGGACCUCAAUACCGCUUUGACCAAGUAUUAUUUGAUUAAACGAGAUGGAGUCCGCGCUAGAAACCUCAAAUCAAAACCUCAGCAAACUUUUGAACCCAAAUUCACACAAAAAUCCUCCAAAGUCGAUUGUAAUAUGAAACCUAUGAGAAAUUUAAGAAAAACCUAGACUACCAACGAUCAAAUCCGACCACAACUCCGAACGCCGAUCAAGAUUUUUGAGUCCAUUUUCUCACCUGAGAUGGCUAAGACAAUGAGUAGCUUGUGGGUGGUAUUUUUUGGUGGCUUUGGUCGCUGUUUUGGCAUCUCUGGUGGUUUUUUGUUAGAACAUUAAUAAAUAAAAAUUAGGGUGUUCUCUGAUUGUCAAUUCCAGCGAUGAUUCAUUUUCUCGAUUCUCUUAUCUUAUUACAUGUAUUUUCUGUGUAUUGUGAGUGUGGUGUGUAUUCGAUUGGUAUGUGUGUUUUUGUUAUUGUGAAAUCAAUGAAGUAUUAUAGAUUGGAGGAGUAUGUGUGUGAGUUUGUUAGUGUAUGAAUCUCAUUCUCCCUCCAUAGCUCUGUGUGCAUGCAUUAUUAUGUAUGUCCCCUUUUUCGAUAAGGUAUCUGUGUGUGUAUAUGAAUAUCUAUGUAUAUGGAGUGCGCCUAUGUGUAUGUAUUAUAGUGUGUGUGUUCUCUGUGAGUGGGAUCCCCUGUAUCUAUGUAUGAGUAUCUAUAUAUAUGUGUGAGUUUUGGUGGGUAAAUUGUAAGAGAGUGUGUGUAUUGUGCCUCAAUAUCCCUGUGUGUGAGCUGUGUGUUGCAAUUUAUGUGGGUCCCCUUUCUGUUAUGAAAAAUAUAAGUAAAAAAAUAUGAGUUUAUAAAGGGUGGGGUAUGCGGGUAGGGGUAGGGUAGGGGUGGAGGGUUGUGGAUAGGGGUGGAGGGUUGUGGGUAGGUAGGGUAGUGAGGUGGGUAGGAGUGUGUUUGUUAUUUUGUUAGGGUAAGGUGUCCAUUUUUAAAUAAAGAGGUUGUUAAUUUGUUAAAAAUUUGUUAUUUUUGUAUCAUUUUGGAGGGAUAAUCACAUGGGGGUAAGGUACAUGGUAAGGAGGGGUAAAAAUGGAAAAAAGAUGAUUUUGGGGAGUUGCAAAUUACGUGUUUACAGAAUUGACAAAAAUUUAUGAUUUCAUCCUACAAUUGUAACAUUUUUGAGGGUGGGAAGUAUUGAUCCAAGAAAUCCUCCAUAAGUUUGACCCACGAGGUAAUGGACUCGACGGGUAGAGAUCUUAGUCACAACACUGCCUCACCUGUUAGAUAAAAUAGGAAGAGCCGCAACCAUACGGAUUCUUAUGAUAUGUGAGAAAUGUCAAAAUAAGUACAUACUUCCACAAAAUUCUUCAAGUGCAAGUUUGGGUCAUCAUGUACUUGGACCCCAAACAAACCCUUCAUAUGAAGCAAUGGAGCAUCAUACUUGUGACAUGAAAUACUCCGUUUCCCUUGGUGGGGGAAUACAGAUAACAUUAGCAUGUUCUUCGUCGUCAAGAUAAUCCAUAGUUUCAACAUGUUCAUAUGAUAGGUUGUUGAUGACUCCUUCUUGACUUAUGGUUAUUUUCAAGAAAUAAAGAUUACCUACAGAAGAAACAAAAACAACAACUAAACUAAGUAAACACCACUACAGGUAGACUCAAAGCUACAAUCAACACCGUAAAAGUGAACACUAAGUUUUACUCCCCGACAACGGCGCCAUUUUGAUUACGCUCAACUUACUCCAUAAUUUAUGGGCAAGGCGAUCGUUGUCAAAUAUAAUAAUCCAACAUGAGUUAGGGUCGAAUCCUCAAGAAGUGAAUCUAGUAUUCAAAUCCUAUGGGUAUUGAAAGUGUCUAAGUAUAUACCCGUAGUUUAAACGAAAUGAAAUACAUGAAUUAAAAUUUGGGGGGUGUAUGGUUUCGAAAAAUUAUUUUAACAAAAACUACUCAAAUUAACAAUUGGGAGAAACAAAUGUAGAUAAGAUUCCAAUGGGAGAAUGGUCUUGGGAUUGUGAUUUCCUAGGGGCAAAUAGUGUAUGGGUUCAUGAUAAUCAAAUGCAACUUUUGGUUAAUAACUAUAUGGGUAGGCUGGGUUAUGGUCUUUGAUGCUAGCUUUUCAACCAAACACGAAGAUAUCACUCAUGGACCCUUUUGAAUACCUAAUGAGUGUGGCAAACAAAUCCACCCAACACCUUAAUUGGGCAUCCCUAUUUCUAUAAAGAUGCGCAAGACAUAGAAAAUUCACAAUCCACACUUAUUUCUAAGACAAUGAAAAGGAACAAGCUAAUAUCUAAUCUAUUAUUCACAAAUACUAUUCAUUCACAUCCCUCUUUAAAGUAUGGUGUGCAAUUUGGGAAAAUUGAGGCUUUCACCCACAAAUCCCAAUUUAGCAAUCAAAUAUUUGUGAAACCCACCAUCAUCAACUAAGAAUUUACACUAAUAAUCAAAACCCACACACAUUUGCACCAUAUUUAAACAUAAUCCUAAGAUAGAAUAUUUAGCUAAUUAUUUCCACAUUCAUCUCUCCAAUUGAAAAUAAAGCAAAAUUAAUCCCAAAAUUCCAAGCUCCAAUUACAACUAAAAAUAUCUUUUUGGAAGAUUAAAUACAGUUGAUCUUCUCACACUAAUUGGAAAUUUUCUCUCUAUUUCUCUUUCAAAGGUAGUUGGAAGAUGUUGCCAAAGUGAAAAGGUUUGCCCUUUUGAGAGAUUGGAACCAGUUGUGGAAAAUUAUCAAUCUACCCCUAGAAUGAUUUCCAUCUCAUCAUGAUAGCCGAUAUAAUAAUCGCGAUUACAGAGAACCUAUCAUGAUCGCCAGCUUUUAUUGAUUUGGACUAGCCAUGAUCACGACCCUCAGACCGCGAUCACGGUAACUGGAGGUCAGUUCUUGCUCCUGCUUUUUCAGCUUUUGAACUACUUCUUCACUUUUUGAUCUGUUUUAGCUUAUUUCAUUUCUUUGCUUCUUAUCACCUGUAUGCCUACAAAACAUCAUUCAAAUGAAAUUUUUUAAUCAUUAAAACCAUUAACUCAUAGUAGUGUGCACGGAUUUGGGCAACAAUGAGCGAUAAAUUUACCACUCAUCAAUCAGCCUUUGCAUGAUGUUACUUUCUAUCAGAAACUUGUUGAGAAGUUGUUGUAAGCUACCAUUACAAGACCAGACAUCUCUUAUGAAAUAAAUACUCUCAGUGUAACACCCUUAAAAUAUCAUCUAUUUCAUUUUUUUACCUUUCCGUGUUUGAAACAUUGAUUUUUGACCUGAGAUGUGCUUAAGGAUGUUAAAAGGGUAAUCCGGGUGAGUUUUAAAAUUUUUGAAGGAGGUUCGAGGUCAUUUUAGAGUUAUGAGGCAGUGAGCCUCCGUGAUAAUAUCAUGUCACGAAGGAUAAUCUUUGGAAUAAGCAGCGUGUCAUGGAGGAUAAUCUCUGUAGUAAGCAGCAUAGCAUGGAGGUUAGCCUCUGUGAUAAGCAGUGUGUCACGCUGCUUUGUAAAAUUUGGGUAGUCACUUUAGGGUGAAGGGUUUUUGGUUCUUUCUCCCCUUUUAAAACCCUCCCCUAUGACUUAAAUCAUCUAAUAAGAGUUAUUACCCAUUGUUAAUUAGUUUUAAAUACUCAUUAUUCUCUGCUCUCUCAAGAAAAAGAGAAUUAGGGUUUCUUUCAAUGCUGAUGCUUUUAAGACUAGAUUCAAGCUGUUUUGAAUUCUUAAUCAUCAAAAAGGUACGUAGAACUAUCCUAACAAUGAUGGGCCAAAAAUUUAUGUUUCCUUCAUGGACUUGAAAAUAUGUGGUAUAUGUGUAUGUAUGAUUUUUUAGAAUCAACUUAAGAGCAUGAUUAUGAUAUUACCUCUCUCAUGAUGAAAUUUACUUUUCUUAAUAUGUUAUAGGUUGUUCAAAUGUAUGAUUAAAAGAUUAAGUAAUAUGUUUUAUUAUCAAUGGCGAAUUGAUAUGGUUUUGAAUUCAAGAGAGGGUACUUUCCUUACUUUCGAUAUGCUCAUUCAUGUUAAAUGGAAAAAUUUCAUGUGAUCUAUGAGAUUUCCUUACUUUCCAGUUGAAAAGGGAAUGUUUUUGCAUGAAUUUUUCAUAUGCUAUUUUGAAUUAAGAACUCCCAUGUUAUGUUUAACUCUUUUGGUGGUAAUUAAUAAAUUUUGAAUAAAAAAGGCUAAGAAUAUGACAUGACAUGAUAUGGCUUGCAUGUCUAGGUAUGCUGAUACCUAUCACAACAUGUCCUUAACAUGAAAGAAAAGAAUGAUAUAAGCAUGAAGCAUGGUUUUAAGAGGUUAAAAUUAGGCUCAAAGAGAUUUAAAUGGUUACCUGAAGAAGGCAUAAGUUCAGAUAACUCAUCGCUAGAAACCGUAUUUUGGCGAUGCGGGUUUUAUGAAAUCUUAUUGGUUAAGUGGGAUAAUGUGAUGUAUCAUCAAGAAGGCAUACUUUUCAUAAAAUGGUAUGUCAUCAAUAAGGCAUACAUUUUCAUGACACUCCAAAUCCUUACGACAAACUCAGAAUGGGGGCUUGACUGUUGAGUUACUGGUGGAUUUCAUAUAACCCAUGGAAUUUAAGAAAUGUAAGGUGUACCAUCUAGCUCAGAAGUAAAAUAAAGAGUGUUGUCUACAUUUGUCCAAUAAUAAUUUGAAGCUAAAUUUAUUAUGUCCAUAUGUUUUGAUCUCUACUAUGUUGAAUUGAUUUUGGUAAGUUUUGAUUCUUUUAUAUGAAAUAUAUAUAUAUAUAUAUAUUGGUUUUUUGGAUUGUUCUACGUACAAAUAUAUUCAAAGUAUUGACCAUCCUUAUGGAGAUUGUAUUGUCUCAUAAUGUAGGAUCUAAGGCACAGUCCCACGGUCCAAUUCAACAGUAGUAGAUUGUUCCAAAAGUUUAGAGUCGGUGAGCCUCCCUUAUUUUGGAAGUCAUUUUUUUCAUAUGAUAGUUUCAUUCAUUUUUUUGGUCCUACCAGUGGACUUGACCCCGCUUAGAUAGAUAAGUAUUUCAGUAGAGACUUUGUAGGCUGCUUUAGAUUGGAUUUGGAUGUUUUGGAUGUAUUUAAAUUUGAUUACAAGCCUUUCCAUAUUUCAAUUUUAUUUUUUGUACCUUAUUCUUAUGAAUUAUGUUCAUGAUGGCAUGUUAUGGGGUAUCUCGGGACUUCAUGGUUCAAGAUGUCCGUUGUUUCCAGGGCCUCAGCUCAAGCCAUAGCAAGCUUAGUAUCAAAGCACGGUUUAGGGUUCUAGAUUGUCUACUAAGCCAUGUCGAGUAGAGUCAUUAUUAUAGGUGUGUAGCAUGCUACACUUAUAUGGGGGAAGAUAUAAGACAUUUAGAAAUGUUUCCCUUUUUUUUAUGAUUCUAGUUCGUGCUAUAGGGUCUGAAUAUUUCCUAACUCAUGACUUUCUAUGUUUUAGAUCAUACCUCCCCAUAGAUCUAAUGAGCAGAACAAUGUGUCUAUUGGGACAAAUGCAGAAGAUGUCUGCCCUACCAUGGGAUAUAGACCUGUUAUAGAGUAUGUACUCCAGAAUUUACUAUUCCUUCGACUGUCCCACCAGUUUAGACUAGCACUUCUUAGUCUUCUCUAUCCAGUAUCAACAACACUCAGUCCCCACACAGAGAGGUCUCAAAUGCUAAGUUUCAUUAGUCUAUCCAUAUGAUUUCUCAGCUUAUGGCUUCAGUCUAAUCGGUCUGGGGAUGUGAGUUCUUUCAUUGGUUCUUCUGAGGUAACUUGGGUUGGUUAGUUCAUGAGGUUGAACCCAUCCAUCUUCACGAGUACUAAAACUGAGGAGGACCCUCAAGGGUUUGUGGAUGAUAUGGAGAAGAUAUUUAGAUUCAUGUAUACCGGCGGUACUAGGGGUAGAGUUUGCAGCCUAUCAUCUAAAAGAUUAUAACGCCCUGAAUCUAGCACCUAAAAUGUUACAUGGUGCUCAUGACCCCGAAGGACCACAAGCUAACCCAUGACUGAUAUCUAUAACUGAGCACUAAAUAAUAUAUUGUAAAUAUGUGGAAUAUAAGCUGUAAGGCCAUAAGGCUCAAAACUGAACUAAUACUGAAUAUAAAACAAUGUCUGUAAUAGGGUAUAACAAUACCCAAAAAUUAAAAUAAACUAUCUGAAACAUAUUGUUGUCUGAAAGCCUCUACACUAUCUAAAAUAUGUGGAGUUGAUAGGACAUAUCGUGCUUCUAAACCUAUGGUACAAAACACCAUAGUGCAAAUGUGCCAGUACAAUUGAAUGAACUGGUAUACAAGUGAGGUAGGCUGAAUGCAAGGGUUCAUAUGUAUGAACAAUAAUAACUGACUGAUGACAUAAACAUGAACGUGUGAAAAAUACAUGUAUGAAUACAUAAACUGGGGCUGGGGUCAUGAUAAUACUAAAUACUGAUGUACUAAUAUCUGAGUUUACUAAUACUAGGAUACUGAAUAACUGAGUCUAUUAAUGAUAGGAAUUACGGAGUUUACAGGUAACCGAUAUCUGAGGUUACUGGUACUAUAUAACUGAUAACUGAUAACUGUGUAUACUGAUACUGAAAAACUAUUUGAGUUUUUUACUGGACUGGGUGAUUGUAUCUGACAGUCCUAAAUCUGAAGAACUAUUUAAGUUCUAGAUUGAGCUGGAUGACUGUAUUUGACAGUCCUAAUUCUGAUAGAACCAGUUGAGUUCCAUACUGAACUGAGCUACUGUAUCUGACAAUCCUAAUAUCUGUAGAACAGAACUGAGUUCUAUUACUGAGACUAAAUCUAAAACUAAGACUGUGGGAGGUAAUCAUCUAACCGAUAUGCCUCAAAUCUGAACUGGUGGGGUCCAACCUAUAACCCCAGUUGGAAGGGUGCUAGUACCGUACCAUAGGUAAAGACAAGCUGUAGGUAAACACUCUUUGAUAAGGAGCUCUUCUAUCAACCCCUCCUAUAAGGAAAAACUCAAAGUAGAUGUAUAGUCCCUAGACUCGUAGGGGUACAUCUCGAACUAAACUGGCUAUAUAGUUUUGGAAUGCAAGGAUUACUUAUAAGGGUCACACCCUCUACUGACUGAUAGGUGAGCCCUCCUCCUUGGGUUCACUGGUGCUGAAUCCUACUCCCAACUGAAAAGACACUGAACUAAUUUAAUUGAACUGAACUGUUACUGAUCAUAUUGUAUAACUAAUUUGAACUGGAUUCACUAAAUUCUAUUGACUGACAGAAUACUACUAAGAUCUGAUAACUAACUGGGAUUGCUGAGAUUAUGAAGAUUACAGAGAUUACUGAUAUUAUUUAGAUUACUGAGGUUAUUGAGAUUACUGAGGUUAUUGAGUAGGACUAGACUGAUACUGAAUUCAUUGAAUUUUCCUGAGUCAUGAGACUGACUAAAUUCUAAUGAUUAUGGCUUGACUGAGAGUAUUAUGAAAACUAACACUGGCUCUAGGCACAUAGCUAAAUUGUUGUGUACAAGAACCCCCAGGACUCAGUAGCAUAAAAAUGACAAGUCUUGACACUCUUGAACACAUGACCAAUAUCAACAAUUUAUCAUACAAUAAGUUGGGGAUUUCAUGAAGCACAUGGUUAUCAUAAUUUUGUACGUGGAUAGGAAUGCAUAUAAUCAUGUCAUAAUUUCAUACUCUAACAUCAUGAGCAUUCCAACAAACAUCUACAAUGCACAUCAAUAACAUAGUAGUCAUUUGAACAUAAGGGUAAAACAUGUAUUUAUCGUUUGGGUCACAAUUAAGAUAUAAUGCAUAAUUUCUAUUCUCUUAGGCAUUUUAUCAAACACCUUACAUGCACCACUUAGGGUAUAAUCAUAAUCAUCAAAUUAACACCCCAUAACCAACUAAGUUCAUAGUUUUCGACAUGCAUGCUAACAUAGUUUGAUAAAACAAAUGAAGAUUCCAACUUAGGAAUCAUACAACAACAACCACAUGAACAUAAUCAAUCCAUAACAUGAAUAUCAGAAUUCAUAGUUUAAAACUUGAUUCUUGGGAUUCAUGGACUAAAGAAAUCCAUUAAUGAACACUAUGCAUACCUUAGUUCUUGAUUAUACGAAGAUUGACAGAGAGAUUCUUGAAUUUGGGUAUUGAAUUUGAAUCCUUAAUUAAAAACCUUAACUUGUUCUUGAGAGAAACUUGAGAGAGACUAUAUUUUGGUUGAAUUGGGGCUAAAUCCCAUGUUUUAGACUUAUAUAGAGGUGGGAAAUUGACCCUUUUGACUUUAAAAAUAUGGACAUUUAAUGACUGAAAUUGGGCAUCGAUGCUAUUAUCAAGCGAUAGUCGACGUGUCACGCCAUCAUCACAUCGAGUCUCAGUACUUUGACCCUGGUAACCUGCAAUAAUAUCAACCAACGCGAUUGGUAAUGCGGCACGCCAAAAUCGUAUUGGUCCACUAUUUUGAGCUUCCGAACGUUGUCUAAAUGAGUUCCGAAAAUUUCAAAACUUGAUCGAAAACACUUAUUGACCUUCCUGGUCAUGAAUUAGCAAGAAUACAGACUAUUAAAGGACAUUAAAGUCACGAAAUGAGACUGCAAACUUUCAAAGGCUAAAAUAAAUUAAGUCUAGAAACUUAGCUAGAACCUUCUAAGUAUGGGACCCCCCUAACAAGCAUAAAUGGACUGAAUUAAGCUUAGAAUUUUGUGGGGUCUUACAAAAAUAUGACUUAUCAGUGGUAUGAUGAGUGGAAAGAGCUAAGGGGUGAGGAUGUUGAACUUGCAGUAUAGGAAGAGUUUUUGUGUACUUUUAUGGAUCACUUCUUUCCUUAGGAAUUGGGGAAGGCUAAGGCUGAGGAAUUUAUGAACCUGAAGCAGUGGAAGAUGAGAGUCAAAAAAUAUAUAUUGAAAUUCACACAGUUAUCCUGUUAUGCUCUAGAGCUCAUAUGCAAGAUGAGGUCCCGUAUGAGGAAGUGCGCAUUUGGUCUUUCAAAUAAUUUAGUGUUAGAAUGUAAGGAAGCAAUGCUGAAUAAUGAUAUGGAUAUCUCCAAGUUAGUAGUGUAUAUGCAAAAAGUAGAGGAGCAAAAGAAGAGGCAAAUAAAGACAAAGGAGAUACAAGUUAAGAAAGCUAAGUCUACAGAUCAGGAUACCAGCCAGCAGCAGGGUGGAAUAUGGGGUAAAAUACAGUCUAAGAAAAAAAUUUAGAGCAAUUUUCAAUCUUAAGUUGGUGCCCCUACACCCAGACCAAUAGGCGACCAACGUCUGUAGUCUUAUGGUGGACAAAGGGUGCAAGGCAUCCAAUCCCAGGAAAGUGUGACUUGGGCCAUUAGAUCGCACCCCUAUUGUAAUUCAUAUGGAAAGAAUCACCCGAUGAGGUGUUAUUUUAGGAGUAAUGUGUGCUAUAAUUAUGUCUAUAGAGUCCAUGUCCAGAGAGAUUAUCCCUUGACUAGAGGAAACCUCAAAGGUCCAAACUACUUCAGCAACCCUUUCAUCUAAGGGUACUACUUUUGCUACUAGAGGUGGUCGUAAUAUCUUAUAUGCCCUAUCUACACACUAGGACUCAGAGUUUUCACUAGAUAUUGUUACGGAUAUGUUACAAAUCAUAUCUCAAGAUCUUUUUAUGUUGCUUGAUCCUGGUUCUACCCUAUCUUAUAUGACUCCUUAUAUGGCAGUAAGUUUUAGUUUUGAGCCCAAAAGUAUUUCUGAACCCUUAUCUGUGUCCACCCCUGUUGGUGACUCUUUUAUUACUAGACGAGUUUAUACAAAUUAUGUAGUGUCUAUUUUCUAUUGGGAUACUGUGGUAGACCUUGUAGAGCUAUUUAGUAGAUUUCGAUGCUAUUCUAGGGAUGGAUUGGAUCCAUUCAUGUUAUCUUAGGUUGUAGAACCAGAAGGGUCACCUUCUAUUUCCCUAAUGAGCCAAUUAUUGAAUGGGAAGGGUGUUCUCUUUCACCUAGAGGAAAGUUCAUAUCUUAUCUUAGAGACUGUAAGAUCAUAUCUAAGGGUUGCUUGAAUCAUUUUGUUUGGGUCAAAGACUCUAGUACUGGAAGUUAGUCUCUUCAAUCAAUUUCAAUAGUUAAUGGAUUCUAAAGAGUUUUUCCUGAUGAUCUCUCUUAAAUACCCCUAGAUAGGGAGAUAGAUUUUGGUAUUGACCUAUUUCCAGAUUCUCUGCCUAUUUCAAUUCUGCUAAAUAGAAUGGCUCAUGUGGAAAUGAAAGAAUUAAAAGAGUAGUUAAAAAAUCUUCUUGAUAAAGGCUCUAUUCGUCCUAGUGUCUCUCCAUGGGGUACUCCUAUACUAUUUGUGCAUACGAAAGAUGGCUUCCUCUCUCUCUCUCUAUAUAUAAUACUGCCAUUUAGAUAAAAUCACUAUCAAUAAUAAGUACCCUCUCCCCAAAAUUGAUGAUCUUUCUGACCUACUUUAGGGUGAUAAAUAUUUCUCUAAUAUUAACCUCUUUUUGGUUUAUCAUUAGUUGAACGUUAGAGGGGAUGACAUUUCCAAAAUAGCUUUCCAAACUCGGUACAGUCACUAUGAAUUCCUGGUCAUGUCCUUCGGAUUGACUGAUGCCCCUAUAGUAUUUAUGAACCUCAUGAAUAGGGUGAUUUUUAGUUUUUUUUUACCUAGUUAUUAUAGUUUUCAUUAAUGAUACUUUGAUUUACUCUAAGAGUGAGGAAGAUCAUGCUAAUCACCUCUAAAUCUUCCUUCAAACCCUUAAGGAUCACGAGUUGUAUGUCAAAUUCUUUAAGUAUGAGUUCUGGAUCAGUGUCAUAGCUUUUCUAGGGCAUAUUAUUUCUAGUGAGGGAAUUAAGGUUGGUCCCCAAACCCAUGACUCCAACUUAUAUUUGGAGCUUCUUGGGUUUGGUAGGAUAUUAUAGAAAAUUUGUAGAGAUUUUCUCAUCCAUAGCAGCUCUACUUACCAGGUUGACGCAGAAGAAGGUCAAGUUUCUGUAGUCUAAUGCUUAUAAGAAUAGUUUUGAGAGAUUGAAACAAGCUGACUACUGUUCCUAUUUUGACCCUUCUUGAGGAUUCAAAGGGUUUUGUAGUUUAUUGUGAUGCAUUACAGGUGGGACUUGGGUGUGUGUUGAUGCAGCAUGGGAAGGUGGUGGCAUAUGCAUCCAGGCAGUUAAAAGUCCAUGAGAAAAACUAUCCCACCCAUGAUUUAGAGUUGGUGGAGGUGGUUUUGCGCUCAAAAUUUGGUGUCAUUAUCUUUAUGGUGUGCAUGUUGACAUCUUUACUGAUCAUAAAAGUUUACGGUAUGUAUUCUCCUAGAAGGAGUUGAAUCUCAGGCAGAAGCGGUGGUUGGAACUGUUGAAGGAUUAUGACAUGAGCUGACACUAUCAUCUAGAUAAAUCUAAUAUGGUUGCUGAUGCUCUUAGCGGGUUGUUCAAGGGAAGUCUUUCUCAUGUUAAGGGAGGAAAGAGGGAUUUGGUCACAUAUAUUCAUCAGCUUGCUAAUUUAGGAGUUCAAAUCUUAGAAUCCGAGGAUGGAGAGUUAUCCAUUCAAGAGGUAGCUAAAUCAUCCCUAUGUGCUUAAGUUAAGGAAAAGUAGACCUAAGAUCCGACCAAAGAUCCCUUAUUGAUGAAGAUCAAGGAGGAUCUUGGUUAGCAAAAGGUUAUGGCAUUUGAAAUUGGAGGAGAUGGUAUUUGAGAUACCAAGGUAGGUUAUGUGUGCUGAAUAUGGAUAGGUUGCAAUAAAGGAUUCUUAAUGAAGAUCAUACUUCCAGUACGUGGUUCAUCUUGGCUCCACCAAGAUGUAUCAUGACGUAAAGGAGAUUUAUUGGUGGAAUAAUAUGAAAAGAGAUUUUCUAACUUUGUGGCUAAGUGUUUGCAUUGCCAACAAGUUAAGGUGGAACACUUGAGGCUAGGUGGUAUAUCCCAGGACAUAGCAUUGACUUUAUGGAAAUGGGAGAUGAUCAACAUGGACUUUGUUACUAGACUUCCGCGAUCCCGAAACCAGUACGAUUCAAUUUGGGUUAUUGUUGAUAGAUUGACCAAGUUUUCCUACUUUUUUCCUGUGAGGACCAAUUAUUCGAGAGAUGAUUAUGUAAAGCUGUACAUUUAGAAAAUAGUUCAAUUGCAUGGAGCUUCGGUAUUUAUUAUAUCCAACCAAGGUACGAAAUUCUCUUCUUAGUUUUGACGAUAUUUUUAGAAAGGUUUGGGUACCUAGGUGAACCUUAGCACUAAUUUCUAGCCUCAGACAGAUGGGCAAGCGGGAGCGUACCAUUAGACUUUAGAGGAUAUGUUAAGGGCUUGCGUGAUUGACUUUAAAGGUAGUUGGGUAGAUCACUUUCCUUUAAUAGAAUUCUCUUAUAAUAAUAGUUAUCAUUCUAGCAUCUAGAUGGCUCCUUUUGAGGUUCUCUAUAGUAGGAGGUGUUGGUCACCAAUUGGUUGGUAUGAGGUAGGUAAAACUUGGAGGUUUGGACUUGAUCUUGUUCAUCAGGUAAUGGAAAAGGUAAAGGUCAUUAGAGAAAAACUUAAGACCGCCCAAAGUGACCAAAAGUCCAACGCCAAUAUAAGAAGAAGGGAGUUAGAGUUUGAGGUUGAUGAUUGGGUGUUUCUAAAAGCCUCCCCUAUGAAGGUGGUCAUGAGAUUCGGGAAAAAAAGUAAAGCUUAGUCCUCGUUUAUAGGUCCUUAUCAGAUUAUAAGGAAGAUUGAUAGAGUUACAUAUGAAUUAGAUUUGCCUGCAAGCUUAGCUUCAAUUCACCCGGUCUUUCAUGUGUCAUUACUUAAGAAAUGUAUUAGAGAUCAUUCACUUGCGUUUCCUAUUAAGGAGACUGGUGUGAGAGAUUCCUUAUUAUACGAAGAAGUACCUACAACAAUAGUGGAUCGCCAAGUUUGAAAUUUGAGGAGCAAGGAGAAUGCUUCGAUUAAAGAGUUAUGGAGGAACCGAAAGAUAGAGGAAGAUACUUGGGAAUCCAAGGAAGACAUGAAAGCUAAAUAUCCUUCCUUAUUUUCAUCAUUAGAUGAGGUGGUUUGAGGUAUGAACCCUAUGCUUAUCCUUAAUCUACUUGAUUUCGUGUUUGAGUUCCUUUUAUGUUCAUCAUUGUAUCAUGAUAAGAAUGUCCAAAGUCUUCAUUUGGGGACGAAUGAUCCCAAGAGGGGGAUAAGUAACACCCUUAAAAUUUUGAUAUUUUAUUUUUGAUCUUACCAUGUAUGAAACAUCAAUUUUUCACCUGAUAUGUGCUUAGGGAUGUUAAAAGGGUAAUUCGGGUGAGUUUUGGAAUUUUCCAAAGAGGUUCAGGGUCAUUUUGGAGUUCCGAGGUAGUGAACCUCCAUGAUAACGCUGUGUUAUAGAGGAUAAUCUUUGCGAUAAGAAGCGUGUCACGGAGGAUAAUCUUCAUGAUAAGUAGUAUGGAAUGGAGGUUAGCCUCCGCAAUAAGCAGCAUACAACGCUGCUUUGUAAAAUUUGGGCAGUCACUUUAGGGUGUAGGGGUUUGGGUCUUUCUCCACUUUUAAACUCCUCCCCCAUGACUUUAAAUCACCUAAUAAGAGUUAUUACUCAUUGUUAAUCAGUUUUAAAUGCUCAAAACUCUCUCUCUUCUCAAGAAAAAGAGAAUUAGGGGUUCUUCCAAGGCUCAUACUUUCAAGACUAGAUUCGAAUUGUUUCGAAUUCUUGCUCAUAAGAAAGGUAUGUUAGAACUAUCCUAACAAUCAUGGGCUAAAAUUUAUGUUUCCUUCAUGAACUUCAAAGUAUGUGGUAUAUGCGUAUGUAUGAUUUUUUAGAAUUAACUUAAGAGCAUGAUUAUGGUAUUCCCUCUCAUGAUGAAAUUUACUUGUCUUAAUAUGUUAUGGGUUGUUCAAAUAUAUGAUUAAAAGCUUGAGUAAUAUGAUUUAUUAUCAAUGACGAAUUGAUAUGGUUUUGAAUUCAAGAGGGUGUUUUUCUUACUUUCUAUAUGCUCAUUCAUGUUAAACGGAAAGAUUUCAUAUAAUCUAUGCACAAGAUGGCCACCAGUUGUUAGAGUCUUGAAAAGGGAAUGUAUUUCAUGAAUUUUUCAUAUGCUAUUUUGAAUUAAGAACUCCAUGUGAUGUUUAACUCUUUUGGUGGUCAUUAAUAUAUUUUGAAUAAAAAGGCUAAGAAUAUGACAUGAUAUGGCUUGCAAGUCUAGGUAUGCUGAUACCUAUCAUGAAAUGCCCUUAACAUGAAGGAAAAGAAUGAUAUAAGCAUGAAUCAUGGUUUUAAGAGGUUAAAAUUGGGCUCAAAGAGAUCUAAAUGGUUACCCGAAGAAGACACGAGUUCAGAUAACUCAUCGCAGGAAACUAUAUUUUGCCAAUGCGAGUUUUAUGAAAUGUUAUUUGCCAAGUGAGAUAAUGCAGUAUGUCAGCAAAGAGGCAUACUUUUCAUAACAUGGUGUGUCAGCAAGGAGGCAUACUUUUUCAUGAUACUCCAAAUCCUUGCGGCAAACUUGGAUUGGGAGCUUGACGGCCGAGUUAAGGGCGGAUUUCAUAUAACCCGUAGAAUUUAAGAAAUGUAGGGUGUACCAUCUAGUGUAGAAGUAAAAUAAAGAGUGUUGUCUACAUUUGUACAAGAGUAAUUUGAAGCUACAUUAAUUAUGCCUAUGUGUUUUGAUCUCUACUAUAUUGAAUUGAUUUUCGUAAGCUCUUGAUUCUUUUAUAUGAAAUAUAUAUAUAUUGUUUUUUCUAAUUGUUCUACGUACAAAUACAUUCCAAGUCCUCAUGGCGGAUGCAUUGUCUCAUAAUAUAGGAUUUGAGGCACAGUCCCUCGGGUCCAGUUCAGCAACAAUAUAUUGUUCCAGAAGUUUAGAGUCGAUGAGCCUCCCUUACUUCGAAAGACAUUUUCUCUAUAUGAUAAUUUUAGUCAAUUUUAUAAUCCAACCAAGGACCUUGUACCGGCUUAUCCAGACAAGUAUUUCAAUAGAGGCUUCGUAGGUUGGUUUAGAUUGGAUUUGAAUGUAUUUAAAUUUGAUUUUAAGCCUUUCCACAUUUCAGUUUUAUAUUCCGCACCUUGUUCUUAUGAAUUAUUUUCAUGACAGUACGUUAUGGGGUCUCUCAGGCCUUCGUGGAUCGGGAUUCCCGUCAUGGCUAGGGCCUCAGAUCGUGACACUUAGUCAAUUUAUGCAGGCUCCUAAGAAUCCUCAUUGGGAAGUAGCUACCAGAGUGGUUAGGUAUUUGAAGAGUAUAAUUGGUCAAGGCAUCUAGCUACAGGCUACACCUACAUCUAUCUUGACUUGUUGGUGUGACUCUAACUGGGGCUGCUUGUCUAACAUCAGGAGGUCUAUCACAGGCUAUGUGAUUAAGUUUGGAGAAUUUCUAUUUUUUUUUAAAUCCAAGAAACAACACACAGUCUCUAGAAGUUCAGUUGAAGCUGAAUAUAGAAGCAUGGCUUCUGCUGCAGCAGAAAUCACUUGGCUUCUUGGUUUGUUCAUUGAGUUAGGAGUACCAAAUCAACUACCUAUUUCUCUCAUGAGUGAUAGUAAAUCACCCAUUCAGCUGGCAGCCAACCUUGUUUUUCAAGAGGGAAAUAAACAUAUAGAGAUAGAUUACCAUUUUAUAAGGCACAAAAUUAAGGUUGGAAUGCUUGAAGCUAAGUAUGUGCACACUUAACUCCAGGUUGCUGAUCUACUGACCAAAGGAUUGAGUCAAGCUCAAUAUUUGCAUCUGUUAGGAAAACUUGGUGUGCUUAAUAUCCUUUACCCUGCAACUUAAGGGGGCGUGUUGUUGAGGACUAUAUUUCAUUAUGUCAUUUUACUUCUCCAUUCAUUCAUUUUUUUUAUUAAUCCACUGCAACACUACUAAGCUGACUAGCCAGAUAAGUUUGUUUCUCAGUUAGUUAGAUGAGAUGGUUGAUUGAUAGUUAGUCUUUUAUUAGUGAAGUUUGAGUGUAUAGUGAGAUGGCACACAAAAAUUUUCUUGAACAAGUUAGUUAUUCCUACAAUUCAGUCUAUAAAAUGCCGAAUAUGCUCCUCAUUGUAAAGUCUGGAAGCAGUUAUAAAAUUCUCUCUUUUUCUUCCUCUUCUUUCUUCUAAGCUCCAUUAAUGGAGUCCUAGCUGAUUGAGAUAGUUUUCAUUAAAAACACAAUUUACAUAAUACAUUUAUAAAAUUAGUUUUUUCUUUAAUAUCUUGCCAAUACUCUAUUUAUUAGUAACUUAUUGAAUUCCAUAUUCAUUGAUUUUUAAAUCCCAUGAACCAUCGAGUUUUUGAAUGCAUGUUGCACCCGAAGCUAUUAGGCUAAGGGCAUGUCUGCCUGGGCUUCACACAUUGCGUAAAACAAAAAGAAGAUAAAUUGCAAAGACAAAUUCAACAUACUAGAAUAACAACAUACCCAGUAUAUUCCAAUAACAUGGGGUCUGAAAAAGGUAAAGUGUAUGCAGUCCGAAUCACUACCUCAGAGGUGAGAUAAAGAGGUUGUUUUUGAAAGACUACCUAUUCAAGACAAAAAUAUUUUAGAGAAAUACCGAAUAAAGGAACAAAAAAUAGUAGGUAGAAACAAACAACAUUUAACUGAUACGAAUAAAAUAUAACUUAUACUAAGGUGUUCUGAUAUGUGUCUGAUUUGUGCUUAUUAUUAACAAGAAGAAUUAAUCUUCAAAAACACACAUGAACUAUCGAUGUUUUGCAAGUUCCACAUCGCGUAACAAUCAGUUGUCCCCUUUUCCUAUCCGAGCUAUCACCAUCAGGCAGGAAAAGGGAACAACUUGUAGUUGAGGUGUGUUUUUGUUGAAAAUAUGUCUGAGAAAUAAAGUAGGAAUAAAUAUUUUUUAGUAGUUUUUAAUUAUUAGAGUCCUAUGUGACUUAGGAAUUAGUUUUCACUUUAUUAUUUGAAUAGGAAUUAGUUAUCCCAAUUUAAAUUAGAGUGUAGUUAGAAAUUUAUCUAUAAAUAUAUGUUUUGAGUUAUUAACAAAAUAAUUUCCUUUGACAAUACUAUUGCCGUAUUUUAUUUUUCUCCAACUCUUUCUCUGUUAUUUCUCCUAUUUCAAGGAUAAAAACAAUAAUUGGUAUCAGAGCCAAUUUUUUGAGGGAUCUGUGAGAAUUACCAACUUUGGGUAGUAAGAAUGGAGACUUAUCUUGAGGUUUUAGAUCUUUGGGAAGCCAUGGAGGAAGAUUAUGAUGUUGUUCCGCUGCCCGAUAAUUCCAUGGUGGCCCAGAUCAAAAGCCAAAAGGAAAAGAAAAUCAGAAAAUCAAAAGCAAAAACAACUUUGUUUGCUAGUGUUUCUCCAACAAUUUUCAAGAGAAUUAUGGCCUUUACAUCAGUAAAAGAAAUUUGGGAUUAUCUGAAGGAAGAAUAUACAGGAGAUGAAAGAAUACGAGGCAUGAAGGUCUUGAAUCUAAUAAUGGAAUUAGAAUUGCAAAUGAUGAAGGAAUCUGAGAGCAUCAAAGAGUACUCAGACCGUCUUCUUGGCAUUGUUAACAAGGUAAGAUUGCUUGGCACAAAAUUUAAAGAUUCAAGAAUUGUUGAAAAAAUUCUUGUUACAGUGCUUGAAAGAUACGAAGUAUCAAUAACUACCUUGGAAAACACAAAAGACCUGUCCAAGAUUACCUUGGCAGAAUUGUUAAUACGUUGCAGGCAUAAGAGCAAAGGAGGCUUAUGAGGCAGGAUGGUAUGGUUGAAGGAGCUUUGGAAACCAACCACAAGACUCAAAGCAAGGGUAAUACUUCAAGAAAAAAUUACUCACCUUGCCAGUACUGUGGUAAAAUAGGUCAUCUUCUGUUUAAAUGUUGGAAGAGACCACAUGCACAAUGCAAGAUUUGCAAUCAACUUGGCCAUGAAACUGUGAUUUACAAAAACAAAUCUAAAAAAUAUGAAGCAUAAUCCCAAGUCACUAGAGAAAAAGAAGAAGACCACUUAUUUGUAGCAGCAUAUUGUUCAACCAAGAAAUCUGAUUUUUGGAUGAUUGACAGUAGUUGUACAAACCACAUGACAUAUGACAAAACUCUUUUUAAAGAGUUUUUGCCUUUGAAAAAAUAGAAAAUCAGAAUUCGUCUUCUCAGCUGCCACAUGUUAGAAAUCGGACAUAAUAAGCAAACCACAAGCAAAAGUAAAAACAAGAACACACAGAUUUAAAUGAAAAUCCUUGCAGAAAAACCACGGGCAGAGGCAGAAGAAUUCACUAUAAUGGAGAGAGAGUACAAUGGUAGAGACGAUAGUCUCAAUUUCAUGUGUAUAAGAAUGAUCCAAAACAACCCACUAAAUCACACUUAUAUAAUACAUCGGUCCGAUCCCUAUGCUACCACCACGGACCCCAUUGAAAAUCACAAAACCGCAAAACUUUCAGGGCCAGAUCAACAAAAUUUGGGUCACAAGUCUAACACCACCAUUAUGUCUUGACCAUAUUCUUCAACUUUUUCCUACAAUGAUAUAUAAAAAGAAAGAAGAAAAAUCAACUUAGAUAGCCACACAUCGAACCUCUUAUACUAAAUAUAGCUUGCGGAUGUAUAAUAUGUGCAUAAUCGAUAUUUAACAUGUGUAUAACCAUGUAUAAUUUGUGUAUAUAGGCAAGGAACGAUAAACGGUGAAUCCAGCCAACUAUUUAUGUAAAGAUCCCUAAAAAGAAUGAAAACAGAUAUACACCGAUUCUACUUCUAGUGACAUACAUAGUUCAGCUAAUUUCAAUUAACAAGUGAAAGCUAUUAAUUCUGCAAUAAUGUACUGCAAUAUGAACAUAUUGCUAACAAAUUAUUUAUAAACAAAGUAGUAUUAGAAUGACUGGCCCGAAUGACAUAGAAUGGUUACAGAUUUGUCUAACUGAUCUCAACUUAAUUGUCUUAUAUCGAGGUGGUUAAUUGAUAGACUAAUACUUACCGAAGCUGAAAUCUUAUUGAAGGCUAUAAUAUCUGCCAAGGAUCGGACUCGAGUGUAGACUAACUUUUUAAGAUAUGCAUUUAGGUUCAUCUUGAAUUCAGCAGAAAGUGCUAUGCCUUGAGCAACAACAAGAGCAUCUCGGACCAAGUCGAUGUUAGGUAUUUCCAGGUUGUAAACUAAUACUGCUCCUUUUUGCCUUCAAAUAUUUCCAAGAAAAAAAUAUCCAUAUCUUGUAGUAUUAACAUAAUAAAAUCAAAAUCAAACAUGAUAGGUUCUGUGUUAGGAUUGAGAAUUCUGAAUAAUACAGAAUCAAUCAAAGUAAUCAAUUAAAGACAAUAACAUAGACGAUAAUAACGAUAAGUUGAGAAAAUAAACGAGGCACAAAUUUAAUGUGGUUCGGUCAACUUGACCUACGUCCACAACCAAAAGGAGGAGCAACUUUACUAAACACCAACGGAACAAAAGAGAGUGCAAAAGUACAAAAGAGAGUACAAAAUUAGAGUAAUUAAAUACUCUAAUAUCCCAAAUACCCAAAAGAAUAACCUUACAAAUAUCACUCCAAAAAAGAAAGAGGCUCUCUCAAAGUAUUUUCCAACACAACUCUCUCACAAAUACUCUCUACAAAGAAAAAAACAAACACAACUAAAUACUUCUCAAAUGUUGGUGUUCUUCUCUAUUGAUGUGUUCACCAAAAUGAAAGAACUUUCCUCUAUUUAUAGAGAUGAAAAUAGGCUUGCUAAUGUCAUCCAUGAUGUUAAUGGAUGAUGUAAAUUUCAACAUUUGCAUGUGAAUGGGAGAAAUUUACAACAAAAUCUUUGGUAGCAACUUUGUUUGACAAAUCCAAAAAUAAUCUUUCAAAAAAAGUCAUUGGUAGCAACUUUGUUUGACUAAUCCAAAAAUAAUCUUCCAAUAAUCUUUGGUAGCAACUUUCUUUGACAAAGCAAGUGUGAAUCAAAGAAUAAACAAAGGCCACAUUACAAAUCUCCACCUUGGCCUGAGUUUGGUUAAUAUAGUAAAUUUGCUUCACCUUCUUCACAAAGCCUCAAAGGGCUUUCAAAAUUCCAUGAUGUCAGAAUCAGAUGAGUCUCCAUCUGAAAUUGAAAUGGUAGCAACACCUGUAAUAGUAGAUCCCGACAGUGCAUACAACGUCCCAGACUUGCAUGCCUUCAUAACCACAAGACCACCUCGAGAGACUUCAAGAACUCCACCUUCACAUGUGUAUUUGCAUCCAUGAGAUUCUAGAGUGCCCAAAGAGAUGAGAUUUUUCUUCAACUUAGGAACACAUCUAACAUUUCUGAGAGUUCUUACAAUACCAUCAUGCAUUUUAAUUCGGACACAUUUUUCAAUAAUUUGGCAAGCAACACUGUUUCCUACCAAGAUAACUCCACUUUUAACAGGAUCAUAUAUAGAAAACAAGUCUUUGUUAGGACACAUAUGAAAUGAACAAGCUGAAUCUAAAAUCUACUCAUUGUUAGAACAAGAAAUAUUUUCGGUUACUAAAAAUAUUUCUCCUUCAAUCUCAUCAGGAGCAACACUUGCUUCAGCGGUGUCAGAAUCCUUGUGCUCAUUUUUCUUUAAUUUUCCCUUGUUUUGCAACUUAGGACAAUCAAACCUGAUGUGACCUUUUUUAUGACAAUAAUAACACAUUGAAUUGCUAAAAUUUGGACUUUGCAUUAGAUCUACUCCUGACAAAUAAAUCGGAUGCUUGCUUUUCACUACCUUUCCCGAUAAUAUCUCUAUCUAUCUGAUCUUUAGAUUUCAACAUAGAUUUGAUUUUUCUAUAAGAGAUAGUUUCUUUUUCAUAAAGUAUAGCAUCUCUAAAAUACUUAAAGGAAUGGGGUAGGGAACAUAUUAGUAGAACAACUUGAGCUUAUUCCUCAAUCUUGACAUCUAUAUUACUUAAAUGCAUAAGAAUGGAAUCAAAGACAUCAAGAUGUGAGAGUAUGGAAGUAUUUUCAUCCAUACAAAAUGUAUAAAGUUUUUUCUUCAAGUAAGUCUAUUCUCUACCGUUCUUUUCAUAUACAGACUUUUCAACUUUUCCCAUAUACCUUUGGUAGUGGUUUUUGAAGCUACUUCAUGUAAUACAUCAUCAGAGAGAUUUAGUAUAAAACUAGAUCUCGCCUUUUUAUCAAGGCUAUCAAACUCCUCGUCUGUCAUUUUUUCUGAAAUUUUCUCCUUUUCUUGCAGUGUGAUAUCUGAACAAUCCUAAACUAGGAUAACUUUCAUUUUCAACUGCCACAUACCAAAGUUUAAACUUCGGUCAAAUUUCUCAACAUAAAUCUUUGUAAUUGUCAUGGUGACUACUAGGACAAAAUCGAGAUUAACCUCAUUCUGAUACCAAUUUGUUAGGAUCGAGAAUCCUAAAUAGUGCAGAAUCAAUCAAAGUAAUCAAUUAAAGACAAUAACAAAGAUGAUAAUAAUGAUAAGUUGAGAAAAUAAAGGAGGCACAAAUCUAACGUGGUUCAAUCAACUUGACCUACGUCCACAACCAAAAGGUGGAGCAACUUUACUAAACACCAACGGAACAAAAGAGAGUGCGAAAGUACAAAAGAGAGUGUGAAAGUACAAAAGAGAGUACAAAAUUAGAGUAAUUAAAUACUCUAAUAUCCCAAAUACCCAAGAGAAUAAACUCACAAAUAUCACUCAAAAAAAGAGGUUCUCUCAAAGUAUUUUGCAUCACAACUCUCUCACAAAAAUACUCUCCACAAAUAAGAAAACAAACACAACUAAAUUGUUCUCAAAUGUUGGUGUUCUUCUCAAGUGGUGUGUUCAUCAAAAUGAAAAAACUCUCCCCUAUUUAUAGAGAUGAAAAUGGGCUUGUUGAUGUCAUCCACGAUGUUAAUGGAAGAUGUAAAUUUCAACAUUUGCAUGUGAAUGGGAGAAAUUUACAACAAAAUCUUUGGUAGCAACUUUGUUUGACAACUCUAAAAAUAAUCUUUCAAAAAAGUCAUUGUUAGCAACUUUGUUUGACUAAUCCAAAAAUAAUCUUCCAAUAAUAUUUGAUAGCAACUUUAUUUGAAAAAGCAAGUGUGAAUCAAAGAAUAAACAAAGGCCACAUUACAUACUGUUUGAGCCAAUUGCUGCGUCAAUGAGAUUGCAACAACACACAAAAGGUUAUGAAUAACUCUGACAAUGUGUCUGUAUAAGGCAUAAUACAUAGGUGGCAUGCACUCAAACUUGGCCUC
rnacentral:lncRNA from 1 species